AAUGAAAUUGUGACAAACAAAUAUUAGCUCAUUGAUUGUCUAAGUUCAAACUGAAGAUAAGCGGCAUUGUAAGAACGUUUUCAUUACGAAAAAGAUAACUUACUUUAGUAGAUAAUCUAAAUGAGUUUGUAAUCCCGUAAAAGAAUCAAAGUGAACAUUUUAUUCAAAUAUUAAGAAGGAUUAUUAUGUCGUCUAUAAUUUUAAUUGGGGAGAUGACUAGUCUUGGCUAUCAGAAUAGUUGACUCCACGGGUAGAGACAUAGAUGUAUUCAUUGGUAGAAUGUUACAUUGGAUUGGGCCCAAGAUAAAUUAAUUCUGAAUUCGUUUGUGAAUUAAUUCACUUGUGACGUUUAUGGUGUGAUUUACCUAAAUCCCGAGUUAGUCAUUAACCAUGCGUAUGUAACUCAUGUGCUUUGAUAUAAGUGGAGGCUUAUGCUUUAAAGAUGAUCGAGCUCAUAGCUGAUAUGUUGGGUACAUAACUUGUAUAUGGCAUGAAUUUACUAGCAAUAGUGAAAUUUAUAGCUCAAUUAAAGAGUUAAUGAUAUCUUCUCAUUGGCAUUGUGUGGAUUGAUAAAUAUGGAACGUGGUAACGGGUUACUUAUUCUUGAACGAGCAAUAUAGUUAUUUGUUGACGGUGAUCAUAUUAAUCAUUAAAAAGACACAAUUGUGACAAUGAUAUAAAGUAAUAUUGUAUUGAGUGAACGAAUUUAACUCAAAUAUAGAAUCAAUGAUAUCAUAUGAGGGUAACACACACAUGACGAGGCCAUUGGACUAAACAGUUGGAUGAUUUACUUUUGUAAAGAGUAUACAAUAAGGAGUUUUCAAUCAUGGUACUUUUUGUGGACUAACUCCACGACUAAGUAAUUGUGAAUUAUCAGAAUGAUGCUUCUGGACAUAAUUGCAAUUACUAGAAUCUAAUUGUAUAUGUUUGAUUGGUCCCUCUGCUAGCUCAACAAAAGCUCGAUUGGACUGCAUUUGAAUCAGAAAAAAAUUCUACGACUUUAGAAAUAAUUUAAUUGAAUCGAUUUAUUCAAUGUGAAAUUAAAUUAGGUGGUUGUGAGAAUUGUUCAACUAGAGAAUUUGAUUAAAGAAUUGUAACACCCCUAACCCAUACCCAAUGCUGGAAUAAGGUUACGGAGUAUUACCAGACUUGCAAUCGAACAAACAGACAUUUCAUGUUCAUCUUAUAUUAAAAAAAACCAUUCAUAAACAAUCAUAUAGUCCCUAAUACAAGCCUUCGAGGCCCAAAAUAGACAUUAGAAAUAUUUUGGGACUAAACCGAGUGCUCAAGGAAUUUUUCAGAAAAACAUUGAAAUUUUUCAAAGUGCAGGGGAUACAUGACCGUAUGGCCAAACACACGGUCGUGUCCCAGCCCAUGUCUGUGCCUGUGUAACUCACUGACUUGGGUCACACAGCCAAACCACACGCCCGUGUGUCAGGCCGUGUACCAUUCAAAAUGACCUCACACGUUCAUGUGCUAGACCGUGUGCUAGGUCGUGUGAAAACUGAAGGGUAUACUAACUUGUGUCACACGGCCAAGCCACACGCCCAUGUACUAAGCUGUGUAAGGCUACUAACUUGGUUUCUUUAGAAGUUAUAGGGGACACAUGGCCGUGUCACUUGGCCGUGUGUCACACAGGGUUGAGACACACGCCCGUGUAGACAAAAAUAGGCCAUUUUCCAAGCCAUAUUUCUUGCCCAAAUUGGUACCAAUCUAAACACAUCAAUUAGCAUAUGACCAAAUCAUAAAUAGGCAUUCAAACCAACCAAAAUCAAGCCUAAAACAUGCAACAUCAUCACCAACAACCAUGAUGCCCAUAGGCACCUCAAUUUACCAUUUAUAAACAUGCCAAUUAUGUCUGGAAAAUCUACCUAAAUGGGCAAAAGCAUAUAUAUGUAUCAUUGUGCCUAAAACUUAACAUGUAUGCCACUUAUCAAUCUCACAAACCAAACAUUCACAUGGUAACCAUACACCAUAUAUAAUAAGGCUAUUUGCAUAUUUACAUAACAAAAUAUAUCAAAUACAAGCCAAAUCAAAUGGCUAAAUACAUGACAAAACAUAUAGGCAACCAUUGGCCAAAAUGACUUAUACAUUCCAUUAAAACCAAAAUGUAUAACCAAAAGUGCCAAAAUAAGAGUUUGAUAGUGUGAUGCAAUCUCCGACAACUUCCAAUCCGAACGAGCUUCUGAACCACUAUAAAAUACAGAAAAACAAAACAGAGUAAGCAAUUAAGCUUAGUAAGUUCGUAUAACUAAAAUUACAACUUACCUUUCAACCACAAUUUAGGAAAGUAAAAUUAAGGCAUAAAACAACUCCAUUUUGGCCCAAAAGCCUAACACAUAAUCAUCAACCAUGUUAGCCAUGUAUUCAUAUGUCAAACAUAUAUAUAUCACUAUUCGUAUUUCACAUAAAUACCUGUACUAGUUUGUAUCGAACUUGUAUAAUCCUUGUAACAACACUGUGCUCAUUAAACCACUCAGAAUAAUAUCAGAUACGCGGGUAUCUCGCACACUAUGUGCCAACACGUUGUCAAAACCACUACUAUCUCGUAUCUCGUAUCAAUGCUCUCUCUCGAGCCAUAACUGGGUUUGCUCACAUGAGUUGUCAAUCAAAACGUAGCUACACGGUGCUGCUCACACAAGCUAUAAAGUAACCGUAACACAUGCUGGAAACUCAGCCACCGGUAGGACGUACAAGACUAGCACCUAAAAUACAAUAACCCCUAAUGACAUGUCAUUUGUAUCCUAUCUAUUCUUAAGGUUCAAUCGGGGUCCAUAAGUCGCCGAAACUUCGUUGAAUAUUUCUGUGGAUUCGUAUUAUCAAGAAUAUAAUAAUAAAAAAUUUAAAUCAAAUAUAAUUUAAUGCUUAUUAAACAUACAAACUUACCUCGAAUUUGUACGGAGAAAAUCGAUCGGUUACUCCAACACUUUAUCUUUUCCCCGAUUUAAUUCCAUAUGUUGCUUUUAUUGAUCUAUAUAAUCAAAUUUAACUAAUUUAAACCUCAUUCUAUACAAUUCAAUCCAAAAAUCAUGUUAUAAAAAAAUUACCAUUUUGCCCCUAUACUUUUGACUUCUUUACAAUCUAGUCUCUAGGCUCGUAAAAUGAAAUUCAUGCAAUUUCACCCCUAACCAAGUCUAACUAAAUUUAAUAUAUGUUUAUAGCAGCCCAUACAUUUCACAAUUUCACACAUUUACCACAUAAUUUUCACAUUUCUCAAUUUAAUCCCUAAUUAAAAAUUUCAUUAAAAAUCACUUAACAAAAGUUGUUUAACUCCCAAAAAAGAUUUAUUUUCUUCCAUUAAACUUCACAAACAACUAAAAUGCUUUUAUGGUAAAACCCUAAACUUCCAACCAUUUUGCAAAUAGUCCCCUAGUUAGCUAGGUUAAGCUACAACGAUCCUGAAAGCAUAAAAAUCAUUAAAAACGGGAUGAGUUUUCACUUACAUGCAAGAGACUUCUUAGCUAAAAUUUUCAAGCUCUCCAAGGCUUCCUUAUGCUGGAAAAAUCUCAUGCAUGAAUGAAAAAGAUGACCCUUUGUUAUAUUGUAUUUUUUUCAUUUAUUUACCUAAUUACCAAAUUACCCUUACCUAACUUUAAAAUUUUCAUAAUUAUCAAGCCAUGCACAUCCACUAAUUCAAUUAAUGGUAUAAUUACUAUAUAAGGACCUCUACUUUAAAGUUCUAUAGCUAUUUAACACCUUUAGCUAAUAGAACACAACUUUCGCACUUUACGUGAUUUAAUCCUUUUCAUCAAAUUGAACAUGUAAACGCUAAAAUUUCUUAACGAAAUUUUUAUACGAUAAUACUAUCAUUCUAUAGAUCACAAAAUAAUAUUAAAAUAAAUUUUUUGACAUUAGAUUUGUAACGACCCGAACUUUAAGGUUAUAGGAAAAGUGUAUUUUCGGGUCUUUGUUUCUGAAAAAUAGAUUAGAAAAUAUUUAUUAAAAAUAAUUACGAAGUUAAUUGAGUAAUUAACUAGGCUUUAAUUAAGUGAAUUUAGCGUAAUUAAGAGGAAUUAGGAAAAAUGACUAAAUUGAAUAAAGGAUGAAAGUUGAAUUGUAGAUUAAAAGAAAGUAAAAAGGAUUAAAAUGGUAAUUAAGCCAUUGACAAUAGAUGGGGCGGCAAAUGGAAGAAAAAUCAAGAUUUUUUUGAAUUAUGUAUAUUAAAUGUUAUAAUUGUUAUUAUUAUGGUUUUAUAUUAAACUAUUAUUAUUAUUUAAUAGGUGUUAUUAUUAAAUAAAUUAAAAGAAAGACAAGUGUAUGGUAAAAAUAAAAUACAUGUGUAAUAAAUAUUGUACAUACAUUUGUAAAAUAUGUAUGUAUUUACUUAUUAUUUAAGUAAAUAAUUAAUGUAUUUAUUAUCAUUAAAUUAAUAUUAUAUGAUGAAUAAAUUAAAUAAAGACAAAUGUGUGGAUAUGAUUUGAUACAAGUGUAUAAAUGAAAAUAUAUACAUUUGUAAUACAUGUAUUUAAUCAUUAAUAGAUAUUUAUUAUUUAUAAAAUAUAUUUACUAAUUAAAUGAUCAUAUUAUAAGAUUUUUAUGAAAUAAAUAUACUAAAUUAUGACAAAUGUAUGGUUAUAAAUGGAUACAAAUGUAUUAAUAAUAUACACAUGAAUAAAUAAAUAAUACUUACUAUUUAAGUAUAAAUAUAUGUAUAUAUAUAUAAGUAAAUAAAAGAAUAGAAAAGAGAAUAGAAGGAGACGAAACAGAGAGCAGGGGAAAGAAAGAAAGAAAAAGAGAAAAGAAAGAUGAAAAUGGAAAAUUGAAGGUUUGAAGCUUGAAGUUUUAACAGCUAACGUUGUCUCGGGAAAUCUAGGCUAAGCAAGGAAAAAUGGCAAAGACAACGGGAGUUAGCUCGAGAAAAUACAGUUUGUAUUUCUAUAAUCCGAACUUAAUACUUAAAUUGUUGGAUUUAUUAUUUAAUAUAUAUAUAUGUAGUAGGUGUUUUGAGAUGAUCAUUUGAAUUGGAUUGAAUAUUGAUUAUAUUGAAUUGAUUUAUGAAUAUAUGUGAAUGUUUGAAUUGAAAUGAAUAUUGAUGUGGAAAUUAAAUAAUAAAUAUUUGUUAUAUUGGAAAAUAUAUGUAGUUGGAAGUGUGAUGAAAUUGAUAGAAAAAUGUGAUUAUUGUGAAAUUGAAUAUUUAUUAGUGAAAAGUAAAUGGAAUUAUAUUGAAUUGAAAAUAUAUAGUUAAUUAAUUAAAAUAUGAAUUAAUUAAAAAUUGAAAAGUGAAUUAAAUACCCUAUUAACUAGUCGGGCUAGUCGGAUAUAGUUGGCAUGCCAUAGGAUAUGGAAGAGUACGGGUUUUGCCGGCUUACUGAUCAAGCAUUUAUGUGCCAACUACUGUUACUGUUUCGGAUUUGUUCCGAUAAGUUACUCUGUGUACCGUACUGUUACUGUUACUAUUCUGAAUUUGUUCCGAUGAGGUACUCUAUGUACCGUACUGCUACUGUUACUGUUAUUGUUAUUGUUCCGGCUUCGGCCGAUGAGGCAUUAUGUGCCGUACUGGUGUGUUGGUUGGAUCUGUGUAUCCGUCUAGGCCUGAGUCAUGUUAAUAGGGGUAAAUAAAGGAACUGGAAAGAUUGACUGUUACUGAAUAAUUUAAUUGUUACUGUAUAUCUGAUUUUUACUGAAUAAUUCACUGUUACUGAAUAACCGAUCAAUUGAUUGAUACUGAAUAACUGAUUAUUAUUGAAUAAUUGAUUGUUACCGAAUAACUGACUAUUAUUAAAUAAAUAAUUGUUCUGAUUGACUGAUCGUUAAUGAAUAUUACUGAUUGAUUAAUUGCUAUUGAAAAAUAAUAAAUAAUUUUGAAUUUAAAGUAGACCAAAAUAUUGGUUGGAAAGUGAAUGUUUGAAUACUCAUUGAGUUUUAAAAGUUUAAUAUAUAUAAAUUAAUAUGUUUUAUAAUUGUUUAAGUGUUCAGAUUAUGGAAAUACCACUGAGUAUACCUAUACUCAGCGUACGGUUUGUUUUUGUGCGCAGGUUACGUAAAGAUAGAACGUUGAAUCAGCAUCUCAGGCCGAUCCCGAAUUCAAUAAGGUAAAGUGUGCUAAUUAUUGGUAAAGGCAUGUACCUAGGGUGUCUUAUGUGUGUGUCAUUUUGAAAUUGUAAAUGUAAGGAUGAAAUAAAUAGAUUUAGGUUUGGUUAUGAUAUAUAAUAGAAUUUGGUUAAUUUGGUAUGAAAUUGAUUUAUUUGAUGAUAUUUGAUAUUUGAAUAAAAUUAAAUAUUGAAUAAUAUGUAAAUGUUUAAAUUUGGCAAAUUAUGAGUGUAUCUGGUUGUGUUGGUAUUUAUGUGUAUAUUAAUUGUAAAUGUCCGAUAGGUCCGGUAAUGCUCCGUAACCUUGUUUCAGGGACGGUUUGGGGUUAGGGGGUGUUACUAAAUUUGUGGUCACGAAACCAUUGUUUCAAUUUCACUAAAAACGGGUUAUUAUAAGAAUUUUCUUGAAAAGUUAAUUUGAAAAAUCUAAGUAAUUUUUGAAAAUGAAUUUUGAUCAAGUAGAAUUAAAUUAAUCAAUUUAAUUAAUAUGAUAUUUUUAGAAAUUAAUUUUCAAGUCAGACAAUUGGCCCAAUAGAUAAUUGAACUUGAAAAUUGGGCCUGAGAUUGUAAAUUGGGCCAGUAGCCCAAAACUGAGGCAAAGACCUAAAAACUAGUCGAACUGGACAGGGUAUGUGAAAUUGGGCCGAUGGUCUAACCGAUGGCUAGACUGGUUCAGUCAGAUCGUCACUGACCUGAACGAACUGACAAUAGUCGAACUAGCUCAAGGUGCCAUAAGGGUGUCGCACUUGUAUCAUCAGACAUGACGGCUACAAUGUCGACGUUCUAGUGGUCGACGAUAGUUGGUUUGGUUGAGCAGUAGAAGAGUUACACUCCUACUGAGACUCUAUCAGAGAAUUUGAUUUUAGAUUAACUGUUCUAAAAAUAAUAUUAUUUUAAUUAAAUUAAAUUUAAUAUUUAUCUUAUAGAUAAAUAUUCUAUUAUUUUAAUAAGAUUUAAAAUAUAAAAUUUAAUUUAAUAUUAAAGUGAUUAAGUUUAAUAAUAGUUGAACUCUCUAAACUCUCGAGAAAGUUGUAGAGAGAAAAUUCUCAAACAAUAUUAUUUUAGAAAAUUUCUAGAGAUAUUUUUUUAUUUACAAUUUGACCUAAAAGUUUAGAGAAAUUAUAAAAUUACCUUAUUGAUAAAUUUUGUGAAAAAUUUCUGAUUCGAAGCAAGUCCACACUUGACAGACGUGAGUUUGAGGAUAGUGAAUAAGACUACUCAGUUGAAGCACUCAUCCUAGAUAAAUUGAAAAUGUACAAUUUUGAUUAAGCAUUUAUUUCUUUAGAUAUCACAAUCAAAAACUUAUUUUAAAAAAAAUUAAAAUUCUAUUUUCUGCAAAUAUUUAUUCAAUUGUCUUGUUUAUUUCAUUUUUAUGUGAUUCAAUUAGUCUAUCAUCCCAUUAAAACAUUCUCUUUAUUACCUUUUUAUAAAAUAUAUAAAAAUAAAUUAUAUUUUUACUUAAAAACUGAUUUUUUAAAAUUUUUUAUAAUACAUGUCAAUCAAGUACAUCAACACAUUAUAUCUUUUUAUAGUUGAUUUUGACUUUAAAGGAAUUUUCUUUUUUCAAAUUGAAAUACCAUCAUUCAACUCAUGAGACUAAAAUCGUGACAACUCUAAGUGAAAUAUGGAGGUUCUUACAAAAGAAAAUCAUUUGUUUUGUCCAAAAAUUAUUUUUUUGCUCAAUUUAAAACGAAAUUAGAUAAUCAAAAUUUAACAUCCUAAAUGUAACGGAAUCCUAACCUCAGCUAGCCCGUGUUCCACUAAGGGUGACUCUUAUCUAAAUUACUCAACCAAUCAGAUUUAAGUAAUUUAAUCCCAACAAAUCAACCGUAAAAUCAGAAUCUUUUAAAAGCGCGUGGGGUCAAAGAAUCCUAAAACUUUCCCUGUCCCCCACCGUAGAGAACCUCUCAAUAAAGUCAUUGCCAAUACAGAAAAAAACGAAUAAUAUAAUAAAAAUAAAAAGCCCCUAAUAUCCAAUUUUUCUUUUCACUUUCACCCCAUAUUCUUCCUUGUUCCAUACCAUCCUCCUCCUCCUCCACCUCCUCUUCUUCGAAUUAGGGUUUCACGAUCCCCAGAUAUGAAGCGAACUGCCACGAAGAAGAAUAGGCGGCCUCGUGCGACGAAAACGCCGGCGGUCAACGAUUCGUCACGUCAUGCGUUAAGUCAGCGGGAUCAGCGGCGAGAAGGAGAAGGAGAAGACGAUGAAGAACAAAAAAGGCUUCUCGGCUCGUUAAUGGAAGCCUUCGGUUCGAUCUCUCUAGAAGAAGCCACGUCAGCUUAUAACCAAGCCGACGGUGAUUUGGACAAAGCGGCCGAGAUUCUAUCCAAUUUGAUCGAUAACGGUAACAAUAGUGAAGAUCCCGAUCCGUCAACGAGCUCGAUAUCGAGUGGCUCGUCAUCGUCAGGUUCGUCCGGGUUCGGUUUUUCCGAAACGAGUUGCUUACAAAAUCUGAAUAGCAGAAGGGGACGUAGCAGAUGGGGAAAACAGCAGAAGCGAGUGGUAGCGUCAACGGGGACGGUUUCGACCGUCCUCGGGAAAGAUUACGUUAGGUCAAGCCCAUGGCGAGACCCGGCUGCAGUGGCACCGGCGAAAUCGGUGUUGGCGACGGAAGAAGCGGAACAGUUUUUAUGCUCAAUGCUUGGGGAAGAGUGUGAACUUAGCAUGGCUGUUGUUAGAGAUGUUUUGUGUGAGUUUAUUUAUUAUUUUGUUUGCAUAAAGAAGUUCUUAAAAUAAUUCUUUUAAUUAUAUUUUUAUGUUGAACGAACAGAAGUUUACUUUUGCAGGUCAGUGUGGGUACAAUGUUGAGAAGGUAUUGUCAGUCCUAAAAUCUGAACUUUGUUGAUUUUGAUGUAUCAAAACAGCGAAGCAGUUUCAUAGUCAUUUAGGAACGUUAAGGAAAAAGAAAGAUCUAUGAAAGGUUACAUGCGCCCUGUAGCAUACUGGGUUCUUUAUAUGGUUUGUUGGUAAAAUGUUACUUUUUUACUAUAUAAGCGUGCAUCCAAGGAUCAAGGAGUCUAUGCGUAUUGAUUUUCACCCUGUAAAUAGGCAUGUGGAAAUUGGGUUACUGAUUCAGAGAGGGAUGGACUGGGUUGACUUUAGUUCUUUGAUUCUCUCCCUCUCGGAAUGGUUGAAUUGUGAGUAAAUCUGACUUAAAAAAUUGGAAACAAGAGAAAGGGCUAAGCUACUGAAAUAUAGCUUCUUGGUACAUUACUGUGUUGGGAUACUUAUUUCUGCAUUGUCAUCCUUUUGAUGAUUCCCUUUAUGAUUCAAUGUAUUCGUUCUUUCCAGGCUUUGGAUGCAUUACUUGAUUUAUCUGCUUCCUCCUAUGAAAAAUCCAAGAGUUUUAAUGACAAUUUGAACAGUAGACAAGAUACAGGAUUCGUAAUUGAAUGUGCAGACAAUGUAAGUAUUAUGAUUUUUUUUUUUACUUGAAAUGUUUCAAGUUUUGUGGAUCAGAUAUCUCACUCUGAAUAUGACAUCAUUUUUUUAGUUUGUUAGAUUUCUAUACACCAAAUUUAUAAUAAUUACUGUUUGUCCCACUAGAGCUGUUUGAUAUUAGCUGGUUUGAGUGUUAUUAUGCUUACUUUUUUUAGAGAGGCAGUGGGGACUCAGAGAGAAAAUACACAGUUGUUUGGUUUGGAUAGGUUUUAAUAUUUAUUUAGUGUUCUAUUUGAUGGUUUAUCUUUCCUUAUUCUAAGCUUGAGGAUUCGACAAUCAGAUAAGAGUUCUUUAGGUUGCCAAAUUAAGGUUCAUCUCUAUAUUGCAAACCGAUGUAACUCAAGGGAACUUCCAUUUUGUAUUCAUUCAGUUAGUCACUAAAGGAGGAGAAAUUGACAAAAAGCCUACCCCUUCCUCUCCCCCCCUCCCAAAUUUUUUCCCUCUUGGAAAGAGCACUGAAGAAUGUGUAAGAUUACAUUUGCGUGGCAUAUGUUUAAUUAUUUUUGCUGUUUUGUAUAAUUUACGUCUCUUUCGCCCAUAAUUUGAAAUCUCUCUGAAGCAUUUUACAUUGCAUUGUAUUCUAAAUGGUGAUUUAUAAAUUUUCUAACAGUUAACAGAUAGGACAUCUGACUGCAUAUCUAAGUUGUUGGAAAGCGAACUUCAAGAUAGUAUAUGGUCAGCCGGAUAUGGUCACAGGUAAUUUAGUCUUUCUGCCGUUGUCCUUGACUUGGCUAUUUCUUUUUCUUUUUUCCCCUCAAAAUCGUCUUCUCAUGCAGGAGUUAUAUUAUAAUAGAAAGAGACUUAAAUGUUGUAGAUGACCAAAUGGUUUUGAGCUAUUUCAUGCAUGUCUUGAAGAGUGAGAUAAUUUGUGGUAUAAACUUUUCUUGUUGGUCAAUUAAUUGCCUGUUAGAUUUAGAAGCUGCAGAAAGAACGAGAACAAUUUUGUAAUCACAGUAUAAAAAGCUCUGCAAGUCAUUUAUCAGUGCAGUCUAAAAGUGUGUUUGCUUGUUGUAUUGCAUGUUUUCAGUAGCAUUGCAUGUAAACUUAACUGACAUGUGUUAUGUUGUAAUACAGUUAUCUCAUGCUAAUUGUAAGUCUUCUAAGUACUUGGUUUAGAUAACUUGAGUUACGCCUUGACUGUGGCAGUAUUGUAUAAAGCUUUUAUAUUGCUGUUAAUUUGAAUUCUCCUAUUUUGAUCUUAAGUGUAAAAAACUAUGACUUGAAAUCUUAGGUGUUCUACCCCUCUUGAAUUUAGGAAUUACUCUAAGGUUCUUGCUAGUUCUGAAGCUAUGCAACCACCUUGCCCAAGGAAUAAUGUGUCGAAUCUCCCUCAGGAGGUCCUGGAUUCUUUAUUUAAAAUCCCCAAGAGUUCUGAGCAUGAACCAAGCACUAUGAGUUGGAGGAAUGUAGUAAAGAAGAUGCAGUUGUUGGGACCACCUAUUGAUUUUUGUCCAUCUACUGAUGCAGAACCUCAGCAGGAUAUCUAUGGUAUUCUCUUGUUAAUUUUCUCAGGCUUUGCAUGUUAUUGUAUGUAUGAGUUUGUUGGUACUGUGACCUCCGGUUUUGAAAUGGGGUUAUGAAUAUCACUAUAAACAGUUUUAUUUGCUAAAUUGUACUUGAGCACCUUUAUUGGAAGGGUAAACUGACAAAUUGCUAUUAAUUAUCUUUUCAUUGUUAGUCACAUGUAUGCUAGAUACAUAUGCAUUACUUUUCUUCUGUUUGUCCUACUCCUGCCAUAAUAUGAAUAUACAAGUACUCAGAGCUACUUGAAUAACUGCCCCCUCUACUUAUUAUGAGAAAUCAAGACAUAAGAAUAAUCGUAAAAGUGGUUAGGUCACUCUUUGGUUCCUUUUUAGAACUUAAAAAAGUCUACUAAAAAAUAAGAAGAAAAAGGAACGGAAGAAUUUUAAGGUGAUUCUUGAUUGGAUGUGAUUCUUGAUUGGAUGUAGUUUUCUUUUAGGGUUUGUAUUGUUUUUAUUUCCUUCUUCACGUAGCAUUUAUAACCAUUUCUCAAAAUAUUUAUCAUAAACUCUUUUGUACAACCUGUAUAUACGUUUCUGCACUGUUUUUCAUCAUAUUUUUCUUUACAAUUCAAAUAUCUGUAAUUUGUAGCUAAGGGAGAUGAAUAUCACAAAUUUAGAGAGUGUGCCAAAGAACAUUGGGAUUCCAUGAGAUCUUAUUAUCAGAAGGUAUGGCGUUUAUAGCAAUAUGUAUAUUUAUUAUUUCUAUAAACCAAAUACAUACAUACAUACAUACAUACAUCCAGACAUACAUAUAUACAUAUAUGAACAUCACGAAUAAAAGUUGCAUUGCGCCAUAUGAAUUUUUUGUAAUUGAUAUGAGUAUAGUUGACUAUUUGAUGGUAGAAUGAACGUUCUUCUACAGGCUGCUACUGCAUAUUCAAAGGGAGAGUUGGAGUAUGCAGCUUAUCUUUCUGAUCAGGUGUGUUUUCUACUUGGGGGAUGUUAUGAAUCAUGUGUUGCAUAUAAGUUCGAGAUGUGAUGCCAUGUCUUCGGCAAAUUUUGAAAAGGAAACACUGGCAACAAAAAUGAAGGAACAUGAGAACUGGGGAUAAUAUCCCAUAAUGUUUUACUUGUCUUCUUCUCUGCUUGACAUCAAUAUGAUGUCUUAUGUCAAAACUCGUGCCAAGGGUUGGCUUUAGAAUAAAAUUCUGACUUGAUAAUACCUUGCAUCUGAGUAGGGAAAGAUACAGACUAAAUUGGCACGGGAAGCAGAUGAAAGGGCAAGCCAGAAUAUAUUUAAAGCCAGGUUAGUCCUUGUAUAACUAACUGAAUCGGUGAACAAGAAGUAUUCUCUCUCUGCCUGCCUCUACCUUCUCUUGUGGUCUAGUGAACUGAUCUGUCAACUCUCUUCCAGGAACAAAGCCUUUGAAAAUGUGAUAACAAUUGAUUUGCAUGGGCAACAUGUCAAACAAGCGAUGAAACUUUUAAAACUACACCUUCUAUUUGGAAUACAUGUUCCUUGUAAGCAUUGUUUGACCUGAUUCCGUAUUAGUAUGUGUGUGUGUGUGUUUGUGUUGUACUUAUUAUUUGCCUUAUUGUGCUUCAGCUGUUCAAACUCUGAGGGUUAUUACUGGCUGUGGAACACAUGGUAUGGGGAAGUCAAAACUGAAACAGUCGGUAUGGAUCUAAAGUAUCCCUGAUCCAGCUAUUUGUCCUUUCUGUAGUAAAUUAAUAAAAAAAAAGUCGGAUUCUUUUGUGGUGGUUGAUUUAUCCAGAAUGAAUAAUGUGGAUGUUUUGGUAGAUUAUAUGUGGUUGAAAUGUUUUAUUGAUUAUAUUGAACUUUGAUUCAUUUUCUUCAUUGCGAACAUUUUACUUUAUGCUUUUAUCUUAGGAGGACAGUGUAGCUUAUGUUCUUCUUGUCUAAUAUUUUAUGUCACUGGUUGAUGCAUGCAGGUCACUAAGCUUCUUGAAAAGGAAGGCAUUCAGUGGCGUGAAGAAAACCGUGGAACUGUACUAAUCAAGCUUGGCGGAUACAGAGAGUUCAGCUUUUUAGAAUCCAAUAGUGACACGGAGUAAAUUAAUUAUCUAAUACCAGGUUUGCAUCAUUUACCAUCUGUUUGUACAAGACAAGGAUGUAAUGUAACAAGGUUAAUUAGUGGUUCAAAAACAGGGAUCAGAUGUUUAUAUGUACAUUACUAGAAAUCCUUGUACCCUUUCCUCCUUAGGUAGGUGGAAGCUUCAUGAAGAUGAAGCUUUCCGUGUUCCUGUAUGUUGAGUUUAGCAAAAUCAUGUAUCUGACUCAAUUAUUGGUAAUGACAAAGACUCAUGUAUCUGACUCAAUUAUUGGUAAUGACAAAGACUCAUGAGAGACUGUAAAUUCCGUAGUUAUCAACAGAGUUGCUGUGUUCUUUUACUUUCAUUAGAAACUCGGUUUGGUAUGGAGCAUCUUUCCUGCUGCAGGGAACCUGUUUGUUUGACAAGAUGGAAGAAUGGUUGGGGAUUCUUUUGCUUUAAGUGUUGCAGAAUGGCGCAGCAGUGCCAGAUUUUGAGAAGUUGGAAAAUUUAUUUUAUUAUUCUUUUGAUACUUAAAGUUGGGGAGUUUCCAGUGACACCCUAGUAGUUCCAUCUUCGAUUUUGUUGCUGGCUUGAGUUGAUUUGUUUAGCAUUUUAUAGAAUAGAUGAAUUAGCCAUAUUGUAACUGUUACGUGGAUUAUGGUUCAUGGCUUUAUCUUACAAUAAUCCUUGAUUAACCUAUUCAUCCAACAAUAUUUUCUUGUUCUGUUGGAUUCAUCCAACUUUUUUGGACCCUGGCAAAUUUUACAUGGUCGCCAAAGCAGACAGAUAACAUUUUCUUUGUUGACCAAUAUGCAUGGUAUCUUUAUAAUUCCAUGCUUUUUUUUUAAUUGAAUAUGCAAAUAAUUGAGAAGUAGGCAAUUCGACAUUAUCCCCUUCAUUGCGGUUUUUGGUUUCUAUGGCUAUGGCCCAUAUAUAGAACGCAGAAAGGCACACCGUGAAUGCGCCUCGUCCAAAAGGAUCCUGAAGCGGCGCGUUCAGGUGGUGGCCCUGCCAACACUGAUUUCACCACUUGCAACAAUAACAACUUUGUUCUUGGGUGUACAGCUCAGCCUUCCUUGAGCUUCAAUUUUGUAAACAACAUCCAUCCCAGAGAGCACUUUUCCAAAUACAACAUGUUUGCCAUCUAACCAUUUAGCAGCCAUGUUAAAAGAUGAUAAACUAUAACAUCUUCAUUGUAAAAUUUAUAACUACCUGCUAGCUGUAACGGUUGUAAUGAAUAAUUGUGAGCCCUAUACGAAACGAAACAAACAGUCUUUGCUUGUAACAGAUGUUCCAAAUCAUUCCUUGAAAACUAGUUAAAGACGAGUAGGAAUGUAGCUGGCUCACCAGGCCCAGUGAGCUUCAGCUUGAAAUUCUCAUCACCAAAUUUCCACCAUCACCGAGUGUAAAAUCGCCUCCUUGCAUCAUAAAAUGUGGAAUAAUCCUAUGAAACGUACUGCCUUUGUACUGGAGAGAUUUCCUCUGUAAUGGAAACCCACGGUCCCAAGUAUAUGACGACUAUGUUACCAGGACUCUUAAGUUUCUAUCCGACGCAUAUUAACAUAAGUUGACCAGUGAGAUUAGCACAAUGUUCGGAAAUUUUCUGCCUAUAACAGAAACUCAGGCUGAUUGGUAGCAAAACAAUUGAUGGGAAAAUUCCAAAAGAUAGAUUAAGACAGCAAUGCAGCCAUAACACUAAACAUAACUGUUUUUUUAGGAACUAUGUUUCCAAAGAGUCCCAUGAUGACUCGACCUGAGAGCAAUAAUUCAGUAGUAAUGUUUUAGCUACGUAAACUAAACAGAAAGCAAAAGCUAUGGUGGGUGCAACACAUUACGUAUCCUACGAUAUUGGAGGAAAUUCUAGGGUGAGCUCCACUUAAGCAAAAGCUUUUACCAAAAUAUCUAAAGAUUUACCGAUAUUUGCAAGACUUUACCAAAAUUGGUCUUAAAAGUAAGAAAAAGUGAAGCAUACCAGCAGGUUUUCCUGCAAUUUCAACAUCAAAGUAAACUUGGUGAGUAACUUCAUUCAAAUGUUCCCUUGACUGUUUUGCCUGCACAUUCCAUUAAAAAGAACAUAUCCAACAAUCAAAUCAACUAAUCACAUCUGACUAGACAAUAAGUGAAGAAAAACAGAAGAAGAUAUUAACUUAACAUUGUAUAUCGCAGAUGAGCUUAAUAAACUAGACGCAGAACUAAAAACAGAAAGGGAACCUGAGCCAAGAACUCUACUUAUUCUGACGUAGUUAUAUAGUACAAAAUGCAUCACAAAUUAUUCUAUUUUGAUAUUGAGACAAAAAUAUUGGCAUUUUCGCUAAAAUCAUUCACUGCGCUUUUAAAAUGUAAAAUGCUCUCUCAAUAUAAAUUUUUAAAGAUGAACGGGCUCGAUUAAAAAAUUCUCCCCGCAAUAUUGAUUUUUGUAGAUUUACAUUGGAGUUUUUUUUUUUUUUAAGAUUUACUUUGAAUUUUAGAGAUGAAAGUGAAAAUGAGAGAAUGAAGACUACUAAUAUCUUGACACUGCUAUUAGAUUUGAGAGCAUGAUCGAAUAUUUUAUUUCACAUAUCUCAUUCUUAAUCAGAUGUUGAAAAAAAUUACCUAUAAAAGUAAAAAUUUGUUAACCAUAUUUAUAUUAAAUAAUAAAAUAAUAUUAAGGUUAAAUAAUAGUUUAAAAUAUUAAAGUUAUAUUUUGUUUCACAAAAAAGAAUUUUUGAUUUGCCUUUUCAAAGUAAAUAGAAAGUAAAAUAAUGUUGGAUUGGAGAGAGACCCAUAGAGCAAAUGAAGAAAAUUUACAUGGAAAAGUAAGAAACAUAGCUAUGUUUGUAUCGACUUGGUUAUUAGCCCAUCAAUGUGUAAGUGUCACGGACCGCAGUUCAAAGCCCGUGACAAGCGCACCAAAUGCAUCCAAUGGAGGUCUGUUGCUCAGAUGGGGAUCAUUUGGCCUACGAGAACUGGCCCGAUUCAAAGAGCUGUUGGACAGGCCUGUCACAUUGAAGCCUGAUGGGCCCGAUAAUGAAGAUAGGACUAAGUAGUCUUAGAAGUUCUAAUUGUACACAGCUUCUAAUUCUGUAAAGUUAGAGUCCUAAUUGAAUACAGCUUUUAAUUGUAGCCAUCGGUUUUGGGGGAGCUCAACUAUAAAUAGAGAGCCUCCCCCUCAUUUGUACUGACUCCUGUAAUUGUUUCAUUAUUCUUUGUGAAUAAGAAUUGAGAGCAUUUACUCAAACUUUUCUCUCAAGCGUUCUUGCUUUUGUUCAUCUUUCAAAGAUCGUUCUUAAUUCGUUCUUCCGCUGUUCUUCAUGGAAACUUUAAGGGAAUUCUGUUGAAUCCUUUAUUGUUGCGAGUUGAGCUGACUUAGGCGUUUUUACGGUUGAAUCCAUUAUUGCUGGAAGUUAGGCUGACUUAGGCAUUUUUAAGCCAAGAAACUGCCUAAGGCCGCACGGAUGUGUGGGAAAACUCCAAGUCCGUGACAAGUGGUAUCAGAGCCAAGGUUUGAUCCAAGUAAUAUUCGAGUUGUUGGUUCAAAGGCACCGUUGGGAUGUCGAAAGAAGAGUUUGAACAAAGGUGGGCGAGGAAGUCUUUGAGGGAGACAAUAUCGGCAGUAGAGGAACGUGUGGGUAAACUCGAGGGAUCCAUGGCGGAUGUAAAGGAGGCACUCGAUGGGGUCGAGGAUCGCAUAACAAACUGGGAGGAGCAGUCCAGAGACUAUGUAAAGAUGUCUCUUGAUUCCACCAUGGACAAGGUAAACGAGUUGUUUAAUUCACACAGGGAUAAGCUAUCGGAAAGGAAUGAUGCUCUCGAGGCCAUGAUGAUGGCUUUGAAGGAGGAAACAAUGGCCACGACGAAGGCUUUGAGCACAAGAAUAGAGGAGCUCGAGGGAGAGCUGUCCUUGUGUCAAGCAGCCGUGGGGAAAGGAGUGGCAAAUGCAGCACUCAGUAAUGAGGAUGUCCCAAAGCCGAAAGAGUUUGUGGGGACAAGGUCUGCAUGUGAUGUGGAUAAUUUCUUGUGGAGGAUGGAAAACUACUUCCGUGCCAAAGGCAUCAUGGAGGAUGCGGUUAAGGUAAACACUGCUUCAAUGUUUCUUACUGACAUUGCGCUUUUAUGGUGGCGAGGUAGGACCACAGAUAAAAGGCAAGGUGAGAUUGAGACGUGGCAAGAGUUCCAAUACGAGUUGAAGGGACAGUUUUACCCAGAAUUUGCCGAGGAAGAAGCUCGGGCAAAGUUGCAAGAGAUAAUGCAACGGGGCACAGUGAGGGAGUAUGCUCAAGAGUUCAAGGAACUCAUGCUCCAAAUUUCAGAUGUGACCGAUGAAGAAGCAUUGCUUGCUUUUCAAAAGGGAUUGAAGCCGUGGGUUAGACAGGAGGUGGAACAAAGAGGUGUCCAAAAACUGUCGGAAGCCAUGACGGUAGUUGAGUCCGUGGUGAAGCUUGGUCUAGGGAAAGACAAGCUUGGGUCUUUCAAGUCCGAUGGAAGGGGCGUAUGUGAAAUGGAUCACAAGGAAGAUAGAGUUAAUGGCAAUGACAACGACGACAAUGGUGGUAAUGGGAAACCACGAGUUGGGAAGAAGAAACCCAAGAGGAAAAGGGACAAGCUAAAAUGCUUUCUCUGCGACGGUCCACACAUGUUGAAAAAAUGUUUGAAGAAAUCCGCGCUUAAGGAGAAGCCGGUGGGUAAGGCCUUGGUACUUGGUUCGAGCGCAAGGGGUGUCGAAGCCAAGGAGGCCGAAAGCGAGAAGAAGCCAGUGGAGUGCUUCUUGUGUCAUGGUCCGCAUAGGUUGCGGAAGUGUCCGAAGAAGUCUGUCAUCGAGGGGAACGAUGGAGCAGACAAUAAGCCCAAGAAGCUUGGUUCGAGCAAGGGAAAAGCCAAAGCCAAGAGGGCAAAGAGGAGCAAAAAGAAGCAAGUUAAGUGCUUCUUGUGCCGUGGUCCGCAUGAGUUGCGGAACUGUCCAAAGCAAGCCGGAGUCGAAAGAAACGCAACGUCUGAGCUUGGUGAGUCAUCGAAGGGGCUUCCACCCAAGGAAGAGGUGAGUUUGUCAUCUAACUUAGCGGAUAAAGUUGCGAUGAAAACAGUGAAGCUGGGACCAAUGAGGCUCAAGUUGAGUGAAGUAUCAGAGUUAGCCGAGUCAUCGACAAGGCUUCCACCUAUGGGAAAGGUAGGUGGUGCAUCAGACUUUAAAGGAAAAGAAGCGAUGCAUGUGGGACAGUUGACCAGAGUAAAUGCGACGAGCAGGACGGCUCGAGUUAAGAAGCGACAAAAGCCGAGGCAAGAAUCCCAAAGAAAGGGAAAGGCUAAUGCGACGAGACGAGACCGAGGCGAAUCAAGUCAGUGCCAUUCAGAAGUCGCAACGAGGGCGUUGCGAGAAUAGGUGGGGGAGAAUGUCACGGACCACAGUUCAAAGCCCGUAACAAGCGCACCAAAUGCAUCCAAUGGAGGUCUGUUGCUCAGAUGGGGAUCAUUUGGCCUACGAGAACUGGCCCGAUUCAAAGAGCUGUUGGACAGGCCUGUCACAUUGAAGCCUGAUGGGCCCGAUAAUGAAGAUAGGACUAAGUAGUCUUAGAAGUUCUAAUUGUACACAGCUUCUAAUUCUGUAAAGUUAGAGUCCUAAUUGAAUACAGCUUUUAAUUGUAGCCAUCGGUUUUGGGGGAGCUCAACUAUAAAUAGAGAGCCUCCCCCUCAUUUGUACUGACUCUUGUAAUUGUUUCAUUAUUCUUUGUGAAUAAGAAUUGAGAGCAUUUACUCAAACUUUUCUCUCAAGCGUUCUUGCUUUUGUUCAUCUUUCAAAGAUCGUUCUUAAUUCGUUCUUCCGCUGUUCUUCAUGGAAACUUUAAGGGAAUUCUGUUGAAUCCUUUAUUGUUGCGAGUUGAGCUGACUUAGGCGUUUUUACGGUUGAAUCCAUUAUUGCUGGAAGUUAGGCUGACUUAGGCAUUUUUAAGCCAAGAAACUGCCUAAGGCCGCACGGAUGUGUGGGAAAACUCCAAGUCCGUGACAUAAGUUCCUCCUUGGAGAUCCAAUUUAUUCAUUCAAAAACUGAAAAAAGGUUGUGCUUUGACAAUGCUAAAAUCACCCUUUUAGCAGGUCAAUUGCCACUAUCGUAUCUAAAAAAUUCUUUUAACGUGGCUGACCGUGUAAGCACUCUCUUAAUUCAACUAAUGGGAUUUCAUCCACCUCCCUUUUCUCUUGCCAUAUCAAUUAUUGGGUCACGAUUCUCAUCCCAAGUUGGGCUUCAAAUACUUAAUCCCAAGUUGCCAGAAAAAUUGAAAUUAUUAACUAAGCUAUUUUAAGAAAAAUUUAUUAAUCUAUUCUUAUUCAAGUAAUUCCUCAAAUUAGAAUAAAAAUUUAUGUUUAUAAAAAAAUAUAAUAAUAUUUUAAACUCAGAUGGUUGCCAAAAGAAAUUUAAUGAUUGAUUUUAGCUAUGAUUGAAUUCAAUGGCAUUGGGAGGAUAGGACCCCCAAACCAUUAAAAACAGAACACAAUGGACGGCCUCGGAGGCGGCCUCGGAGGAAGCGAAGAAAUUCAAUCCACGUGGGAAACCCAAUACCAUCCUUCCACACACACGACAGGCAGACGGACAGAGAACGCGAGUUUAAAAAAAGUUACCUUAAAAAAAGGAAUCACUAAUAAUGGUUUAAACCUUAUGUUCGUCCGUUGUAUUUUGUAGCAAACAAAAAGCAGGGGACGCGAACACCAUUUGCAGGGAGCCGCUGCAAAUGCUCUUUUCAAUAUGGCGAAACAACACGCCUGGGCUCACUCUGCACAUCCUCGUUCGCCUUCUUAUCUCUUCUUCUCCGUCGUUGCGCUUUCUUUCCUCUCCCUUAUCGCCCUCCUCAUCUACAAGGUCCACCUCCUUUUUCUUUUUCUUUUUUAAUAUUUAUCAGCUGCUAAUGGAACCAGCAAUGUUCUGACUGUUUUUUUUUUCCGGUGGAGAUUUAGGUGGAUAAUUUUGCUUCCCAAACGAAAACAAUCGUGGGUCAUAAUUUAGAGCCGACGCCGUGGCAUCUUUUCCCGCCGAAAAACUUCACCGACGAAUCCCGACAUUCCCGGGCUUACAAGAUCAUCCAAUGCUCCUAUCUGACUUGUCGCUACGCCGCCACCGUCGGUGGCGCUCAACCUUCGGAGGGGCAGGAGGAGGAACGACGGGGCUUAGUCUCCUCUCGUACCCGUCCACAAUGCCCAAACUUUUUCAAGUUCAUUUACCGUGAUCUUGAACCAUGGAUGAAGACCCGGAUAUCCGUUAACCACAUAAAUGAAGCCAAGGAACACGCGGCGUUUCGUAUCGUUAUUGUUGAAGGAAAAUUGUUUGUCGAUUUGUAUUAUGCUUGUGUACAAAGUAGAUUGAUGUUUACGCUAUGGGGAAUUUUACAGCUUAUCAAAAAGUAUCCUGGGAUGGUCCCUGAUGUGGAUAUGAUGUUUGAUUGCAUGGAUAAGCCUACCAUUGAAAGAGCUAGAGUUGAAAAUGGGUCUUUGCCGUUGCCUCUGUUCCGGUAUUGUACAACUGAGGCUCACUUUGACAUCCCUUUUCCCGACUGGUCCUUUUGGGGUUGGUAAGAAUCACUCAUUCCCAACUUCAUUUGAGAUUCUAAUUUGUCUACUUUUACUACAAGAUCAUAUCUGCAUAAUCUGUGUUUACACUUACCAUAACCUAACUCCAUUCGUGUAACUUAAAACCUCAAGUUACCAAAUCAAAAUUGUCCCAAACCUAAAAUGAUAUGAAUAACUUAAAUUGUUAAUAAUCUGGGUAUACCAGGGAUUGCAGGUAAUUUGCUAUCGACUAAGCUCCAGGUGCUAAAUUGUUAAUGAUUCUGUGCAGAUAGAAUGUUAAAUUGAGUAGACCAUUUGAUGGUAGUAUGAAUUGUGUGAAAAUAUGUUCAAGUUGCGAAGCUUAACAACGCUGUAUCCCUGAAUGCAGAAAUGUUGAGUUAUGUUGGUGUCACUCUAUGUAGUUGUCAUCCAUAUGAUUCAUGUUCAAAUACUCCCAAGUCUAAAAGUGUUUUUCUUGUUUAUGUGAAUCUUAUAUAUAUUGGCAUGCUAUAUGUGUUGGGAUAUGUGUGUGUAUAGUGCUCCUCUCUACUAGCUUAUGCAAAUGGAGCAUCUUGAAUCUAUCUUGGAAUUUUUCAUUAGUCGCAGCUAUGGUGGUGAUAUAAGAGAUGUGGUCUAGAAUUCAUGUUAGUUUUGGUGGAUAUUUAUUUGAAUUCUUGUGCACAUCUUUGUGAAUGACUUGUCUGCAGGCCAGAGGUAAAUGUAGAGGCAUGGGAUGAGCAGUUCAAAGAAAUUAAGAAGGGAUCACAAGCUCAAACCUGGUUGAAGAAGAUUCCCCGUGCCUAUUGGAAAGGAAAUCCAGAUGUUGAAUCUCCAAUACGUCUGGCACUAAUGCAAUGCAAUGACUCUAACUUGUGGGGUACAGAAAUUAUUCGUCAGGUUGGUUUGAAAAGUUUUAUGUGAACGCAUGAAUUUUUCUAUUUAGAAAUGAUAGGUCUAACAGCCAAAAAUGUGCUUUAAAGUGCAAUAAUGAUAAUAAGAUUUAUGUUGUUUGAUGAUGUUGCUUUUUAUUGUGCAUUGCAGGACUGGGCGGAAGAAGCAAAGACUGGGUAUGAGCGGUCCAAACUAUCCGAUCAGUGUAACUAUCGGUGAGUUCUCUUCUUUGACUGAUAUUACUACAGCAGACAUACUUAUAUUCAACAUUUGCAUUUGAGUCCGGAUAAUAGCCUUAGGCUGUGUGAUGGGCCUGGAACUUUAGAAGACUAUUCCUUAAGAGUCCUAAACAAACUUGGUAGCUACAAGUUACUAGAGUGCUUUGACUUGGUUUCCACGCUUUUUGUAGGUUAGCCUUCUAGAAUUUUCCAGGUUUGGGUCGGGUCAAGAUGCCCCGUAUGAACAACUUGGUUUGCUGUGUGAGCCUUGAUCAUGAGCUGGUGUGCACAGGCUGUGACAUUGGCACAGUACAUUUAAAGCUUGCUAUUUAGACUAGUCCUUGGGGACCUAAGAAUCAACCGCCCCUGCCUUUAAAUCCCAGAUUUCUUCCCUAGAGUUCAAUCAGCUUGGAUUGCAUUGUAGAAAGCCGCCAUAAGGGCUACAUUUUAUAAUGGAAAUUAAACAAAUUUUGUUCCAAGGCUCAAAAAGUGCAUAAUUUAAUAUUGUUUUGUAAUACUUGUCUGAUAUUGAAAGUAAUAUACUGAUAUUUUUGUUUCCCGUUUUCUGCAGUUAUAAGAUCUAUGCUGAAGGCUAUGCUUGGUCUGUAAGCUUGAAAUAUAUCCUAUCUUGUGGUUCACUUCCUCUAUUAAUUUCCCCACAAUAUGAAGAUUUCUUCACUCGUGCCCUCGUUCCCAAGUUAAACUACUGGCCUGUCUCUAACGUUGAUUUAUGUCGCUCCAUAAAGUUUGCUGUUGACUGGGGUAAUACAAACCCGUCUCAGGUAUGAUCUUUUGGCAUUCGAAUUGGCAAUAAGCAACAACUAUUAUAGGUUUAAACUGAAUCUAGAAUUCUUUCUUUUGAGCAUCCACAUAAAUUCAUGGCAAUAUUAGUACAUGGUUAUGGGGUAUGAUCCUCUAUAUAUUUAUGAGAAAGCUUGGAACAUGGUUGACCCCUAUUAGUGAUACAUUCUUUCUUUCUGAUAAAUUUGACUAAACAGGCAGAGGCAGUCGGGAAAAGAGCGCAACAUCUGAUGGAAAGUUUAAGCAUGGAUCGGGUUUACGAUUACAUGUUUCACCUGAUUUCAGAAUAUGCAAAGCUGCAAGACUUUAAGCCUGUCCCGCCCUCAUCAGCUCAGCAAGUAUGUGAAGAAUCCUUGCUUUGCUUCGCAGAUGACAAGCAAAAGGAAUUCCUUAAGAAAUCAGCAGUGACUGAUGGUUCAUCAACGCCGCCCUGCACCCUUAUCAAGCGUCCCAACCCUAAUUUUUUCACUAUUUGGAAUGAUCAGAAGAGGAAAAUAAUUGAUAAUGUGAGAGAUAUGGAGAACAGAGCAAAUGCAGCCAUCACCUAGAUGACAUACCUAAUGAAUUUAUGUCUGCACUUAGUCAUUUAUACAGAAAUUCUUUUAAAUCCUUUUUACACGUUAUUUUUUAUAUUUAUAUUUAUAUUUAUACGACAAAAAAAGAAAAACCAAAUGAAAUGGAAGUGGUGGAAUUACAAACUUGGGUUGCAAAUUUAGUUAAAAUUAAUUUUUCAUGUUGGUUUUAUGUAUAUAUAUUUUUUAAUUCAUUAAACAAUGUAUUUUUAUUAACAAAAUAUUCUCCUCGUAAUCAAAAUUUAGGGAAAAUAUACAUGUAUUUGGGUAGUACAGAUAGAACACGGCUAUCUGAAGACAACAGAAAAUUAUAAGACAAUAGUCUUACUACCAAUUGGGUAGGGAAAAAUGAAACAGGAGUUGUGCUUGGCUCUCUUGUAAUUUUUGAAUUAUCUGAGUAGUACCAUCCAAUUCUGAUUCUGAACUAAAUGCACAUUAUCCUCUAGAUAUCUAAAUUCGAAAAAAAAAAAUCUAAAAUUAAUAUUUUCUAUCAUAUGUUGGAUAUCAAAAUCCACAAAAAUUUGAAUUCGAAUAUGAAAGUCUAUAUUUAUAGACAUAGGAAGUAUAAAUAAAAUAGAACUCUACUUUCUAAUUACUAUUAAAAUUUAUCUAAGAUAUUCAUAACACUCCUUAUAUAUCGUUAAAACCAGUAAGAUAAAAACCACGUGCGAAAAAAAAUUGCUAGGGAAGAAAAAAGAGUACACAUAUCUAUAAUACGCAUAAUAUAUUGCUUCGUUAAAAACCUUACCAGGAAAAUCCAAUGGGACAAAACCUCGGUUAAAGAAAAAAGAGUACAGUGCGUAUUUACUCCCCUCAUGAAAACAUCACAUACUUUCUCAUAUUCUACGUAUUCAAAAUUAAUUAUUUUAAUUGCAUGAUCUAAAAUUAAUUAUUUAAACAAAUAAUCUUGCAAACGAUAAAUUACAAAUUGAUAAUACAUAUGUGAUUAUUUUGUAGAUGCAUCUACCAAAAUAAUAUAAUAUCAAAAUCAUCCUUAUGGUGGAUGAAUAAGCCCAUAUUCAUUUCAGAAAUACAAAAUAUUAAAUUUCAACUUUAGCUAGUGAGUUUCUAAUAAGCAAUUUCCAUUGAAAACAAGCAACAAAUGAGAAUUUUUAAAUUAAAGAAUCUUCUAGUUCUUUAAUGAAUAUCCAUAUGAAUUCUCAAUUAAUUUUGGCAUCAUAUAUAAUCUAGAAUGAUCUAACUGGUCACGCCAAAUAGUAAAUGUAUUUGUAUCAAUAAACUUCUGGUUUACUUUAACAUGCAUUUCAAUUGUACUAAUAAUGUCAAUAUUAAUUGUAACAAAUUGAUAAUUUUACUGUCACUCCUUUUACUUUGUAUCCACAUAUAAGUACUAUUAAGACAUUUACUACUGGAAAUGUCUAAAUCAAUGUGAAGUCUAUAAUGCCACUAAAUCAACAAAAUAUAAUUUCCAAACAAUUAUAUGCAAUAUUCACUUCAGGGAAUAUGUCGAAAUCUUCAAAUCAAAUCAAUAGCUUAAUCCUCCUUUUUUUUUCAUCCAUUCAAAAUAAAUAUUUAUAACAAUAGUAAUUUAUAUGAAAUAUAAUAUUUUCUUCAUUCAUAAUCUCAAUAUGGUAUCCAUUAUAAUGAAUAUGUUUUAAAACUAAUGCAUUAACCAUCACAAAUUUUGUGCUUUUUAGAUAUUGAUGUAUUAACUCUUUUGGAGCUUUCAACUAAUUUUGUACUAUUAAAUAUUAGAAUAAUAUUUGUUUGUUUUAGUACUAAAUAAGAUAAAUAUUUUCUAUCUAUAAUGAUAGAAUUCAUUACUACAUUCUAAUAUCCUUACUCAAAGAAUAACAGAAAUAAAAUAUUUGGGCAUACGCCAUAUGUGGCCAAUAAUCUUUUAUAUCACAUUGAUAACAUAAGUUAUCUUUAACCCUUGAAGAGUUGUCUUGAGAACUCUCAUUGUUCUUUUAUUUAUUACUAUGUUCACACUCUUAGUAGUCCAUGAUUAUAUCUUUUAUUUAUUUUUUUUAUAUUUGCAUUCACUUCGGGGAAUGCAACAUAUUUAGUAGGAGGGACUUAUAAACAUCUCAAUAGAUUCUUUAUUUCAUAAUCAUUAUCACAAAUAUACGUGGAUUUCAAAUCAGAAUCUAUCUAUUCAUAUUGUCAUGAUUAGUCUCAAAUUAUAAUAAACAUGAUAUAAUAAAUCAUAGUAAAAUAUUCUUGAAGAUCUUUAGCAUUUCCGUCAUCACCCACGUAAGUAUUAUUUAAAUUUCUUGGAUAAUGAUUACCCAUAGUGCACAGGCCUCAAUUGAAGAUUGAAAUUACAAUAGCUCAAGGUAAUUGACAACAACUUGAGUAACAGAUUUGGAGUAACUGUAUUAUAAAAUAAAAGAGGAUUGUGCUGAUAACGUGUUAUAAAAUAAAAAGACAGAAAGUAAAAAACAAAAAACAUAGGAGAGCAAAAGAGAGAGCGUAUUUUAUUGACCAUGAUAAGUUUUGAUGUACUUUAAAUUCUAAUAGUAAUUAGAAAGUAGAGUUUUAUUUUAUUUAUACUUCUUAUGUCAAUAAAUAUAGACUUUGGAGAAGCAUUGUAAAUAUAUCCCAUUGAUAAAUAAAAUGCACUCUCUCUUUGCUUUCAUAUUCUCUUUGUUCUUUACUUUCUAUCUUUUUAUUUUGUAAUAGUUUAUUCAUAAUUAACAAUAAAUAAUUGCAAAACAAUUAAUAACAGUAGUUAAAUAACAAUAUAAACAAAUUAAGCAUAACAAUUUUAUAAAAAUUUAAAUAUAUCUAACUACUAACAACUUAAACAUAAGAAUUCCGAACAAAAAAGUCAUAACAAUUACUAAUUAUAUAAUGCUAAUUGUAUAUAUUAUAAUCUAUCAUAAAGUUAAUUAUACAUAUAGAGUUUAAGCUUACAUAUAAUUAAGGAGGUGCUUGGUUCAAGGAACAUAAUGUUACAUUUCGUAAAAGCGGGUGCCUUUGAAGCGGGUGUUCAUCUCAUUAUUAAGGAGCAGGUGGGCUUGCAUAUCUAGAGGAUGGCCUUGAUAACCGAAGGGUGUCGCUCCUCUAGUUGGGGAUGGAUGGUCAACCAGGACUUUAUCUCAAGUGAAGUCAGAGGGAGAUCAACACCUUUUGUCCUGUUAACACUUGUCCAGGUGGUGGAGGGGUAUAACAACCUUAUUUGACUCAUUUGGUUGGAAUGUAAGAUUCAAGUGUUUGAUUGAAAAAAUGUAAAAUUAUGGCUCCGUUUGUUUGCAGGGAAACAUUUUCCAUAAAAUGUUUUCCUGAUUUUACGGUGUUUGGAAGCUUGAAAAUAUUUUACAUUUGGAAAAUAUUUUCCAAGAGACAGGUAAAAUGAAUGGGUUUUAGGGAAAAUGUCUUACAUAUUUUUUUUCUAUAAGACAUUUUCCAUCUCCUUCUUCAUCCAGGUAAAAAUCCUUCUCCUUCUUCCGUUUUUCAUCUUCUUUCUCUCUUUCUCAGGCAAAUCUCAUUCCUCACUUUCUCUCUUUCUCAGGCAAAUCUCAUUCCUCUUCGCAGGGUCUUGGCUUAAGGUAUGACAUCUUCUUUUUAAAGCUCUUUUUUUUUCUUCUUGUUAUUUACUUGUCCACAUUUUCCCCGAUUUUAUAUCUGAAAUUUUAUGCCUUUCCUUGUUUCUUUAUUUUUAAUUUUUUUCUGGGUUUGGAUAAAUUCUAUCUAUUCAGGGUUUUGGUGUGUAUGAUAUUUCAAUGUUAGGAAAUGGUUGCCUCUAUCUUCUUUGAAGUUGCCUGUGCUUCAUAUCAAUUUUGAUACUUGAACACUAUAAAGAUAAUAUGCAUGUAUGUCAAUUAUAGCUUCUGUAAUUGCAAUAUCAUUUCAGAUUUUUAUGUCGAUUUUAUGUUUGAGCCAAAUUUCAUGAAAUACAUUUUUAACUCUCUGCGAGCAGUAGAGAAAGAUUUUUUUUUCAGUCAUUACAAUAUCAGGUUUUUAAGUCUCUCCAAUCACUUCUAGUUGAACUGGGAUUACUUAAAAAUCAUCACCAUUUACCCCUUUAGCCUUGUUCAAUAAUCAUCUCGACUUCUGGCCUUUAGUUCAUCAAUUCCCGCACAGAUCUUUGGCAAUGGUCUCUAGAAAUCUCAACCAUCCACCAACUCAUUUCCCUAUUCUUCAACAUUCCAACAUAAAAGUAAAAAAAAUGUGCUUUUCACAUCCAAUACAAUUAGGUCCAAAAUGGUCCCAAAAGGUGGAAAGAAGAAAUUCCAGUUGAUGAUGAAGCCUCAGCCAUUGUUUCUGCGGUGGGAACUCUGACAGUGGCAGUGACAUCCACCAAUUCUGAUAUAGGAAGCAAUGAUUUUUUACCAGAAAAAGUAACCCACUUUUCCUUCUUUCUCCAUAUUCCCACUUCACCCUUUCAACUUAAAAUGCCUCAAAGAGGUAAAAAAGGAUGAGCAAGUACAAUAACAAAUAAGCUUAACAAUGAAAUAGAAAAACAAAAUCAAUAGCUAUUUCAGUAAGUUCCAUUUGUGUCAUUUUCAUUAAACAUUAGUGAUACUGAAAAUAAAAAUGAAAAAAAAAAAAGUUCUCAUCAUUCUUCGUGAUGCAUUAACAUUUCUUAAGAACCCCCAAAAAAAAUCUAAUCAGUAAUUAACCCCCAAAAACCCCCCCAAAAGAAAAAGGGAGCCAUAUCAUAGAGUAGAUCCUGGGCAGGCUAAUUUCAUAUCCUCAUAUAGAUAUAACAUUCACAGAGCUAAAACUAUAGCAGUAUAUUUUUGUUUAUAUAUAUAUAUAUAUAUAUAUAUAUAUAUAUAUGUAAUAGGCCAAUUUUGGCUUGGGCCCGAAAAAGAAAAAUAAUAACUGAAUAAAUAAAGCCAAAGGAUAUAAUCAGACGAAAAAAAACCAAAAAGGGCCAAAUUGAAAGACAAUUACUAAAUUGGGGCCAAAUCAAAAAGAUGGAGAAAGUCAAGAGUUAUCAAAUUUUGUUGACUUUGUAAAAAGCCAAAAAUAGGAAGAUAUUAUUUUAUUUUUAUUUUUAUUUUUAUUUAUUUUUAUUUUAUUUUUAUUUAUUAAUUAGGCUAUUUUUAGUAAACCCUAUGUAUAUAAACAGGGGUAUUUUAUUCUUUGAAGGGAUAAAUUACUUUUGUAUCCCUACUUCAAUUUGGAAUUAGAUUAUUCUCUCUUUUCCUAUUUCCAUUGGAAUUAAAUUAUUUUCUUUUCUCUUUCAAUUUGAUGUGGGCAUUUUGUCCAUUUCAUUUCAUUUCAAUUUCUUUGUUUUUUUCUAAAUUCGUCCAAUUGUUUUUAGCCCUUCCGCUUUUUUAUUAUUUUGCAAUUAAGUUUUUAUUAUUUUUAAUUUUAGCCCUAAAAUCUACAUUUUGGUCCUUCUUGAAGCUGUGCGUUUUGAAAGCUGGAGAUUAUUUCCCUUUUGUUCCCUCAUUGUUAUUCGCAAGUUCAAAUCGGUCCAUUUCCUUUUAUUUAUUUUUGAUUAAUUUGCCUCAAAAUUUUGCUUUAAGGUUCGAUUUAAUCCUUUUUUUUAUUUUCGCUAUUUUAUUAUCAAAUUAACUAAUUUAAUAUAUUAUUGCUAUUAUUAUUAUGUUUCUAUUUAUAUUUAUUUUGUUAUUCUAAUAAUAUUAUUAUUUAUCUAUUUAUAUUUCUACUAUUAUUAUAUUUCUAUUUAUUAUAUUUCUAUUUCUAUUUAUAUACUAAUAUUAUUUUCAUUAUUGUUUUUCUUAUAUAUGGUUUUUUUACUCUUGUUAUUAACAUUUUAUUUAUUUAUUUAUAUCGUGUUGUUAUUUAUUUAUUUAUGUCCUCUUAUAUGAUUUUAAAACUUUUAUUAUUAUUAUUAUUAUUAUAUUUCUAUGUAUUAUAUUUCUAUUUAUAUUUAUGUAUUAAUAUCAUUAUUUUUUUAUAUAUUAUAUAUUAUUAUUAUUAUUACUAUUAGUACUAUUAUUAUUAUUAUUAUUAUUAUUUAUAGUAUAUUUAUUCACAAAUUGCUCCCUUAAUUUUAUUUUAUAUUUUAAUUUACUCUUCUAUUUUUAAUAUUUUACAAACUACUUUCUUCAAUAUCUAUUUGUAUAUCUAUUUAUGUAUUCAUUAGUCCUUACUAUACCAUAAAAAUAGGUUUUGUCUUGUUCAGUGUCUAUUAUAUUUUUGUUAUCAUUGAAAUUAUUUGUUGUUUGUUUUACCUUAUUUCCCUUCGAUUGUUUGUGUUGGUAUUAAAGUGAUAGUAUGUGAUUAUGGCAUUAUGUAUACUAUGAUUUGUUAGUAUUUCCAUAUUAUAGACAUUCAUUAACAUAACAUUUUAUUCGUACAUUAUUAUUCCAUGCUCAUAUUGCCAUUUUAGUUUGUUUCGUUCAAAUCAUAUCGAGAAUUAGGUCCCAACGUAUUUAUUCAUAAUGUGUCGUUUUAUUAUACUUCAAACAAAAUAAAUACACAUCGUUUUAAAUUUCAUAUUUGCUAUUAUUUCAUAAAAAGAAAAUUUUCAAAUAAGGCAAUGUUCCGUAUUUGGAAACUUGAGAGAUCGUGCCCUAACAUAUUGGGUUUCAAUUUUUCUCGUUUGACCCAAAUGACCGAAUAUCCUUUUAAAAUUAAAAUGCAUGAGUUUUGAAAAUCAAAAGACAAGCUUGUUCUCGAAGGUUUAAAAUGUCAUGUCCUAACGUACUGGAUGUGACAUUUUAUUACUUCGGGAGAAUAAGGUCUUUAGCAUCCGCUUCGAUUUAUCCAAACAUUUUUUGUAAAAUUAACGUUAAUAAAAAAGAGAGGAUCAUAUUUUAAAUUCUUUUCGAGUUUUCAACUUUCAAUGUUAAGACAUUAAUUAAUCAAUUAGGUACCAAUUUUGGGCAUUACGAGGGUGCUAAUCCUUCCUCGUGCAUAACCAACUCUCGAACCCAUUUUCUCAAAUUUCGUAGACCAAAAAUGUUGUUUUAGUAAAUCAAAACGUUUUAUUAAAACGAUUAAUGACAAGGUGACCCGAUCACACCUCAUAAAAAAUGAUUGGUGGUGACUCCAAUUUUUAUUUUCAAAACCAAAGUCGACCCUUUUUUCUUUUCAAAAAAAUGGUUUCGAUAGCUUGGCAACUCCACUGGGGAACUAAUAAGAUAGUCAAGCCGUAAAAUUGAUUAUUUUCUGUCCUUUUGUUGAAAAUUGAAAAUUUGAUUUGAAAAAUCAUGGUUCUUUUGUCCCAUUUGUUUGUGUCAUGUCAUAUGUUUGUUGUGAUUUGAGUUUCAUAGGAUAUUCCUGCAUCAUAUUGCAUGACUGUUGUGGUCACACCUUUUAAAUGAGAGUGAGAAACUAUGCCUUCAUGAGGUUUUCACCUCCGCAUGGGCUAGUGAAUUACUUCCGGGAUACACUUGUACCUAUGUCUUCGUGAGGUUUUCACCUCCACAUGGCUAUAGGGAAAUGUAUUCCCUUGAACUGAACUCGAUCCACAUAAGCCUAUAAUAGGUGAGGAUUGAAUAAUCUGUUGGUUUAGGUACCCUUUCUUAGAACCGAGCCACAUAUAGUGAACUCUGAGAGCCUGCCCUAGAUAUAGCUAUGCUGAACCCUAGUGGUUACCCAGAUAGGUGUUUGACUAUUUUCUAUUUGCUUUGAAUUUUAUUAUUCGAUACUGACUCGUUGUGUUUUGUUGUGGCUAUGGUUGCAUGUCAUUUCAUAUUUAAGAGGUGUUGAUUCUUGUUCAGUCACUAAAUUAGAAAGCUUGUCAUGGAGAACGAACUUUUUGAUAAAGUGGAGGAUAAUGCGGUUGUCCGUAUAUGGUCAGAGAAAAUACAACUUGAGAAAGGGGAUAGCCUAGAUGAGGGAUAUACGCGGAGCUGUGGGACUUCACCCGUAUCAGUGUGACACAAAAUGAGUUCCAGUAAUUGAGGGAUAUAUGGGCUCGUUGGGAUGAUGAGACUAAGCAGUUCAUAAUUAUGGCGACUUACCCUACCUGCUCGACAUCAAGGUGGACAAGCACUUGUUUUGGGCUAUGGCUCAGUUUUGGAACCCCACAUAUAGUUGUUUCACUUUUGGGAGGGUGGACUUAGUGCCUACUGUGGAGGAGUAUAUAGCUCUGCUUCGUUGUCUAAAGGUUCAAGCCGACAAAACUUAUUCUAGGGCCACUAAUGUCCCAAAUUUUGUAAAGAAAUUAAUGAGUAUCAUCAGGAUGAGUGAACAGUGGGUUACAACCCGAAUUUAGCAAAAGGGUGAUGGUAAAUACAUUCAUUGGGUAAGCUUGAGGGACCUGUUCGUAGCACAUCCAGAUAUAAAAAAGAAAGUUGACUUAUUCGCCUUGAGUAUUUAUGGUUUAGUAAUUUUCCUCAAAGCUUUAAGGCAUAUAGAUGAAGCAGUUUCUGACUUAUUUGAUCGACUUGACAAACGGGUCACACCGGUACCGACAAUUCUAGCCGAGAUGUUCAGAUCUUUGAGUGCAUGUCAGAGGGCAGGUGAAGAUAGAUUCAUUGGAUGCGUGUAAUUAUUGUUGGUUUGGUUCCAUAGUCAUUUUUGGAAGGUCGAAAAAGUUUCUUACCGAGUCUUCUCUGAAGAUUAUUCUCCAUUAAAGGAAGUAGCAGCUAUGCCAAUGAGGGAUGACAUAUUAGAAGAAAGGUGGAUGGCGAUUCUUCAAAAUCUCCAAGAGGAAGAUAUUGAGUGGAGAGCCCCUUGGAUGGUUCCCGAAGAGAUCCUCUAUUGGUGUAGGAGUUUUAACUGGGUACUUCUACCUGGAAUUUGGAGAGCCAUUGGAUAUAUCCCUUUACUCGUUUUAAGACAAUACAGAUCAAGGCAGUUUAUAUCGAUGACACAUGGGCUAGCUUAGUGUGAGUUCUUGUAUGGGGGGACAAUUAUAAGAAGAAGGUUCAAGAGAUUUCUGAUGCUUGGAAAUAGACACGCCGGAUGAAGAGAUUGGUGAUAGGUUCAAUGACGAUUCCUAAAUACAAUGGGUGGUUGAGUAAAAGGAUCAAUGAUAAUAUCCUUGGGCCGAGUUUAGAGGGCGUUCGAUCGAUGGAAUAGUACUUGUAAGUAAUUCCCUCUAAGCUAGAAAUCGUAAAAUAAGACUUUGAAGAGAGAAAUUCAGAGUUAGGAAAGAAGAUAGAACAAUUGAAGGAGGAAAAGAUACAUUUGAGGUUAGAUGCCAAUGUUCAAAAACUCGAGGCCGAGAAGUUGAGAAAAAGAAAAAGGAAGGCCGAAGAAGACUUAGACAGUUUGAAGACUGAUUACAAGAAGCUGCAUAUGUUGAUGAGAACUGCUGGAUUGAGAAAGACAUCGGAGCAAUGGCGACAAGAGAUGCAAGAGGAAAGGGCUAAUGCCACUCAGUGGGAGAAAAAGUUUCGUGACACUUAAGUAUGAGAGGACAAUUUUAAAAGGAGAUUGUUGGAGAGCCAAAAUGAAAAUGAGAAGUUAAGAGUUAGAGUAGCAGAGCUAGAAAAGGCAUUUCAUCAGUAUUGUAGUCAUAAUUCAGCGACGGAGUUGAGGGCGAGCCAAAGCAAGAUUGAAAAAUUGAAAGGAAAGUUAGAAGAGCUUGAAACGGCACUACAAAACAGUGGACUCUAGGUGGAACUAUUGACGAGUGAUGGGAAGAACAGUUUCAUCGAUCUCAAAACCAAGUUAGGGAUAAAAAAUUCGUCAUGGACGAAGCCAUGGCUUAGAUACGAGAAGUGGCCGAUCAUUUACAAACCUUAGCGGUUCAGGCUGACGUGCUAAUUGUGAAAUAUGAGUUAGAGUCAGACCGGGGUCGUGAGCUGGCUUGGCUUCUUAAGAGAGUUAAAACUUUGAGCAUCAAAGCAAAGUCGUAUAUAUGAUCUGUUUUAUGUAAAGGAUUUUGUUUUCUAAUAAAGUUAUUCUAAAUGGAAUUGGAUCAGAAUUGGAUCAGAAUUGACACCUUUUUAGUUUUGCAUUCAUCUCAUGCAUUUGCAUUACAUCGCAUCAUGUUCAUUAAAUUUCACAAAAUAACCCUAAUUAAUUAGAAAUCGUAUUAUAGUGACCCUAGAGCAUCACUACUACACACGGAGAAAAACUAAAGCUAUGGAUCAAAGGUUGGAAAACUUGGAACAAACGCAAAAAGAAAUACAAGAUCGGCUGCAAAUACAGAUACAAGAGCAACUGGCCAAUAUUCAGCAGGAUAUGAAAGAUCAGAUGUUAGAAUCAUAAAAGAACAUGAUGAAUCAGUUAACUCAGUUGCUGCUUGGAGGGCCAAAAAAAGGAAAGAGCCUUAUGGUCAAUUCCAGGGAUAUAGCGAGGACCUUGUCUAUCCGUCGGGUUUCGCCUCAACAAAUACCCCAGCAGAACCCAAUGCAUAUCCACCUAGGGUGUCCGUCAAUAUCAGUCCCCAACACUAAGCCGGUAUUUUGGUAUUAACAAACUUCCCGACAGGCUCAGGCUUCAAAGACAAUCCGAUAAAUCCCGGUGUCCCUAAUCUUGAUGACAUAGCGAAGGUAGAAAAGGCCAAAGGGAAGCUCCCAAAACAACUCGAAGAACAAUGCAGAUGGCUGGAAGAGAAGUUCAAAGUAUUGAAAAGUGCUGAUUAUCAUUAUGGAGUUGAUGCCAAAUGCUUGAGCUUGGUUCCAGACCUGAUGCUCCCACUCAAGUUUAAGACCCCGGAGUUUGAGAAAUAUAAUGGGACUAGCUGCCCUGAGGCCCACAUUAUAAUAUUCUGUCGGAGGAUGACGGGAUAUGUCAACAACUAUCAGUUGUUAGUUUACUGUUUCCAGGACAGUUUGACUGGGGCUGCGGCUAAAUGGUACAAUCAGCUGAAUCAUACCCAAGUUAAAUAAUGGAAAAACAAUAUAGCCAUGUGAUGGACAUAGCGCCUGACAGGAUCACGAUACAAAACAUGGAGAAAAAGUCGAGUGAAAGUUUUAGACAAUAUACUCAGAGGUGGAGGGAAGUCACUACACAAGUCCAACCGCCACUGUUGGAAAAAGAAACAACCAUGCUCUUCAUUAAUACCUUGAAAACACCUUUUAUUAAUCACUUGCUGGAGAGCACAACCAGGAGUUUCUGGGACAUAGUAAUGUCCGAUAAAAUGAUAGAAAAUUCGAUAAGGUGAAGAAAAAUAGAAGCGGGGGAAAGUACUGAAAGAUCAGCCCCAAGAAACAGUGAGAAUGAGGUGAAUAACAUGAGCACAUAUAGCAAGGGUCAUUCAAAGUCGAUUACUGUGAGCCAGCCGAAGACAAUAACCACCAACCAUCAGGCCUCCCGAGACAAGCAUAAAAGUUACAGUUCACACCUAUAAAACUUGGGAUCUAUUUCAGAAAGAGUUUCAAAAGAAAUAUAUCGGAGAAAUGUACAUCGAAGACAAGAAACAAGAGUUUUUGACGUUACAAUAGGGUGACAUGUCAGUAAUAGACUAUGAGAGAGAAUUCUCGAGACUCAGUAGAUAUGCCUCAGAGUUUAUUCCAACUGAAGCUGAUAGUUGUAAGAGAUUUUUACGGGGUCUACGAGAUGAGAUCAAAUUACAGUUGGUAUCUCAACGUAUUACUGAAAUGGUAGACUUGAUUGAGCGAGCUAAAAUGGUAGAACAGGUGUUGGGCUUUAAUAAAAAGACUCAAAGUGUUAGACCAGCUGGGAAGCGUACAGGAACUACCAGUUGAACCCUCAGCCGAAAAGACCAAAAGAAUCUCAGGGUGGUUGGAGAUUCAGUUUUAGAUCAGACAGAGGUGGAAGAAGCCAGGGAAAACAGACGACGGUAUCUACUGGUAGUAUACGAGGUCCACCUCGAGAUGUAGACAUUCUAGAAUGUGGACAUUGUGGAAAGAGACAUUUGGGUGAAUGUUGGAAAUUGACCGGAGGUUGUUUCCGUUGUGGGUCGACGGAGCAUUUUGUUAAAGACUGUCCGAAUAAUAAAAAUGAUACUCCUGUCACAUCACAGAAAUCAGUAUCUACUGCUCGAGGCAGAGGUCUAGGUAGAGGUAGUUCGGUUGUUAGAGGAGGAGCUGGUAGAAGGAGCAGUGAUAUUAUUACUCAGCAGUCUGAAGCCAGAAUACCAGCUAGAGCUUAUGUGGUCAAAACUCGUGAAGAAGACGAUGCCCACGAUGUGGUAACAGGUAUAUUGUUAUUGUAUUCUAAGCCUGUUUAUGCGUUAAUUGAUCCUGGAUCUUCACAUUCUUACAUUAAUUCGAAUUUAGUUGAGUUGAGAAAAUUAAAAUCCGAAAUGUCUAGAGUGUCUAUUGAGGUGUUGAGUCCGUUGGGGCAAACAGUGUUAGUGAAUCAGGUCUGUCUAAGAUGCCCGUUGAUUAUACAGAAUAAAACUUUUCUGGUUGACUUGUUACUUAUGCCAUUUGGGGACUUUGAUAUAAUUUUGGGCAUGGAUUGGUUAUCCGAAUAUGGGGUGAUUUUGAAUUGUUACAAAAAGAGGUUCAGUAUUCAGACAGAGGAUGGGGAUAGAGUUGAAGUAAGUGGCAUCCGUACCAGUGGUCUGACACGCAUCAUUUCGAUAAUGAAAGCUAAUAAAUUGCUUCAGCAGGGUUGUUCAGCAUAUUUGGCAUAUGUUAUUAAUUCUGAUUCAGUUGGAAGUCAGUGUAGUCAGAUCAGGACUGUAUGUGAGUUUUCAGAUGUAUUUCCUGAAGAAUUGCCGGGCUUACAACCUAACAGAGAGGUUGAAUUUGCUAUUGAAGUGUAUCCGGGUACAGCACCAAUCUCUAUACCUCCAUAUCGAAUGUCGCCCACUGAGUUGAAAGAGUUGAAGGUGCAGUUACAGGAUUUACUAGAUCGUGGAUUUAUUAGACCAAGUAUUUCACCCUGGGGAGCUCCAGUAUUGUUUGUUAAAAAGAAAGAUAGUUCUAUGCGGUUAUGCAUUGAUUAUCGACAGUUGAAUAAAGUGACGAUCAAGAACCGAUAUCCGUUGCCUCGUAUAGAUGAUUUGUUUGAUCAACUUAAAGGAGCUUCAGUAUUCUCAAAAUUUGAUUUGAGAUCAGGGUAUUAUCAGCUAAAGGUGAAGGAAAGUGAUGUGCCUAAGACUGUCUUUCGUACUCGUUAUGGUCAUUAUGAAUUUUUGGUGAUGCCGUUUGGGUUGACUAAUGCCCCAGCUGCUUUCAUGGAUUUGAUGAACCGCAUUUUUCAGCCUUAUUUAGAUCAGUUUGUGGUGAUUUUUAUUGAUGAUAUAUUGGUAUAUUCGAAGACAGAAGCAGAACAUGAUCAGCAUCUUCGAAUAGUUCUACAGAUUUUACGAGAGAAACAGUUGUAUGGAAAGCUCAGUAAAUGUGAAUCCUGGUUAUCAGAGGUUGUAUUUCUGGGACAUGUAGUAUCUGCAGACGGAAUUCGGGUUGAUCCAAAGAAAAUUGAAGCGAUUGUCCAAUGGAAACCACCCAAGAAUGUAUCAGAGGUACGCAGUUUUCUCAGUCUAGCUGGGUAUUACAGGAGGUUUGUAAAUGGAUUCUCAAAGAUAGCACUACCAAUGACUAAACUACUGCAAAAGAAUGUUUCUUUUAUCUGGGAUGACCAGUGCCAGAAGAGUUUUGAGACUUUGAAGCAAAUGUUGACAGAGGCACCGGUAUUAACAUUACCAGAGUCGGGAAAAGAUUUUGUCGUGUAUAGUGAUGCUUCUCUAAGCAGUCUGGGCUGUGUAUUGAUGCAAGAUGGGAAGGUCGUAGCUUAUGCAUCUCGACAAUUAAAAAUACAUGAACGUAACUACCCGACGCACGACUUGGAGCUAGCUGCAGUAAUUUUUGCUUUAAAGAUUUGGAGGCAUUACCUAUAUGGUGAAAAAUACUACAUUUACACGGAUCACAAAAGUCUUAAAUAUCUUCUGUCGCAGAAGGAGUUGAAUUUAAGAUAGAGACGGUGGAUCGAACUUCUGAAAGAUUAUGAUUGUAUUAUAGAUUAUCACCCGGGAAAGGCGAAUGUGGUAGCUGAUGCAUUGAGUAGAAAAGCAGUGGGGGAAUUAAGGGCAAUAUUUGCUCAACUUAGUAUUAAUGAUGAUGGAAGCUUGCUAGCUGAAUUAAGGGUUAAGCCGAUGAUGUUUGAUCAAAUUAGAGCAGCUCAGAUGAAAGAUGAUAGAUUAUUGAAGAAAAGAGAAAUGGUUCAAAAUGGUACGACCAAGAGUUUUAGUAUUGACGGGUAUGAUUGUUUGAGGUUUCAAAAUCGAGUUUGUGUUCCAGCUAAUUCUGAACUAAAAGAGUUAAUUCUUCGAGAAGCACAUGAUAGUGCAUUUUCUUUGCACCCUGGUGGAACGAAGAUGUAUUGUGAUUUAUGAGAAUUAUAUUGGUGGCUUGGAAUGAAAAGGGACAUAGUUGAAUAUGUUAGUAAAUGUUUGACAUGUCAGCGAGUAAAGGCAGAACAUCAAGUUCCUACGGGAUUACUUCAGCCUAUUAGCAUUCCUGAGUGGAAAUGGGAUCGUAUUACAAUGGAUUUUGUUACAGGAUUGCCAUUGUCAGCAAGUAAAAAGGAUGCUAUUUGGGUAAUUGUUGAUCGGCUUACAAAAUCAGCUCACUUUAUAGCUGUUAGAACAGAUUGGUCAUUGCAGAAGCUUGCAGAAGUGUAUAUUCGAGAAAUUGUUAGAUUACACAGUAUUCCGGUGUCAAUAAUCUCAGAUCGAGAUCCUCGGUUCACAUCGAGAUUUUAGAGACAGCUACAUGAAUCAUUGGGUACUCGACUUAACUUUAGUACGGCUUUUCAUCCGCAAACAGAUGGACAGUCCGAACUGGUAAUACAGAUAUUAGAAGAUAUGCUUCGGGCUUGUAUCAUUGAUUUUGAAUCAGGUUAGGAACGUUAUUUGCCAUUAGCUGAAUGUGUCUAUAACAAUAGUUUCUAAUCUAGUAUUCAAAUGGCUCCGUAUGAAGCAUUAUAUGGUCGAAGGUGUCGAUCACCGGUAUGUUGGACAGAAUUGAAUGAAAGAAAAUGAUUGGGCCAGAAUUGAUUCAAGAAACAGAAGAAACAGUUAAGAAGAUUAAAGAUAGAUUGAAAGUAGCUUUUGAUAGGCAGAAAUCAUAUGCAGACUUGAAACGGUGAGACAUUUAAUAUUCUGUUGGUGAUAAAGUAUUCCUCAAAGUAUCACCUUGGAAGAAAGUUUUGAGAUUUGGCCGAAAGGGUAAGUUGAGUCCACGUUUUAUUGGGCCGUAUGAGGUUGUGGAAAGAAUUGGGCCUGUUGCCUACCGACUAGCUUUACCUCCAGAAUUACAGAAAAUUCAUGAUGUUUUUCAUGUUUCGAUGCUCCGGAGAUAUAGAUCGGAUCCUUCCCACAUUAUUCCUACUGAAAAUAUUCAAAUUCGGUCUGAUUUGACUUAUGAAGAAGAGCCGGUUCAGAUAUUAGCUCGAGAAAUAAAAGAGCUGAGAAAUAAACGGGUCCCUUUAGUAAAAGUGUUAUGGAGGAGUCAUAGUAUGGAAGAAGCGACAUGGGAACCGGAAGAAACGAUGAGAGCACAAUAUCCUCAUCUAUUCUCAGGUAAAUUUCGAGGACGAAAUUUAUUAAGGAGGGGAGAAAUGUAAUGACCCAAAAUUCACAGGCAUCGAAAAAAGUACAUUAUCGGGCCUCCGUCUUAGUAAAUCGAGUUCGAAAUAAUUACUAGAAAUAUUUAUGAGUCUAGCGAUGUGUUUAAUUAGGUUUAAAUUAGGUGAAUUUAGCUUAAUUUAGAGUAAUUAGUAAAAUGACUAAAUUGAAUAAAGGGCAAAGGUUCAAUUAUAGAUCAAUAGAAAAUAAAAAGGACCAAACUAGCAAUUUUACCAAUUAGCAUAGAUGAGGCGGCAUAAACUGUAAAAAAAUCUAAGGCUUUUCUUAGAUAUUUGUUAUUGAUUGAUUAAAUUAAAUUAUAAUAUAUUAUUAGCAACUAAAACAAAUAAAAGAAAGAAAAUAAAGUAAAGAACAAAGAAAAGAAACAGAAUAGGCAAACGAAAAGUAGGGGAAGGAAAGAAAGAAAGAAGAAAGAAAAGAAAAAGGGAGAAUUAGGGUUUGAAGGUUUGAAAGUUUAAUAGGUAAGUUAAUUUAGCCCUUUUUACUUAAUUUUAAUGUUUUAAAAGCUUUAGAACAAAGUUUUGAUGAAAUUAAAUUAAUAUUUUGAAAGUUAUUAGAAUUCUAAAUAUUGUUCAUGUUGAAUAAAAAAAUGAAAUAGGGGUUUAAUUGAAUGAAAUUCAAGUUAAAAUAGAUAUAAGGAUCGAAUUGCAAAGUAAGCUAUAAGUUUUGUGUUUUAGGGACUAAAUUGAGGAAAAUUUCGGAAUUAAGAAAAUAUGUUGAAAAUUUAAUAGUUAAAUUUGAGUUUAAAUGAAAUUUGAAUAGACAUAAGGUGUGAAUUGGUGUUAUAAAUUUGGUUAUUAACAUUUUACAUCAAAACAGUUUUGGGAAGUAGCAAUGGUCUGACUUUGAAAAUUCACUAAAAAUUGUAUAAAUUGAAAUAGAGGAUGAACAAAAUAUGUAAUUAAAUCUUAUUGAGUCUAGUUUCUUAUAGUAUAAAUAUUGUAAGCAAUGAAUUGAUGAAUCAAGAGAUAUUUGAAAUUUUGUAAGACUGGUUUGGGGUGAUUUCGAGAUGCCCUGUUUUAACUUUGGAAAAUCAUUAUAAAUUGUACAAAAAUUAUUAUGGAGUUAAUUUAUAUGUGUGAACUCCUUAAUGAAUAUAGUUUCAAAAUAAGUAAACAAGAACCUUAUUCGAGUUCUGUACAAUGAGAUAAUUUAUUUUUAGUAGAGAGAGGUCAGAACUGUCAAAUGAAAUAACAGGGGAGUAUUUAAUGAAUAAACUGUACUAAUUGGCUAGACCAAAAAUUCUGAAAAUCUUAUGGUGAGAAGAUAUAUGAGUCUAGUUUUAAGAAAAAUUUAUGGAUAUUAAUUUGGAGUUUUGUAGCUCAAGAUAUAAAUAAUUUAGUAACAAUGACUCAAGUAGACAGCUUAAUGGUGAAAUUAUAUAUAUACAUUAAAAAUGGUUAAAUUUGCAUGUUUAGGCUCAUGGAUUAAAUUGAAUUGUGUUAUAUUGAUGAUUAUAAAUUAUUAUUAUUUUCGUAGUUAACAAAGAACCCAAGACAUCGGCGCACAAAGGAAAGGAGAAAGCUAUUGAGGAUUAAAACGAGAAAUUCACGGUUUGUAUUACUAUAAUUCAAAUUACUUUUUAUUAAAUGCUAUAUAUCAAUUCUAUAUUUAAUAAGUGAAUUAUAAGGUAAGUAUUGAUAUUGGAGUUGAAUGAGAAUUGAAUUGAAUGGUGAAUGUGUGUGUAUAAUUGAAUUGUAAAUUGAUUUGAAUGUGAAAAUUUUAAUUGAAAAGUAAUCUUGGAAUGGAAAUGAAAGUGAAUUGAGAAUUGAAAUACCCUAUUAACUAGUCGGGCUAAGUCGGAUAUAAUUGGCAUGCCAUAGGAUCUGGAAGUGUACGGGAAUUUGCCGGCUUUACUGAUUAGGCACUUUAUGUGUCGUAUUUCAGGCACCUCGUGUGUCGUAUCAGGCACCUCGUGUGUCGUUUUAGACACUUUAUGUGUCGUAUACUGAUCAGGUACUAUGUACCGUUUUAGGCACAAUGUGUUGUAAUGGUGUGUUGGGUUGGAAUCCGUGUAUCCGUCAAAGUCCGGAUUUGUUAAUAGGGUGAAUAUCUAAGAUGAGAAAUUUAAAAUAAAUUGAUUGAUUAUAUUAUUGAAAUAUUGAAAGAAACGAAAAAGUUGAAUAGUGGAUUGAAAUUGAGAUUGAAAAUGAAAGGCAUGAACUUAAUGUUCAUGUAGUGAUUGAAAUUGUUACAUGUAAUAUGUGAUGGAAACUGAAGAAUAGAUAAAAAAUUGUAUCGUUAUUAUUAAUUAAUGAAAGUUUAAGAAUGAAUUGAUAUUUGUGAAAUUAGAUAGUUACAUGUUUGGUAAUUAAAAUUCUUUAUUGCUAUUAUAAUUUGAAUUAUGGUAAUACCACUGAGUACGGAAUACUCAGCGUGCGGUUGUUUCCGUGCGCAGGUUAAUAGAAGUCUAGUGUCCUGGUCCAGCAUCGAGUGAUCCUGACUCCAGAAAAUUUUGGGUGAUGUUUUCUUUCUUAAUUGAAAGUGGCAUGUACUAGGUGAUUUAUAAGUUAUAUAGAUAUACUUGUAAAGUUAGUUAUAAGAAUGGUAUACCAUAUUUUAUUAUUAGUUUGAUAAAAUGGUAAAUAUUAUAUUAUAUAAUUUGGUAUAAGUUGGAAUGAAAAAAAAUGAAUGAAGUUAUUAGUUAAUUUGGAUUAAUAUUAUGAAUGUUUAGUUAUUAAAUGACUAUGUUAAUAAAUUGGAUAUGAUUUAGAUAUAUUUAGGUUUAAAUUGUUUUUGAUUGUGCCAUUGGUUUUGGAUUAGGUGGUUUUUGGUUUGAAUUUGCAGGGGGUUUUAUGUAAAAAUUAAGAAGAAAUGCUAUCGAAAUUUUUGUAAAAAAUAUAUAUAUAUUUCCCUGAAUACUCGAACAAGUCCCGUUUCAUUCCACUUUAAUACUUGUGUUGGGCUUCGAAAGUCCAUUAUAGGGACAUAAUUCUUCAAUUAUACUAUGAAUGUUAUAAUAAUUGUAAAAUAUCCAUAAGUUGUCUGAUAUAUCCGAUAAUGCCUCGUAGCCUUGUUCCGGCGACGGUUUCGGGUUAGGGGGUGUUACAACUCUACUUCAUAUAAAUUUAACUCAGAUAACACUCGGAGUGAUGGGAUCUCGACUUCGAUUGGCAAAACUGCUUCAAUUUCAUAGACCAAAGAGAAAGGCGUUGCCCCAGUUGAGGUUCGGACUGAUGUUCGAUAAGCAAAGAGGGCAAAUGGUAACUUCUCGUGCCAAUCUUUGUAGGUCUCAGUCAUCUUUCCCACAAUCUUCUUAAUGUUUUUAUUGGCUGCUUCCACUGCCCCAUUCAUCUUCGAGCGAUAUAGGGAUGAGUUGUGGUGUCUGAUCUUGAAUUGACUGCAGACUUCCGCUAUCAUACUAUUGUUCAGGUUUAAUGCAUUGUCAAAUAUGAUCCUCUCCGGCAUUCCAUAUCGACAUAUGAUCUUUUUCUUCAGGAAUUUGCUUACUGCCGACUUUGUAACAUUGGCAUAUGAAGCGGCUUCUACCCACUUGGUGAAGUAGUCAAUAACCACAAAGAUGAACCGAUGCCCAUUGGAAGCCUUUGGCGAUAUUGGUCCAAUCAUAUCCAUACCCCACAUAGAGAAAGGCCAUGGGGAAACCAUGACAUGCAGUGGUGAAGGAGGCACAUGAAUUUUGUCUCCGUAGAUUUGGCACUUAUGGCAUCUCUUGGCGUAAUUGACACAGUCUCCUUCCAUGGUGGACCAAUAGUACCCGAAUCUCAUAAUUUGCCUGGCCAUUGUAAAGCCAUUAGCGUGUGUCCCACAGACGCCUUCAUGGACUUCUUCUAAGAUUUUCUUAGCCUCUACAGCAUCUACGCAUCUUAAUAGUACUUGAUCCUUUCUUCUUUUGUAUAGGAUCUCCCCAUCUAAGACAUAGUCGAUGGCCAAUCUUCUUAGCGUCCUUUUGUCAUUCUCGCUUGCCUGGUCCGGGUAUUCACGAUUCUUCACGUAUUGUGAUAUAUCGUGAUACCAAGAGUGAUCAUCUUUCUCUUCAUCUUCUUUAAUAUUGUAACAGUGGGCCAGAAUUUUGUAAAUGCUCAUCCGAAUGGGUUUGACAUCUUCUUAUUUGUUCACCUUGAUCAUGGAAGCUAAGGUGGCCAAAGCGUCGGCCAUCUGAUUUUUGUCCCGUGGAAGGUAGCAGAAGGUAAUGUCAUCAAACUCUUUGACCAAUUCAAGGACCAGCUUCCGAUAGUCGAUCAACUUGGGGUCUCUGGUCUCCCAUUCUCCCUUGAGUUGAUAAAUCACUAGCGCAGAAUCUCCAUACACCUCUAGCACUUUAAUCUUGCAUUCUAUGGCUGCACGGAUACCCAUGAUGCACGCUUCGUAUUCUGCCAUGUUAUUCGUACAAUCAAAAUCCAAUUUACUAGUGAAUGGAUAAUGAUUUCCAUUUGGGGAUACCAAAACUGCCCCAAUCCCAUUAACCACAGCAUUUGACGCCCCAUCGAAGUUCAAUUUCCAGGGAAGUUCUUCCGGAUCUCCUUCUUCAGUGGUCGCAACGCACAUCAGGUCUUCAUUUGGGAAAUCGAAGUUCAAAGGCUCGUAGUCUUCCGAAGCUCUACUGGCCAGAAAAUCUGCUAUUGCACUCCCUUUUACUACUUUCUGGUUCACAUAAACUAUGUCGAAUUCAAAUAGCAGAAUCUUCCAUCGGGCCAUCCUUCCAUUCAAAGCUGUUGACUCCAUCAUGUACUUUAAAGGGUCCAAUUUUGAGAUGAGCCAAGUGGUGUGAUACAACAUAUACUGCCCCAGCCUUCGGGUUGUCCAAAUUAGGGCACAACACAACUUCUCUAUCGGCGGGUACCUUGUUUCACAUUCAGUGAACUUUUUACUGAGAUAGUAAAUAGCUUUUUCUUUCCUUCUCGACUCACAUGCUGACCCAGUACGCAUCCUAUGGAAUUCUCAAAUACUGCCAAAUACAGUAUUAAUGGCUUAUAGGGGUUAGGUGGCAUCAAUACCGGAGCGUUGGAUAAGUACUGUUUGACCUUGUCGAAAGCCCUUUGGCAUUCUUCAUCCCAUUCACCUGGAUUGUGUUUCUUGAGGAGGCGGAAGACAGGGUCACAUUUCUCGGUUAGUUGUGAAAUGAACCGAGCGAUGUAAUUUAAUCUUCCUAGAAAGCCUCGAACCUCUUUCUGGGUACGCGGCGGAGAUAACUCUUGUAUGGCUUUGACUUUGUCUGGAUCGAUCUUAAUCCCUUUCUCAUUGACCACGAAUCCGAGUAGUUUUCCGGACUUGGCUCCAAAUGUACAUUUGGCUGGGUUGAGUUUUAGCUGAAACUUCCUCAACCUCAUGAACAAUUUCCUCAGGGCCUGUAUGUGUUCCUUCUCUAUUUGAGACUUUGCGAUCAUAUCAUUGACAUAAACCUCAAUCUCUUUAUGCAUCACGUCGUGAAAAAGGGUUACCAUAGCUCUUUGAUAGGUUACCCCCGCAUUCUUCAGUCCAAAUGGCAUCACUUUGUAGCAGAACGUGCCCCACAUGGUUACAAAUGUGGUCUUCUCCAUGUCUUCAGGGUGCAUCUUGAUCUGGUUAUAUCCGGAGAAACCAUCCAUGAAUAAAAACAGUGAGUGUCCCACCAUGUUGUCCACUAGGGUGUCAAUAUGAGGCAGUGGGAAAUUGUCCUUCGGGAUGGCUUUAUUCAAAUCCCUGUAGUCCACACACAGUCGCACUUUUCCAUCUUUCUUAGGGACUGAAACGAUAUUGGCUACCCAAUCUGAAGCAUUUUACCACAUUCAGGAAUCCAGCGUCGAAUUGCUUUCGAACCUCCUCUUUUAUUUUUAGUGAGACGUCGGGCCUCAUUCUUCGGAGUUUUUGCUGAACUGGCUUACAUUAUUCCUUUAUGGGGAGUCAGUGCACCAUGAUGUCAGUGUCCAACCCGGGCAUAUCUUGGUAUGACCAUGCGAAGACAUCUUUGGAUUCUUGAAGUAAUUCAAUCAGGUCUCCCUUCAUCUCCAUGGUGAUACAAGUUCCGAUCUUCACCUCUUGUGCUUCUCCUAAGCUCACAACUUCUACUGAUUCCUUGUGAGGUAGGAUUUGUUUUUCAUCUUAUUCUACCAUUCUCAAAAAAUCAGGAGAUAGAUUACGGUCUUGGUCAUCUUCGAAAUCCUGAAAAUUCUCCAUACAUACAUCUCGCUUAAAAGGAAAUUCUGAGUCACUAGCAGUGUCACUCGUAUCAUUGAUAUCUGGGGACCUGUUAUGAGGAUGAAGACAGAUACAAAGAAUCAAAAGAAUUCAAAACAUUUAUCUGUAUGGUAUGAUUAUGAAUGACAAAUGAAAGAAUAUUUAGAAUGUUUAAAGAAUAAAAGAAUCCGAAAGUAAUCGUUUGUAUAAUUAUGGAUGAAAUUGAAAGAAUGAGAGAACAUUUGCUCAAAAAUGAUAAUAACUGUGCAUUUCAUUGAAAUAACGUUUUUAAACAUCAGCCUAUUUCACAAAAGAUUCUCAUUACUCCUAGGCCUAGAGCAAUAAGUGUGUUUUGGACAUUACUCUAAAUCCGUUCUCAAAACUACAGGAAUCUCUUUCGCAGUCCAGUUGUCUAGAACACUUCCAAGUGUGUAGGGGCAAAUGCCCGACAAAUUUUCUCUUCUCGUCUCCUCUUCGUAUGUGGCGUUGAUGUCCAAGCUUUCUAGCCUUUCUUCUAUGGCUCCCUUCAUUGGCGUGCCUCUCUCAGGAUGAAUGAUUCCCCCGGACACAAAUAUUUUCGAUAUAUGGGGGAAUAUCAUUGGCUCCCAUAUGAUUUCUCCCCCCCGUUAACCGUGCUCUCCUUCUUUCUUGCUUCUUCUCUAACUCAUUUCUCCUUUGUCUCGCAUCUGGCUUAAAUCCUAAGUCGAAGCAGUCUCUCUUGUCCUUCAGUACUGGCGUUUUAACCUUUCCUUGGAGAUGUCUCCAAGUCCUUUUCCGGGUAGGGCCCCUUUACCAACCAUCAACCGUAGACUCAUCCUCGUAGUUCUGGACAAUUUUGGCAUCAGAAUCUUGCUUCCCUCAGUGAUGAACGUCGCAUUAACAAAUUGAAAAGAUCGAAAUGAGCAUUCGAUUGCUUCGUCAUCAGUCUCCAAAUAGGGCGCAUUAUUGCUCACAGUUGCAAUGAUAUCCUCUUCAGCAUUGAUCGUUAUCAAUCGCCCCUCUGAUAACAACAUCAACUUUUGAUGCAAUGAUGAAGGCACUGCCCCAGCUGAAUGUAUCCAGGGCCUCCCCAAUAAGCAAUUGUAUGAGGGCUUGAUAUCUAUUACUAGGAAAUCCACCUCAUAUGUGUUUGGCCUGAUCUGAAGAGGUAUCUCGAUUCUGCCCAUCACCUUUCUCUCCGUGCCAGCGAAUGCAUUCACUAUGUUCUGGCACUCCUUUAUGUGAGAGCUGUCUAUAGGCAAUCUGUUUAGCGUGGUCAAUGGCAAGACGUUCAAGGCCGAUCCGCCGUAAAUCAGUACACCUGGCAGCGUAUACCCUUUACAGCACGUGGUGAUAUGCAAAGCUUUAGUCGACCCCGUGCCACCGAAUGGUAUCUCGUCGUCAUUGCAAAAGAUAUAGUUGUCAGCACUUAUGUUGCUAACCAAACGGUCUAGCUUGUUAACGGAGAUAUCGUUGGCAACAUAUAUCUCAUUCAAGACCUUCAUCAACGCGCUGCGAUAAACUUCCGAGCUUAGAAGUAAGGCCAGCACCGAGAUACGAGCCGGUUGUUUACAUAGCUGUUCCACCACACUGUAUUCGCUAUACUUUAGGAAUUUUAAAAACUCAUUGGCCUCCUCUUCGUUAACUGGCUCGUUAACAGAUUCGGUUACUUUUUCCUUCAUUUCCUCGACCACUGGGGUUUUUCCUUUUGUGGGUUGUGCCUCCUCAUUUGCUGUAUCGUAACGUCUCUCGCUACGUGUAUAGGAGCCCCCGUCUUGACCCUCUUUUGAAGCAUCCACCAGGCUUUCCUUCUUCGAAAUCGUCACGUUACAAUCAUAAUUCCAUGGAACCUUUUUACUGUCUUUGUAGGGGAAGACUGCAGGCCUUUAGAUUAUGACCCUCGGUGGCAUUUAUACUCCAGCUUCAUUAUUUUUAGGUCUCGAUAUGAUAACCACGGGAUAGUUAGCUGUUUGAUUCUAUGCAGUCGAUUCUCUCUCCAACGUACAUAUAUCUCCCUCUAUGGGGUUUUUAGCUUCUUGAUAAAACUCUAUUUCUUUAUUAUCUAUCAUGUUCUGCACGAGGGCCCUGAACUCCACACACUCUUGGAUUUCAUGCCCCACCUCAUUGUGGAACUCGCAGUAGUUCCUCUCUUCUUUGGAUUCUCUUCUCAAAUCUAACGCGAUCAAAUCUCUCUUGACCAUCUCCCUCCACACUCGUCUCAAUGGAGUCUUGACUUUCGCAACCUCACACUUGAUCUUCUUGUUUUUGCCUUCGCUUAUCCCAUUCACUCCUGGUCGGUAUGAUUGGGGAGCGAGUUUCCUGCUACGUUGGGUACGGUUGGGUCGUCAAACCUCACGAUCCCCAUCUUAAUGAGUCUUUCGAUUACUUUCUUAAAUGCAGCACAAUUUUCGAUUGAGUGCCCGGUAAUUCCCGCGUGGUAUUUACAUUGGGCGUUUGUGUCAUACCAUUUGGGAUACGGGGGCUGCAGUGGCUUCAGGUAGAAAGGGGAUACUACAUGAGCGUUGAACAGGUUCUGAUAGAGCUCCCUAUAUGUCAUAGGUAUAGGGGUGAAUUGUGGCAUUUCCGUGUUCUCCGUCGCGUUGGAUUCUUGUCUUACGGAGCUACGUUGAUUGAUGGCUACCAUCUUUGGCUGAUUUACGGUAAGUGACUUGGACUGACCCUUGUUGAAUGUGCUCGUGCUGUUCACUUCAUUAUCUCUUUUCCUCGGGGCCGACUUCUUGGCACUCUCUCCUGAUUCUAUCUUACCGCUUCUAACAGCAUUUUCGAUCAUUUCCCCGGUCAUCACUAUGUCUGAGAAGCUCUUGGUGGCGCUUCCCAACAUAUGAGUGAUAAAAGGGGCCUUCAAGGUGUUAAUAAAGAGCAUCGUCAUCUCUUUUUCUAGAAGCGGCAACUAAACUUGUAUAGCCACUUCUCUCCACCUUUGUGCGUACUGUCUGAAACUUUCAUUGGAUUUCUUUUCCAUGUUCUGGAGAGUGAUUCUGUCGGGGGUCAUGUCCGUCACAUGAUUGUAUUGCUUCAUAAAGGCCUGAGCCAGGUCCUUCCAUGAGUUAAUUUUAGCUCAGCUCAGUUGAUUAUACCACUUAGAUGCCGCUCUGACCAGACUGUCUUGAAAACAGUAGAUUAACAGCUGGUCGUUGUUAACGUAUCCUGUCGUUCGCCUGCAAAACAUAGUGAUGUGGGCUUCAGGGCAGCUCGUUCCAUUGUAUUUCUUGAAUUCGGGCAUUUUGAAUUUAGGGGGAAGGACUAAAUCUGGGACCAAACUCAGGUCCUUGGCAUCAAUCCCUUGAUGAUGAUCGGGAACGGGUGGAUAGUUUGGCUUGUUGAGAAAGUUAGAGCCUGAGCCAGUUUGGAAGUUCAUCGGUAUUGAAGCUCCAGCCAGAACCUGCUGGGGCAUGAUCGUGACAGAUGGUUUUUGUAGAUUAAUCUCGGGCUUUAUCGGUACAUGUGUCGGAGUGAAGCCAGGGGGUAUUGAGGAUCUUCAUUAGUUUCCUCGAAUUUGUCCAUGGGGCCCUUUCCCUUAUCAGUUCUUCCCAACAGCAAUUGGGAUAACUGACUCAUUAUUUCUCUCUGAGAUUCCAUCAUUUGCUCAUUCAUCUCUCGCUGAAUCUUGGCUAGCUGCUCUUGCAUUUGAUACUACAUUUGUUACUGCAUGCCUUUUUGCAUUUGCUCCAAUUUCUCAAGUCUCUUAUCCAUUGAUUUUUUUCCUUGUACCAUAGGGGUGCGUAGUUGGUUGGUUUUCGUUGGUUUCCAGGUUACCAAAAUGAUUUUUAAUUAAUUAAUUAGAAACCUCUUAUGGACUUUAAUGCAUAAUGAUAUGAUGUAAUACAAAUGCAUGAAUACAAAGGAGGCACCAAUUUUGAUUCAAUUCCCUUUAGAAAAUUUCACUUGAAAAUAAAAUAUUUUACAUAAAGUUGAGUUACAGAUAAAAUUUUGCUCUUGUGCUUAAAAUCUUAAUUUUUCUAAGCAAUGAGGCUAGCUCUUGUCCACGAUCUGACUCCAACUCGUACUUCACGCUCAGUAUGUCCGCCUGUACCGCUAAAUUUUAGAAGUAGUCAGCUACCUCCUGGAUCUGGGUUAUGGCUUCCCCCAUAAGGUAAUCUCUGUUUCUGACUUGGUAUUGCGCAUGGUGAAGCUGCUCUUUCCAACGAUCCUCAUUUGCCUCGAAAAACUGAAUCUCAUAGUUUUGCAGUGACGCCUCUAACUCUUCUAUUCUUCCUUUCAUUUCUUCUAUCUUGCUCAAGCUUGCUCUCAAUUCCAUCGCGGUGUUGCGGUUUCGGUACUGAUGAAGAGACUUCUCAAGUUCUGCCACUCUAGCCUUUAAUUCCCCUCGCCCAUUUCUGCUUUCUGAAAGACUCUUCUUUAAAUCUUCGUUUCGUGCCUGAGCUUCUCGGAAUUUCUUUUCCCAUCGAUCGACAUUGGUCUUCUCUUCUUGAAUUUCAUGGUGCCUUUGUUCGAAAGUUUUACCUAACCCCGCAGUCCUCAUAGACAGGCAUAAUUUCUUAUAGUCAGUCUUCAAGCUGUCUAGAUCUUCUUCGGCCUUAGUUUUCCCCUUUCUCCACUUUUCAGCCUCUAACCUCUGGACAUCAGCGUCUAAUCUUAGGUGCAUCUUCUCUUCCUCCAAUUGUUCAAUCUUUUUUCCCAAGCUCUGAACUCUUCUUCUCGAAAUCUUGCCUUAUAAUUUUCAAUUCUAACGGGGCGACUUGUAAUUGUUCCCCCAUAGGUCAAGCAUUCUCCAAGCUUGGCCUAGGAAUGUUAUCAUUAACCCUCUUUUUAAACCAUCCGUCAUACUCGGGCGUUACCAUGAAACCGACGGCCAACCUCUUCAUCCAACAAGGUUGCUUCCAAGCAUCCGAUAGCUCCCGAACUUUCUUCUUAUAGUGAGCACCUUUAAAAGAGAAUUCACUCUGAGCAAGUCCGUAGGUUGUGGGUACAAACUGCCUUGACUUAUAUUGCCUCAACGCAAGUAAUAAAGUACACUCGGUAGCUUCCCAAAUUCCUAACAACGGCACCCAAUCAAAGUUACCACAUCGGUACAUGAUCUCAUCAGAAACCAUCCAAUAAGCUCUCCACUCGAUAUCUCCCUCUUUGAGGUUUUGAAGAAUUCUCAUCCACUUCUCCUCCGAGAUAUCCUCUCUCCUUUGUAUAGCUGCCUCCUCUUUUAGCGGGGAACAACCCGAUAAGAAACCUUGUCUACCUUUCAAAAGUGCCAAUAAAACCAUGCCAUCAAUAAUUAUGCACAUCCAAUAAACCGCCCAUCGCAUGUUUUUCGACAUGAGCUCAAAGAUUUAAACGUCUCUGCCAAUAUCGCCAGUACCGGUGUGAUUCCCUUCUCAAGGCGAUCGAUUAAGUCAAUGACUGCCUCGUCCACGUGUCUCAAAGCCUUAGGAAAAAUUACCGAUCCGUAGAUGCUUAAGGCGAAGAUAUCGACCCUCUUUCUUUCAUCUGGAUGUGUCAAAAUCAAAUCUCGCAAAUUCUCCCAAGGAAUACAUUUACUAUCUCUUUUUUGUUGAAUCUGAGCAGUGACCCAAGGCUCGCUCAUCCCAGAAAUGCUCAUUAAUUUUUUCACGAAAGUUUGACUACUAAAAACUCGGGCAUAAGUCUUCCGAACUUGAAUUUUUGGACACCUGAGCAGAGUAGUGUAUUCCUCCAUGGUAGGUACUAAAUCCACUUCUCCAAAAGUGAAACACUUGUAAGCAGAAUUCCAAAACUGAACUAUAACCCGGAAUAGAUGCUUGUCCACUCUAAUGUCUAGCAAGUAGGAUAUAUCACGAUAGCUUUGAUAAAACAACUGCUUGAUCCCUUCAUCCCAACUAGCCCAAAUGUCUCUCAACUCUUGCAGCUCAUUCUGUACUACAUUGACGCGAGUGAAAUCCUGCAACUCCGAUAUAUACCCUUCUGCCAAGCUAUCCCCUCUCUCUAAUUGUAGCCUCACCGACCAUGCACAAACGGCUGCAUUAUCCUCGACUUUACUAAGAAAUUCAUUCUCCAUGUCAAACUUUCUAACUUAGUAAUUGAAUACGAAUUAACACCUCUUUUAAUAUGCAAUGUCAUGCAAAAAAGACAAUCAAAACAAAACACAGGUUAGUAUCAGAUAAUAGCGAUAAAAUGUAAGCACAUAAAUUACAACGCAUAUAUGGGUAAGUACUAAGGCUCGACGCGGCUCCACCUAAGGAUAACUCCUAAGGUUCAUUAUAUGUGGUUCGGUUCUAGAGAUAAGGUACCCGAACCAGCAGAUUCAUCAAUCCUCACCCAUUAUAGGCUCAUAUAGAUCGAGUUCGGUUCGGGGGGAUACAUUUCCCUAUGACUAGAGGUGUUCAUGGGCAGGGCCGGGCCGGGUUCGGGUCGGGCUCAACUAAAAAAUCAUGCUCAUUUAUUGGGCUCGAGUCGGGCCAGGCCGGGCCCAAAAAAUGGGCCUAAAAUUUUGCCCAAGCCAGACCUGGAUAAAAAUACUAAAACCCGAGCCCGGCCCGGCCCACCCAUAUUAAUUUUUUAUAUUAUUUUAUUAUUAUUUUUAAAUAUAUAAUACAUCAAAAAUAAUAAAAAUAUCAAAAUAAAUAUUUCCCAACAAAUUGAAAAUAAAUUUUGAAAAAUAUGUAGACUUAAAUAACACUAAGAUAAAUGCAACUUAACAAGCAAUUACUUCUAAAAUAAUAAAAAAAUUAACAAAUGUCUUUAAAAUAAUAAGAAAAUUAACAAUAAAAUAAAUUUUAUACAAUAUCCAAACAAUAACAACAAAAUAAUAGCAACAUAAUAGUAAAAUGGUAACAAAAUAUGGAGAAAAAAACAAGAAAAUAACAUUCAAAAAUAAAAAAAAUAUGCAAAUUUUUUUUGUCCUUUAGUGAAUUUGAGCAGGGCCAAGCCGGGCCCGGGCUAAAAAUAUCUUACCCGAGGCUCGGCCCAUUUUUUAAAUGGGCCUUAUUUUUUGUCCAAGCCCAUUUUUCGGGCCUAUAUUUUUGUCCAAACCCUCCAACAUUUCGGGCGGGCCUUCGGGCCGGGUCGGGUAGCCCGACCCAUGCACACCUCUACCUAUGACUAUGCGGAGAUGAAAAUCUCACGAAAUCAUAGGUACGGAUGUACCCCGGAAGCAAUCCACUAGCCCAUGCGGAAGUGAAAACCUCACGAAAGCGUAGUUUCUUACUCCCACUUAGAAGGUGUGACCACAGCGGUCAUGCAAUGAAAUGUAGUACUAUUCUAUGAUAUCUGAACCAUAACAAUCAUACAAACGAAUGCAAUCAUGAUUUUCAAAACAAGUUUUCGAUUUUCGACAGAAGGACAGCAAAUAAUCGGUUUUAUGGCUAGACUUUCUUAAAGGGUCCCCAGUGGAGUCGCCAAGCUGUCAAAACCAUCCCUUUCUUAAAAAUUUUAGGUUUAAUGAAAACGGGGGAAUCGACUUUUGAAAAACAGAAAUAUGGAGUCACCACCGAUCCUUUUGUUUUGGUGCGAUCGGAUCACCUAAGAAUUUGGUCAUUUUAAUAAAACAUUUUUGGUUUACUAAAACAACGAUUUUGGUCCACGAACUUUUGAGAAAACGGGUUCGGGAGUCAGUUACGCAUGAGGAAGGAUUAGCACCCUCACUAUGCCCAAAAUUGGUACCGAAUCGAUUAAAUAUUGUCCUUAUGUCUAAAAUUUAAAGAUGUUUUUGAAAUGUUGUUCUUUUUUUUUUAGUAAUCCGAGUUAGUUGCCAAAAAUCUUCUUGUUUCGACGUCCGAAAAUUUAUAAUUCGAAAAUCACAAAAGGAUGCUCAACGAUUUAGUCCAACGAAAAAUUGAAACCCAGUACAGUAGGGCACGAUUCCUCGAAUUUCCAAAUAUUGACCAUUGCCUCACCUUAGAAAAUAUUAGUGAAAUUCCGAAGGGAUAUUCGAUUAUUUGAUACAAACGGGAGAUUGCAACCCAGCACGAUAGGGCACUACUCCCCGAAUUGCCAAACAUCGAGUAUUUCCUUUGUUUUAAAGAGUUUUUAGAAGACAUGAGUGAAAUUUUGAAGGGAUAUUUGAUUAUUUUAAGCAAACGAGAAAUUGCAACCCAGCAUGUUAGGGCACGAUUCCGCGAAUUGCCAAAUAUCGCAUAUCGCCUUCGUUUAAGGGGUUUUUAAAAGACAUGGGUGAAAUUUUGAAGGGAUAUUCGAUUAUUUUGAGCAAACGCAAAAUUGCAACCCAACACGUUAGGGCACGAUUCCGCGAAUUGCCAAAAUAUCAAAUCUCGUCUUCGUUUUAAAGAGUUUUUAAAUGAAUAAUUAUAAAACUAGCUUAAAAUGUAUUAAUUCGACUUGAAAUAAGAUGAAAUUGUUCAUAAAAAUUCGGAUUUUAUAAAACCACAUUUCAUAAACUAAAUGGAGAAUGAUGAUAUGGGAUAACGGAUAUAUGAGAUACGAUCAACUAACAAACUAAUAAUUAAAUAUGGUAAACCUAAAAAAAUGUAAUCCGAUUACAAUAAUGCAUGGAGAAUAAUUGAUGUAAUGACAUAUAAAAAUGAGCAAGCACGAUGUAGCAAAUAUACAAGAAAUAUCGUGAAUAUAAUUAACACAUGAGAUACCAAACGAUACGGAAUCAACGUGACACAAAAAUAAUAGACUAAAAAUGAUGGACUAACAAUCAAAUGAUAUAUGCUAGAGUUUGAAAUAAUUUAUAAAAGAAAAGUUGAGAACAUAUAUAUACGUAAAGAAAAUUUAAUAGAUGUUACAAAAACGUUUGGAUCAAAUAAAAUACUAAAUAUUUAGCCAUAAAGCAUUUACUUAAGGUUGGUAAUAUCCCUACCAUGAGAAUAAUCUAUAUAAUAUAUAAGAUGUGAAAGGAUAAUGGGUAUAAAGCAUGUAGCUACAUAUAUAUAUACAAGCAUGAGUAAAUUUUGAAGUAAUUUAUACAAAGAUAACAUGGAAUUAAAAUAUGAAUUAUAUAUAUAUAAAAAAUUGAUAUUAUCAUAAAUUAUAUAUCUAUGUAUAUAAAUAAACUAGAAAUAAUUGCUUGUAAAAAAUGCCAUAGAAACAUACUCAAGAUUGAAUUAUUUUUAUUAUAAAUUAUGAUGGACUUAAAAGCAUACUUUUGUAUAAAGAAGACUAUGUAUAUAAAAUGUAGGUUUAAUAAUGUAUGUAAAUCAAAAACAUAUACUAAUGUAAAUGAAUGUAAAAUAACUUAAAUUUUAUGUAAGACAUAUAUACAAAGCAUAUUCGAAUAGCAAAAAUAUAUAUUAAAAUAUAUGGAUUUAAUAAUAUAUAGAUCAAAGGUAGGUAUCGAUAUAUAUAUACACUUGCAUAACGAUGAUUUAAAAGAUAUAUUAUGAGAAUUAUGUAAUAUAAUAUAAGAAUAUAUUUGAAGGAAAUUAUAUGUAUAUAAAAUAAUACGAUAUUAAUAAUAUGCAUGAAAUAAAAAUAACUUUGUUAUAAAAUACAUCAGUUUAGUAGUGUGUAGAUUAAAUGUGGGUGUUCACAAAUGUAUGCACAUAUAAUGAUAGUAGCUAAAAAAAUAUUACAUAGGGUUACAUAAUGUGCAUAAAAUAAACUUGAAUUUUAUUAUAAAGCAUAUAUAUAAUAGUAAUAUAUACAAGGAUAUUUACGAAGCAUUAUGCAAAAUGUUGUAAUAAUAUAACAUAAAAAAAGCAAACAAUACAAUAGUGAUCCAAGAAAAGAGAAAUAAAAUAAAAGCAUUAAACUAACCUAAAAUAUAAAACGUAAAUCAAAGAUAAAAGUGUUGAAUGUGCCUUUAAAACAAAAAUAAAUCACAAAAUGAAAAAUAAAAAUAAAAGGGACUUAAUUAAAAUAGAAUUAAAAAUAAGAGAGACAAAUUAUAAACAAAAUCAACUAACAAGAUACAAAGGGGACCGGCGUGUAACAUGCACGAAUGCACAGGGAUUGAAUCUGGAAAUAGUCCAGACCCCAAAAUGCAGUGCUAAGCUCGGACCACGGUGCGAACGCGCGCAAAUUAGGGGGAAAUUUUAAAAGAAAAAGAAAUGCGAAAUGUGAGCUGAUUUGCACAUAGCGCGAAAGGGGAGGGGCCUGUAUCGCAAAUUCCCCAUUUGAGGGACAGAGGCGCGGAUCCGGGUCUUAGGAUGGGUCGACGCGCGGAGCCUCAAUGUCCCAAACGGCGCCGUUUUCAUAAACAGUUUAUUUGAAACCCUUUUUCUUUUUUCUUUCUUACCAAACGCAACCCUCAUUUUAUCCCUGAUUUGCAGCCCCCAAAAGACGAUUUGUUAGGGUUCCUUCCAGCGACUGCCGAUCCACCAUUUCAUUAGGUGGUCAGCGAUGCACAGGCCACGACCAGAUUUCCCCAACGACAGCACCAUGCGAGGAACCACGUAUGCCAUCUUAUUUCUUUUUUUUUAAACAUCUAGAUCUAAUGUUGUUCUAAAAAAUGAAACCGAAUAUAAAAAAGAAACUUAAUAUCAUCUGACCCUCACCCGUAUCUCAAUAUUUCUGAGAUAUUCGGGGUUUCAUUGGUGUCGUUCCAAACGUUUCUUUCCUUUAUGCUAAAGUCGUAAGGAAAUGAGAAGAAAAACAAACGGAUAAACAGACUUGAAGAUCACCUUUCUCUUUGGUUGCUUUGUAUUGCUUGCGUAUAUUUUCGUUCGUAAAUGUUCGUACUCGAUUACAAAGAUUAAAAUCUGGCUUUAUAGCCGAAAAGAAAGAGGAAAAUAAAUAAGAAUAAUCAAAAUACAAUAUGUGUUCCUUGUUUGCAUUUGCUGCUGUGUUUGCCUCAUUCGUUUGCAGGUACGGAGUACCGGGCACGGGCGUGGCUGCUGGAUGGUACGGAGGCUGGGGCUACUGUCCGAUUGUGGCGCGUCUACUGCUAGGGCUAGGUUUUGGCAAAAUUUGUUAAGCAUUUGGGCCGUUUGGGCUCAUUCCGGGUAUUUAGUCUUUGGGUCAUGGGUUAAUUUGGGUAUUGGUUUAAGGUAUUAGUUUGAGUCAAAGCCUGUAAAUGGACUGUGGUUUUUAUUUAUUUAUUUAUUUUUUGCUUUAUUUUGUUUUGUUUUGUUUUUGUUUGCUUGGGCCGGGCAAAUUUGGCCCACUACAAUUAUUAUUAUUAUUAUAAAAAAAGUUAAAGUUAAGUAAAUAUUUCAUAAAAAAGUUAUGAAUGUGUAGUUUUAUAUUAGAGUAAGUGAAUCAUUUUUUAAAUGUAAUUAUUAUAAUUAUAAGCAUAAUUCUAAUUUUGGAAAAAUAGUUUAUUAAACUUUAUAAUAUUUUAUUUAUGAAAGAAACAAUUAUUCAUAAAUUAUCAAUUAUAUAUCUGAUAAUCAUAAAUUUAAUCGAUUAUAUGGCAUAUUGCAACGAUUUCGUUAUAACUAAUUAAAACUAGCAAUUAAUUAAACUAAUUAAAAGAAAUGACACAACAAAACAUUAGGUAUAUGAAUAGUUUAAGUAUUAGCCUUCCUUUUUACACUUUUGAAUGAUUUAUCAAUUUAAUAGUUUAAUUUAAAAUAAUUUUUUAAAAGAUAUUAUAGAUGAUUAUGAUAUUUAUUUAAUUUUUUAAUUUACUUUAUAAAUAUAUAAAUGAAUCUAGACUAUUAAUUACAAUUUUUAUUAAUAAAUAAAUUUUGAAUUUUAAUCCUAAAAUAAUUCACUUUCAAAAGUUAAAAAUCGAAUCAAACCAUUUGAUUUAAUUUUUAUAAAAGAAAAAAUCAAACCCAACUGAAAACAAAACUAAUAGUCAAAGAAUCCAGCUCACCUUUACCUACUAUGUUGCUAGUCUAUUUCGUAGCCCAUAUAAUAAUAAAUUACUACAGUUUUCCCCUCCAUAUAUUCUUAGGCUACUACAUGCUUUCUAGGAAGGUGGGAUCAAGUUAAAUAACAAGGAUGCAGAGACAAACUACCUCAGUAAGGAGAAACAGUUUGCUAAGUAAUAGCUGCAGUGCCGAAUUGUUGGCUCAUAAACCAUUGAUUACAUGCCUUGGCAAACAAACAAGCACCAUUUACUUUUCUUUCCCAAACCUACAGUCCAUACGGAAUCUCCUCAUUUCUACAGUCGUGUCUUGUUUUAAUCUCUUCUUUUUCUUUUUUUUUUUCAUGUAAUGGUGUCAUGUCUGAAACUAUAAUGGUGAGUAGAGAAAUGGAUUUUCUCCUUCUAAACCCUCUUGCUUAGUAUCCUAAAAAAUAUUAGAGCGAGGGAGUGUGGAUGGAGGCUAUAAAAAGGAGGAGAGAUGAAUAUGAAUAGGAUGGCAUGGCAUGGCAUGGCAUGGCAGAAAGGGGCAGUGGUCUUGAAACAGUCCAUCAAAAGCUCAGCUUCUUUUGUAAUGCAAAGGCAAUUUUGUCCAAUUAGAUGACUUUUUCUAUGUUACAUAUUAUUGUGGAAUUAUAUUUGGGUUAUGUUAAUUAUUUAGUGAAUAUUUAACCUGUUAUAAAAGAUGAUAUUGAUAGAAAAUACAAAUUUGAAUCGAAAUUUUUCAAAACAACUUCUUAAAUUAUAAAUUUUAUAUUGGAUGAUGAAAAAUCUAACUUGUAGUAAAUAAUAAUCUUACUAAUUAAUUCAUCAUCAUAGCUUUUAUUAAAUAAACAGAGGAAAGUGAGAUGUAGCACAUCUUUGUAUAAAUUCUGUUUGUUGAAAAAUCACACAUUAUUGAAUUUAAUUAAUAAAACUGUUCAUUGCUUUAAAGUUCCACUCAGAUAAAUAAAUAAAUAAAAAUGUUUUAGUCAACACCACGAGUUUUCCAUCUACAAGAUUGAACGCUGAUUCAUCAUCCACAGCUUUUCUUCUUGAUAACCUUUUCUAUUUGAAUAAAAUAGCUAGCCUUUUUUAUUUAACAUAUUUUCCUAAAACCUUAAAAUAUCAUUAUCUAUAAUGUCAUUAAAAAGUAAUUUAAUGACAUUUUAGUAUGGAUGUUGUCAAUUAUUAAUUAUUUUAAUGUUAAAUUAUAAAAUAAAUAUUUGAAUAUUAAAAUAUAAUUUAAGUCUCUCUAUUUUUUUUAUAUUUAAAAUUUAGUUGUUUUUAAAAAUUUAGUGUUUUUAUUUUUUUAAUUUAAAAAUUUAAAUUUAAUUAUUAAUAUCAUUAAAUUCGUUGGUUUGACAUUUUAAAAUUAAAAAAAAUAUAUUCAAUUAAUAUUCAUGUAAAAAAAUAAUAUUAAAAUUGACUUGCAUUUAACAAAUAGUUUUAAUAUUGCAAACAACUUUUAAAAGUUAUAUCAGUAUUUUAAUCAAAAUAAAUGUACCAAAUUAUGCCGAAAAGUUGAAACUAUAAAAAUUAAAUCUUAAAUUCGAGUGUAGCAAAGAGACCAAAAUUAAAAAUUGACCAUUAUUAUAUAAUAGAUAAGAAUUGAAAUUGAAAUUUGAGGGGUUUUCUGUAGAUGUCAACCAUAGUUACAUAGAUUUUGGGGGAAAGGAUUCAAACUUUUUUCUCAAAAUUAACGCGACUCUUUUAAAAUUUUUAGAUAAAAAGUUAGAUAUAAUUUCAUUUCCUUAAUUGAAUAGAAGGUAUCUAAUUUAUUGAGUUUGUUUGAGUUAGGUAUUUAAAUUAUAUUUUGAGUGAGAAGGAGGGGGCAGGACGAUAGGAGAGUGGUAAAUUAUUUUUUAUUCUUUAAAAUAUUAAUAUAAUUAUUUUUAUUUAAAAUUAAUAAAAAAAUUAAUGACAUUAACAACAGAUAUCAACUUCAGUAACGGAAUCAAAAUUUAGGUACUCAAAUUUAUCAAAAAAAUAUUUUAGAUACCCAACUCAAACUAAUCCAAUAAUUUAGGUACUCUUGUUUAAUUAAGCCAAUUUCAUUGAAUAGUUUAUAUGUCAUUUUUACUAAUAAUUUCUCUAAAAGACUUGUCUAUAAAAUUAUGCCAUUUACUCUUCUCACUCUUUCUUAAUAUUUUCUUUUCUUAGAUCAAUAAUUCCUUAAAGAAUGGAAGUCUGUUUGAUGGUGAAUUAUCGUCCAUCAAUCUUUGCCAAAUUCGAUUUAUUAUUAGCGAAAAAUGAAAUGUAGCAUGAUUGAUGUGUAGAAACUACUUAAUAAUUUAUUUGUCUUGUUUAAAAAUAAAUUUUUUUUUAUCAAAAAUAUUUUGAUAAAAGAAGACUUUGGUUAUUUUAAUUAUUUAUAUGUGAAUACAUUAAUAAAUUAAUAAAAUCACCAAUUUACUAUAGUUUGAGAUUUGUAAUGAACAAAUAAAAUGGAUUUAGAUCCAUAAUUGUAGAAUAUCAAUAACCUAUUAAUAGUAUCCGGUGGUAUAUGAUGGAGUCAUCUGAAAAUUUUAAAUAAUUCAAUAAAAUACAUGAGAAACGAAAUGCCAACAUCUCUAAAAAUAGUCAAUCAUUGAAUAACAUUCAAAUCUUAGUAGCACUUGGAUAACCCAUAAAUAUCUUAUGUUGGCUAAGCCUUAACCUUUUCUCAUGUAUGACUUUUCUCACACAUGUUUUUACUCCAUUAUCAUCUUCAAUCUUGUUUACUCCCUAUCAAAAUAUUGACUUAAACAUUAGAGAGUGCCCCAAACCACAAGCUUCAACGCCUCUAAACUCACUCAUGUCUUGCAAUUUUACUGACUACAAAAUUCAAUUCAUUGGCUACAAAACCCUUCUCACUUCAUUUUUCAAGCCCAACAAAAGAAGAAUAAACAAUUGCGUUUGUGGCAAACAAGCAGAAAAUCCAUAGCUCAAUCUCCUCAUUGUUGUUUCAUGUUGUUCUUUGGUUUUCAUCUCUCUCAUUUUUUUUUUCUAAAUUUCAUCUCAUUAUUGAAACAUGUUUUUGAAGUGGCUAUCUAUGAGCCAAUGGAAGUGACCAGUAAAAUUGUUAUACACAUAAUUUGCCUUAUUUGGUAGCAUAUUUUACUAAAAUAUUUUGAUUAUUUACUUGCAUUCUUAUCUCAUGUUUAUUAUUGGAAAAGAGAUUGAAUCGAGCAAUGUUACUUUUCAAAUAUUCUUAUAUGAUCUACUUAUCUUACAUACUAAUAUAUGUAAUUCAAGAAGAUAUGAGCAAACUUUAUGAUCUUUUGUGUGAAUCAAGAUAAUUGAUUUGAUGAGAUUUGGGUAAAUUAAGAUAGAUUAAAGCUUACUCUGUGACGUUGGAUUCUUGCUUUAAAUAUGGAAUGUUUGUUCAACGUGGAUAGAUGUUUUAUUGUUAAAACAAGUAUUUUUGAAGUGACCAUAGAAGUGCCAACAUAAGUGGCCAGUACAGUUUGUACUUUGACAGGAAACAUAAUUUGUCUUAUUUGGAGUUGGAAAUCUUUUCAACGAAAUAAUUUGGGUAAUGAUUGAAUAUCAAUCUUGUGAAGCAAAAAUCUUUGAAGAUCGGAUCGGAUCAGAUCGAAUCCAACAAUCGAAUCCCUUUGAUUGUAGAGAACGGAUCAAAAUUACAUUGAAGACAUAUAUCUCCAAAAAUCCAUUUUAUAUUAGUCUUUAUUAUUAUAUUGUAUCUUAAUAUUUAUUAGUUGUUGUUUAAGAAGGAUUGAAUUGUAAUUGAUCUUUAGUAUGUCAUCAAGUCUUAAACACUCUUAUAUAUUGAGAGACUUGUAUAAAUUUUAUGCGAGACAUGCUAGUAUUUGUUUCUUCAUUAAGGAACUUGUAUUUGAGAGUGCGUUGAAAGUGUAAAGCAACUUUGUUGCUUGGUUUUACCGCCUAAGUUCUCAAUUGGAGAACUAAAAGGUGAGUGAUCUAGAUCUAUAGGUAAAAACGUGAGGUUGCUAUGUUGGGAUGUGAUAAGACUUAAAUCACUUGUUGUAUUAGGUAUUAAAGAUAGUGGAUUUACAAACUAAGCUAGGCUCUACAGAUGUAGGGAAAUCGAACAGCAUAAAUAAUUCAUCUGUGUUUCAAUUUUUUCUAUUGUUUAUAACAAUGCUAUAUGAAGUGUCUACUUCCACUACCACUUCGGUCAUCACUUAUGCACUUUAUUUUUCUUAAGCAAUUAUUGAUUGGAGGUCCAACACUCACGUUAUUUUUGGGCUUCAUAUCUCUCAUUUAUUUUUGGAUUCCUUUCUAUGUUAACUUUCUCUAUUUUGGGGUUCUUAAACUUAAGAAAUCUUAACUUUAUUUUUAGGCCUCUUAAAGCUUCCUCAAAAUAUUACAUCACCAUUUUUGGGUUUCUUGAAGUUUCUCUCUUCCUCAACACAUUUAAUCUCGAUCUUUGGAUUUUCCUAAGCUUCCUCAACACCUGUGUCAUCUUUUGAUCUCUUAAAGCUCCCUCAAUAUUCAUAUUGUUCUUAGGCUUAUAAAAGCUUUUCUCAUUUUUUUAGCUCAUUAAAGCUUUUUCAACAUUGACAUUAUUUUUAGGUAUCUUGAAGUUUCUUUAACACUCAUAUUUUGUAGCCCAUAUUCUAUGAUCAAAACUUGUAACAAUUUUAUAGCCAUGGUUCUAUGACCUUGAUUUGUGACAGUGCUUCUAUAGCCCAAUUUCUACAAUCAAAUCUUAUGGCGACAAUUUUGCAACAACUCUAAAGUCUAAAUUCUACAACUCGGAUUAUGUAGCUUAAUUUUGUUAGUUUCUUCCAACUUCCUUAACUAUCAAAUUCUACUUUAUAACUCAAAUCAAGCUAUACAUCCUCAUCUUUCUAUUGCAUUUUAUAGCUUUUUUUAGCUUCAUAUUAUUUUUUUAUGUUGGAUGAACAUGUAGUUUGUUGUCUCUUUUCUAAAUUUUUACAAACUCUUUGGUGUUAUUUUUGUAUGAGCAUUUGUUUUUUUGGUUUCUUCUAGUUUCAUGUAGCUUUUCUUGUGUUGUUUUUUGGUAUACAUAUAUUUCACACAACAUUUUCACGUUAGUUAUGGGUGCACAUACUUUUUUCAACUUUUAGUAGCCUUUUGUGUUGUUUUUUAAUGCAUGUAUGUUAUAUUGGGUUUCCGUCUUCUUGUUUCCUGCAGCUUUUAUAACUUUCAACUUUUGGUAGCUUAGGUUUAAGUUUUGUCUUUAUGUUGGCUUCUUCCUUUUCCUUGUAGUUUACUAUAGCUUUCUACAAUCUGAGUAUGAUAUGUUUUUGGGCGCCAUACCUUCCAUAUUCAUGUAGCCUUCUGCACACAUUACAACUAAAUUAUCUUUUGUAACUAUGCUAUCCAAUUCUUUCUCUACAACUUCAUAGUUUAAUUUUAUAGAUAUGUUGAUUUAUUUAAUUUCUUUAGAACUUGUCAUACAACCUCUUCAACUUGUCCCUGUAGAUUCAUUAUGUUCAUUUCUUAUCACUAUGUUGUUUUGUUACUCAUCUCUACUCUAUAACUUUACAAUGUAAAUAUUUCAUAUUGGUAUCUUUUAACUUCAUAUAGUUCUCUACAACAUCAUAUAACCUUUGUAUUUCUACAACUUUUUGCACAUAUGUUAUGUUGGUUUCUUCCAGUUCUUAUUAGCUUCUUGCAACUUUGACGUUUCGUCAUGUUGUUUGUUGCUUUUUACAACCCAUAAUCCUAUUUUUCUCAUAAUUCUAAAUCCAAUUUCUAUUAUGAUGAUUUUAGAGCCUAAAUUCUGAGACGACAAUUCUAUGACACUAUGAUUCUAAAGCCAUGAUUCUGUAGCCUAAAUUUAAUUAAUCUAAUGAUGCAAUCUUCAAAUAAAGUUUAGUUUCUUCUAACUCCAUAUAACUUUAACUUUGUUUUCUUUUUUUCACUUCAAGCAACUUUGGCUUUUCACCAUGUAUAUAUGAUCUACACUGCAAUUUAUGCAAUUUUAUCCUAUAACCUAUGUGUCCUACAACUUUUUAUAGCUCUAUAAUCUUAUUUUCGAAAGCAUGCAUGUUAUAUUGGAUUCUACAACUUUCUACAAAUUCUAUCAUGUUAUUUUUGAGUGUAUAUAUGCUUCCUACAACUUAUAUAGUUUCUUGCAACUUCACUCCAUAAUUUAUGUUGUUUUGGCUUUUACAUCUUACAAUCUUAUUAAAUAAUUUUGUUAUAUAGAUCUCUCUCAACAAGGUAAUUUCCCACUUCACAAACAAUAAAAAAUUUCAUGGUAUAUAAUUUUCGCAUCCACAAAUCUACCCACAAAGCAUGGUUAAGAAAAAUCAUUUAAAAGAUAUUAUUCCACCAAACAAAUUAGCUUUGAAUAAAAUACUCAGUCCAUAAAGCUAGAACUUCUACUUUGGCUUCUAUGACUGUCACUCCCAACCCCAAAACUUGAGGGAGAAAAAAUCCUACUAUUCAGUGGUAAAAUCUUACUCUCAUAGAAUUGCUUAAGCACAUAUCAUCUAAGAGCUACAACUAAACUUUCAACACUUUUUUCAUCCUAAAUACUUUCAAUUUAGUGGUAUAUUUUACUUGUCAUUUAAAUGAACGUAUAAAGGAGGUUUUUUAGUUGUAUUGGGCACAAUUGAAUAAAAGUUGAAGUUUUCAUUUACUUUGCAUGAAGAAAGUUUUCUUUGAGAGUUGAGUGAUUCUUCUCUUGUUUAUUUUUAAAAUUCGUUACUUUCAAAAUCUUUCGAUGAGUGUAAAUCUUCAAGUUUCAAGCCCAAUUAUUAACUUUUUAGGAGUCCUUAUUUUAAAGGUUUUGUAGGGGUUCAAGUCAGAUCAUUGACAUUCUCAGAUACAAGUUAUCAAAGCGUUCUAUAGAGCUAUUCUAUCCUUAUUUUCUUUCUAUUUAUUUUCUCUACUCCUUUAUUUUGAAACUGACUUGGUUUAAUCCUAUAUUUUAUUUUCAUAUUCAAACACUCUUUGGGCUAGGAAUUGUAUUCAACACACUCAUGCUUCCUCUAGAUCGAAUACAAUACAAUAAGCCUAUUCUUUCUUCUUUGAUUUUUCUUUCUUUAAUUUUCCUUCUUUUAAUUCCUUAUUUUUAAAAUUUUCAAAUGUGAUUUUGUGGUUUUUUUUAAAUUCUAUUUAUUUCUAGGAAUAAUUAAAUAAAUUGAAAUUGACAUAAAAUGCAAAUCAUUUUUAUAAAAAGUUGUAAUAUGAAAAUUAUAAAAGAAAAUUAAAAAUGCUAAAAUUUUGAAGUCAUGGGAGCUUUUGAUUUAGCUAACCCAUGUACUAAUUUGUAAAAUUGAUAAAGUUUUUGAAAGUUUAAAUUGUUGAUUUCUUGAAGAAAUUGGUGUGAAAUUGAUAGAUUUUAAGCUUAGAUUAUGAAAAGGACUAGAUUGUAAUGUUUAAUUAUUAGUUUUGUACAUAAGGACUAAAGUGAAUAAAAUAUAUUUUUUUGUGAAAUUUUAGUAUAAAUAGAUAGUAGAGAGUCUAUAAUGAAUAUAAUUGAAGUUGGUUUUCAAAGCGAGGCUCAAAGAUAUGGUUAUUUCAAAUGUAAGGACUAAAUUGAAUAAAAUGUAAAAGUUUAGGGGUAUCAAAAAAUGAGAUUAUUUAGAUUCAUUCAUGUCAUGGCAUAAUGUAUGAAUGUUGGGUAUUGAUGAAUUGAAUGAAAGAAUUGCAUAGAUCAAGAAUUGGAUCAAAUUGGAAGUAAUUGAGGAAAAACCAAAAUUGUUUAUUAGUCCCUGAAAGUUUAACUUGUUUGGUAUUUUGAUUAGGUAAGUUUGUAUGGUACUUAUAACUUAGAUUGUAUGUAUUUUAAUUUUAUAUAUGUUUGGUUGUAAAUUCAAGUGGUUGUGAAUUUAUAUAAAAGGUAAGAAUUGGACUAAAUUAAAAAGUGAUGAUUAUAUGUGUAAUAGAUGCCUGUGUGAACUUACUAAAGGUUAGGAUACGAUUGGCAUGUCAAUAGGGUCUUGUGCGCGCUUGUACGAGAUUGAUCACAGAUGUUACCGAGGUCCAACAUUUGUUGUAGAUUCUCAAUUAUAUGUGACAUAGGUCUAGCUCAGACGAGUAACUUGAUGUCGUUUUAAAGGUUUAGCCCGGACAGGUAACCUGAAAUGUAUAUAUUUAGCCCGGAUAAGAAACUAGUGUGGUGUAGAUACUUGUGUAUCUGAGCUCAUUUACUAGGGUCCAUCGAGCGAAACGAUUUAUAUGAAAGGAGAAAUUGAAAUGGAAUGAAAUGAACUUGACUAAUCAAAUGGUGAGUUAUUGAAUGAAUAGUGCAAGAGAUAUUGAUUUGAGUAAGGCCAUUAAUAUGUAUAUGAAUGUAAUAUCCUUUGAAUGAGUAUGAACUUUAAAUUGUUACUUAUUGUCUCAUGAUUUGGCAUAUUAAGCAUUUGUGGUAUUAUAUGUGGUUUGAUUUUAAGCUAAUGCUCACCUUGUUGAUGUUGUGAUUUGCCAUGUCUAACCAAACUAUGCCAAAGUGUGGUAGCUUAUUAUAUUUAAUUAAAAGAUAAUGUAAGUUUUAUUUAAUGCCUAUGAACUUACUAAGCAUUUCAUAUGCUUACCUAAUUUGUUUUCCCUUUUCCUUGUAGAUCGUCACCUUGUGGAACAUGUCAAGCUGAAUCGUCUCGAAGCUCACACUGUCCCCAAUUCAAUAGCUAUUUGGUCAUUUUGAGUCUAGGGUUGUGGCAUGUAUAUAAGUGUUUUGUGUAAACUUUAAUUUAUAAAGUCUAUGAUGAGUUUAAAUGUUGGUCUUGGUAUGCGAAUUAGAAAUGCAUGAUUUGGAAAUGGUGAUGCCUAGUUGAAAUGGUAUAUUUUGAGUGACAUGCUUGAGAUAUGUAAUAAUAAAUGGUUGAUUUGUUUUAUGUUUAAGGCCAACAAGCCAUUAAUUUAUAAAAAGGUCAUAAGUGCAUGAAGUUAAGGUAAUAUGGUAUGUUUCAAAUUGAUAAGGCAUAGGUAUGAAUUGAUAAUUACAUGACUUGAAUGUUAGGUUAAAAUAACAUAGACAUGUUUAAGUUUAAUUGAUGAAUAAGUGUUGAAUGCGUUGUUAAGAUGUUGAAUUUGAAUGUUUGAGCUUGUUUAGCAUGAUUGGUAAGUUUUGAAUUAAGUAAAUAUGGUGAUUUGUGAACAUAUUGAAUAGUUGUUGUUGGAAACUAUGAAAUAGGUAUCAAAUGGUUCAUUUUUACCAAACACAAGGUCCAUGUCCUAACGACCAACCUAUCUCGUAGCAACUAGACAUGCUCAUGGGUCGGGCUACCCAGCCCGGCCCGAAGGAUCGCCCGAAAUGUGGGAGGAUUGGGGCAAAAAUAAAAGCCCAAAAAAUAGGUUUGGACAAAAAAAUGAGGCCCGUUUAAAAAAUGGGCCGGGCCUCGGGUAAGGUAUUUUUGGCCUAGGCCCCACCCGACUCGAAUUCACUAAAUGACAAAAAAAUUAUGCUAUUUUUUUUAUUUUUGAAUAUUAUUUUCUUGUUGUUUUCUCCCUAUUUUGCUACCAUAUUACUAUUAGUUGCUCCUAUUUUGUUGUUAUCAUUUGGAUAUUGUAUAAAACUUAUUUUAUUAUUAAUUUUGUUAUUAUUUUAAAGGUAUUUGUUAAUUUUAUUAUUAUUUUAGAGGUAUUUGCUUGUUAAGUUGAAUCUAUCUUAGUACUAUUUAAGUUUACAUAUUUUUUAAAAUUUAUUUUUAAUUUGUUGAAAAAUAUUUAUUUUGAUUUUUUUAGUAUUUUUUUAGUAUUAUAUAUAUUUAAAAAUUAUAUAAAAUAAUAUAAAAAUAUAUACAGGCGGGCCAGGCUAGGCCGGGCUUGGGUUUUAGUAUUUUUAUUUGGGUCGGGCUUGGGUAAAAUUUUAGGCCCAUUUUUUGGGCCCAACCCGAGCCCAAUGAAUGGGCCUAAAUUUUUAGUUGAGCCCGGCCCAUGAGCACCUCUAGUCGCAACAUCGAUUGUCAGUAUGUGACAUCAUGACGUCGAGUGGCUUGAAGUUGAGACGUGAUAUACUGUUUUGGCAAUGUCACAACAUAGAAGAGAUGACAUCACAAAGUCGGCCCUGAACUUCAAAAACUUUCCAAUUUGAUCUUGUUUUGUGUUCGGGUUGAUAAAAGAGCUUUUGUAAGCUCGAUUAAAACUCGAAAUUGAUUGCUUAACAUGAUUUGAAUGUAAUGGACACGUAACUGCACGUGUGAAUGAUUAUUUGUUGUGCAUUUGACUAUAGUUGCUCCAACAACAAAUGUGGCAUCCUGUAACUCAGACCAGCGACCGAGUCGGAUGAAAGAUGUUACAUAUUCAUAAUAUCUUAUAAAUAUAAUAAAAUUUUCUAUAUUUUUAUAAUUUUCUAUAAGGUCUAAUUUUUUAUAAAUUUUUUUCAUAUUUUUAUAGUAUAUUAAAAAAAUUAUGUUAAAAUUUUUUAUAAUUAUAUAUAUUUAAAUUUAUUAUAAUAUUAUAAUAAUUUUUAUUUUAAAUAAUUGAGAAUCAAUUAAGUGUUGAUGUCAUCAUGUUAUAAAUUUUUUUUUUCAUCGUUAAAUAUUUUCAUCAUUACUUAAUGGUUUGUCGAAGAUUUCAAUAAAAAAAAUUUAUUUCAGAUUCUAUUAAUUAUAAUUUUUAAUUAUUUUAUUAAAACUUUUUUUUUUUUGACAUUUUAACCUAUUUAAAAUUCAAUGCUUCGCUCACAUUGCAAACGACGUUAAAUUCGGGUGCGUGAUUAGAUUACUUCUCUUUUCCUCGCCUGUGCCUAACUUUCAUUUGGGUCCCACUCUUUUUUAAACAGUGGGGUCCUUUAUAUGAUCUUUCCAUUGACUUUUCCUUCAUUUGGUCUAUCUUAAAUUUCACUCUUCUAUUUUAUGAAAAUUAAAAAAUAGCCCAUUUAUUUUAAUUUAUUAAAAUUUAAUCCUCAAAAAAUAAGUUAUUAAUUUAAUUAGGUAACACUACUAAGUCUUACCGUUAAGUUAGUUAUCUAAAAUUUAGUAGUUGACUAAUUUAUAUGUACAAAAUUAGCAUGUCCAACAAAUUAGCAAGUUUAUGUAUUUAUUAGUAGUAGGAUUAAUUUAUAUGUAUUUUUAAUGAGAUAAUGAAGUUUUCAAGUAAUAUUACCCAAGUUUUUAGUAAGAACUGAUUUAUAUUAAUUUUUAAAUAUUUUUUAUUGUGUCUUAGAAAAUAUUAAUUAUGGAUAAUCUGAUUAAGUAUUAAAAAUUAAAAAUUUAAUGGAUAACAUUUUAAAAAGGUUUAGUUGCCAUUUCAUGUGCAUUUGCAUUUGAAUUUGGGGAUUUCUUUUCCUUUUUCUUUUAAAGAGGGAAAUGAAAGGAAAGAGCGAUGGGCUCAUAUUUUGGACUCUUCUUAUAAAAAUGGAAUAUCAACGAAAAGUCUCUCUUUUCUCUUUCUUUGUUUUUUUGUUAUCAUUUUUUAAUGCGGGUUUGAAACUUUGAAGUUUGAAGGCACCAAGCUUGCAUUUUUCUUAAGGACACAUUCUGGGUUCUGAUCUUGUUAUCACAUUUGUGUUUCAAAAAUCAAAGGCAUGUAUUCUCUUUUCCUAUGUUGGUGCUCUGUUUGUGUUUGUUUGGUUGGUGAGAAAAUGUGGGAAAAGAGUGAAACUUUCAAGUGUUUUGGUUGUUGGGGAUAGUUACUUAUUCUAUGUUAGUACUAUGUUUGGGAAUUCUGCCUGAUUGUUUUUGUAUCUAUAGUUAACUUUUAUUGAAGAUUUUGGUAUUUUUUAACUGAUUUUUCUGUUCUUUAAUUGGUUAAAAUUGUAUAGGCGUGUUUGGUCGAGUAGAAAAUUAGAAAGAUAGAUAGAUAAGAAAAGAGUGUGAAAGUGAAACGAAAAUGAUUUUCUUGUGUUUCUGGUAAGGGAAUAGAUUGAGUAAAUUUACUCACAAAAUAAAUCAUUUUCAAAAUUAAAAAAAAAAAAAGAAAUACAAGAUUUCCAUCAUAUUUAGAUUUUACUUUUAGAAUUUUGAUUGAUAAAAUAUAAACUGGUAAAUUUCUUUUCUACCCAUUCUGCCAGGACAAUCUAUAUGCUUUGGUUUUAAUUCUAGGAUAAGCUUAUUUGUUAGAAAUUUAAUGGUUAGUUUUUUAAGGAUUACAACUUUAUUUGUAAAGUUGAAUGUUUAAGGAAAACUUAUGAUGUAUGUCUAUUUGUUUUUUUUUUUCUGUUAAAUUCAUGAAUUGUGGGGUUUUAGUGUGCUCUGUUUCUCUCUUUUUAUGUCAAUUUCAGGCUCUGAAUUUUUUGGAUGAGUUGAUGAGUGUUCUUCUUUUUGUUUUCUCUUUGUUUGCAAUUUUUGCAGAAAGAAAAUUAUUUUUCAAUGUGCAGUGGUCCAAAGAGCAAACAAGCUCAAACUAGUUUCUCGAUGGAGGGUGAGUCUCAUAAAGAAGAAGGGCUUCCUCAAAAGUUGUCUAUUUUGCUAGAGUUGUCGGCUUCAAAUGAUCUGAUUGGCUUUAGACGAGCUAUUGAGGAAGAGGGUUAUGACAUUGAUGAGUCAAGCUUGUGGUAUGGAAGGAGAAUGGGAUCAAAGAAACUUGGGUUUGAAGAAAGAACACCCCUUUUGGUAGCUUCCAUGUUCGGGAGCAAAGAUGUGGUGAAUUAUAUUAUCAAAAGUGGCUGUGUUGAUGUUAACAGGGCUUGUGGUUCUGACGGGGCAACGGCUCUCCACUGUGCUGCUGCUGGUGGCUCCUUUGAGUCAGCUGAGGUUGUCAAAAUCUUGCUUGGCGCCUCCGCUGAUACCACUUCUGUUGAUGCAAAUGAAAACCGGCCUAGUGAUUUGAUUGCUCCAGCUUUGGACUCAGCUUUUAGCUCGAAGAAGAAAAUGCUGGGGUUUUUGUUGAAAGGAAAGGAAACUGUUGGUCAAAUAGCGGGUUUGCAUGCUCAGGUAGGAAAUGAAAUGGAAGGGCAAGAGCAGCAACAAAAUUCAACGGCUCAGGCUUUGAAGGAAGGAACUGAGAAGAAAGAAUAUCCAGUCGAUCUUACUCUUCCAGACAUUAAGAACGGAAUAUAUGGUACAGAUGAAUUUCGGAUGUAUACUUUUAAGGUCAAACCUUGCUCCAGGGCUUACUCUCAUGACUGGACUGAGUGCCCCUUUGUUCAUCCUGGGGAGAACGCGAGGAGGCGUGAUCCUAGGAAAUAUCAUUAUAGUUGUGUCCCUUGCCCUGAAUUUCGUAAGGGUUCCUGCAGGCAGGGUGAUAAUUGUGAGUAUGCACAUGGUAUUUUUGAGUGCUGGCUUCAUCCUGCUCAAUAUCGAACUCGUUUAUGCAAGGAUGAGACUAAUUGCACCAGGAGGGUCUGCUUCUUUGCUCACAAGCCCGAGGAGCUUCGUCCAUUGUAUGCUUCAACAGGUUCAGCAGUGCCUUCUCCAAGAUCUUAUUCAGCUACAGGUUCCUCCUUAGACGUGGGUUCGAUGAGCCCACUUGCUCUUGGCUCUCCAUCUAUUAUGAUACCUCCGACAUCAACACCACCCUUGACCCCUACCGGUGCCACUUCUCCUAUGGGUGGAGCUAUGUGGCCUAAUCAGUCUAACAUCUUGCCUCCUACUUUGCAGCUUCCUGGUAGUAGGUUGAAAGCUGCGUUAAGUGCCUGGGAUAUGGAUUUAGACAUGGAACUAUUUGGGUUGGAAAGUCAUCAUCUCCACCAGCACAAGCAGCUAAUUGAUGAGAUAUCUGGUAUUUCCUCCCCAACCAGCUGGAACAAUCCCUUGUCUACUGCUUCAGCCUUUUCUGCCUCUGGUAACCGAAAUGGGGAAUUAAAUAGGUUUGGAGGGGUGAAGCCCACUAGCCUUGAGGAUAUUUUUGGAUGUCUUGAUCCUAAUAAUUUGCCGCAAUUACAUGGAAAUUCACUUGACGCUGCAGCUCCUCAGCUGCAAUCUCCCACUGGAUUGCGGAUGCGUCAGAAUAUUAACCAGCAGCUCCGUGCUAGCUACCCUACCAACCUAGCAUCCUCUCCUGUGAGGGUGUCUCCAUCCUUUGGGAUUGAGCCCUCUGGGCCAACUGCAGCAACACUUUUAAGUUCGAGGUCAGCUGCCUUUGCAAACCGAAGCCAGAGCUUUAUUGAGCGUACUGCUGUGAAUUGUCAUUCAGGGAUAUUUUCACCAGCUUCUUCAGCAAAUGCAGUGCCUUCUAACCUUUCAGAUUGGGGUUCCCCUGAUGGCAGAUUAGACUGGGGUAUACAAGGAGAAGAGCUAAACAAGAUGAGAAAAUCUGCUUCUUUUGGGUUCCGAACCAAUUUCAGAAAUGCAGUACUCUCAAUGUCAUCAAGUUCUGAUGAGCCUGAUGUGUUUCGGGUACAGUCUCUGGCGAAGGACACUUCUUCUGGACAGUUGAGUUUGGAGGAUGAGCAGCAGCAGUGUCAUCUUAGUUCCGGGGGUGCGGAGAUGCUCCCUGCCUGGAUGGAGCAAUUGUAUGCGGAGCAAGAGCAGAUGGUGGCCUAAAAGCAAAGCCGGCCCCCAACUUGGCUCCUAAGUUAACCAUUAACUAGUUUUCUUUUCGGGUCAUUUUUGUUAGAGUUGAGCUUUUGUAAUUGGAAUGAAAUGGAGAUGGGAAAAAAUUGAUCGCUCCCUUGGGAGAGAAUACAAGGUGAGCAGAAGAGAGGGUUUCUGCUAAUACUGCUCUUAGAUUCUCAAGAAUAAUGUCUUCUUUAUUCUUUUUUUGUCACAAAAUUUGGUUCAUUUGAUGAAUGGGGUUCCAUAUUCAUCCAAGUAGAAACAUGAUUUGCAGAAGAGGGUUCCUUUUUCUUUUUCAAUUUCUGGAGGAUGUGCAUAUUUUAUGUAACACAAACUGCUGCAUUAUUUAAUAUAUAUGUGUAUAAGAUUUCCGGUGAAAAGUGCUUGCUUAUUCUUUUACUUGUUGAGGUUUUGUAUUUGCUCAUUUCCUCUAGGGACAGAAGGAUGGAUCUUUGGAUGUGAGUCCCUCCCCACUUUAAUCAUUGUUUUUAUCUUUACAAUGUUAUUGCUUCAUCUUACUUUGGGCAUUUGAAAAGGUGGGUGGCUCAUUGGUUCCAUGAUUCUAUAACGGCAAUCCUGCAUGCUUGUAUCUUUUAAAUAGCUUUCUUAUUGAGUGGGAUGGACACUAGAAACCUGGAAGAAUGAAAAAACAAAGAUUUUUUUGGCUUCUCAUUAGCAAAAAAUAGAAAUAAAAAAUAGAGCUUGAUUUUCUCCACAUUCAUUAAGGUUUCUUGGGGAUGUAGAAAUCAAAUGAUGAAAAAUCUUGUUCAAAUAAAUUAGAGAAAGGCUGCUGCCGGCAUUUGCCUGCUUUGGGAUUGUUUUAUUUUGGUGUCGUGAGGUUUUUAAUAUUUUCUCAAAUUUAUUUGUUUAAUGUGCGUAAAAUAAAAGAAUUAUUAGAAAUAAAUCUGACAAUUAAAUUUGUUACAUAUUGUGAAAGCAAUACGAAUAAUAGAAUUAUUAACCAUCAAGUCUCAAUUUAUCCUCAAAUAAAAGAAUUAUUUGUUUAAUGCUUCUUCCUUUUUUUUUUUUUUAUGACCAAGUCCUCAAGCAAUACAAGUAAACUUUCUAAGUAGAUUUCUUGUGAAAAUCUGUCCAUUCAUAAUUUAUCUAAAAAACGAACUCAUUUAUUAAUCAUCAUAUUAAGUCUCAACAAUUACGUCUCAUCUUUAAGGCACAUCAUAAUACCACUCUAUUUAGUUCUAUCGCAUUAAACAACUUGCCCCAAAUCCAUUAAUACCUACUCAGCCCCAAAUCCAUUAAUACCUACUCAGCACAUGGCACAUGGGAUAGUAGAGGACAAGUAUAUGAAGACUCAUGUCCAAGGAUCAGACCAAACUAUCUACAUCUCUCCUCCCAGCCUAGCUCAGGGCACAUCCUCUCUUCCUUUUUGUCUUUCCUUCCCAAUACUCCAAUCAUUCUUUCUGACAGCUCUUUGCCCUGUCCUAAAUAGGGUGAACUACCCAUCUUCACCAUUUAUCCAUUAGUGUAUCAACAACUGAGACAGUGAGCAUGAACCCACUUCUGACCAAGUAACAUUUCUAAUGGACCAGGCUAAUCGAAACAACCAAAUUACCAAGACCUACAACAACAACCAAACUAUCCAAUACAUUAAUCAGACUCAACCACAAAACCAAAACUUUGGAAUGUACUAUUACGACCUAUACAACCUGGAUGCCCAACAUUCUCCUUUACAACAAAUAUAUUACGAAGCUUACCCUAGUCACCAGCCCACGAACCAGAAAAUUACAACUUAAAACCAGAAUAACUCUCACCAGUUUUCUAAGUUGCAAGAAAAAGUUUGGAAUUGGCAAGAGCAGUUUAGACAAUCUCAGGAAUUCCAACAACAAUAGCAACAAGUAUACAAGCAACAACAUUAACUUUUACAGUGUAACGUGCAAGAACUAUUGACGGCCCAGCGCCAUCAGAGGGGAUGGUGUAAUGACGAAGAGACAAGAGCUUUCUCAAUCAGGCAAGGCUAGGACCGCAAUUGGAACCGAUAAAACCGACAACAGAGAAAUAAAGCAGGCAACAACCCAAGGGCCGAUAAGGGAAUUACACAGUGAAGGGAUCUGGAGUAUGUUUUCAUACAAUAUGGAAUGAUGAAUUUCAAACUCUUUGCAAAGAGUUGCAGGAUUUGCAGACUGCACAGCUGGGUUAUACAAAAUGAAUGCCAAUCACUCAGAUCCCCUAGCAAUGUGUAUCCAGACAACUUAAAAUUGCUAAAAGAAGUGUACGAUGGUAAAAAGGAUCCCACAGGCCACCUAUUGCAAAUAACAAGCUGCAUGGAUAUUUUUGGGCAUCAAAUGAGUUAAAGUGCAAAGUCUUCCCUACGACACUCUGAGGGAAUGCAAAAAACUAGUAAAAUUCUCACACCCAGGAUUAUUUAGCAGCUUUUGAUGAAUUGUCCGAACUCUUUGUUGGUCAUUUUGUUGGGUUUUUGAACAAUUUAUCCAAAGGAAGUAUGAAGCUCAGUCAAGAACUUGAACAACAACUUAAAAAAUCCGAAUAAAGAAUGAAGGAAGAUUGAGCUUCAAAAGGCUCGAUAUUUGCAAGAUAAACAAACAGAAUUUUACUUGGUAAAAGAAAGCAAAAAUUGAGAGAUUAUUUUUCUUGAAUGAUUUCUAUUGAAAUUCAUUGAUUAAAAAAUAUGGCAUACUACCAAUAUAUAUACCAGUCAUAAGCUGAUCAGCUUUAACAUAUUAACUAUUUUUAGACUUACUUGCACCACUUGCACAUUGCAACUUGCAAAUCAACUUGCACAAUUAGGUAAGUUGAUCUAUCAAUCUUAUCAGUACCCAAUUAAAUACAAUACCUACUUAGUUCUAAUUUAACUAAGUUACAAAAUAUUAUUUAAAGUAACAAAAUGAAACUGAAAUUGAACAGUAGCAUCAACUUUAGUAGCUGCAUGUACUUCAUCCAGAAAUACUACAGCAGCUUGAUCUUCAUACUUCAUCCACAUAACUUGGACUGUAUGUACUUUGUGUGCUAUAAGUGCGGCUUGAUCUGCUUCUUCAUACUUCAUCCGCAUAACUUAUGUUGCAUGGUCUGCUCCUUGGUUACUUUAUCUGCUGCAUGCAUGCCAACUUCAACACUCCUCCUUGGCUUGUAUGCUGCAAACUCCCAUUUUGGCUCUUAAAUCUUCAAAUCUUGACACACUAAGGGGCUUUGUUAGGAUAUCAGCAAGUUGUUCUUCAGAACUACAAUGAAUCAGCUUUACUUCUUGAGCUUGCUCCAUCUCUCUAACAAAGUGAAAUUUGAUCUUGAAGUGUUUCGUUCUCCCAUGGAACACUGAAUUUUUUGCAAUUGCAACAGCAGAUUGGUUGUCACAAUUGAUCUCUGUUGCUUCCUUUAGUGUUGAUUUAAAUCGGCCAUUAUUUUUCUUAGCCAAUAGCUUGACUGACAGUUCCUACAGCUGCCACAUACUCUGCUUCAGUAGUUGAUUGAGUAACAACAGUUUGCUUCUUUGAACUCUAGCAAAAAAUGGUUGAACCAAGGGUGAACAGAUACAUUUCAAGAUCAAAUUUCACUUUGUUAGAGAGAUGGAGCAAGCUUAAGAAGUGAAGCUGAUUCAUUGCAGUUCUGAAGAACAACUUGCUGAUAUCCUAACAAACCCCUUAGUGUGUCAAGAUUUGAAGAUUUAAUAGCCAAAAUGGGAGUUUGCAGCAUGCAAGCCAAGGAGGAGUGUUGAAGUUGGCAUGCAUGCAGCAGAUAAAGUAACCAAGGAGCAGACCAUGCAACAUAAGUUAUGCGGAUGAGGUAUGAAGAAGCAGAUCAAGCCGCACUUACAGCACACAAACUACAUACAGUCCAAGUUAUGUGGAUGAAGUAUGAAGAUCAAACUGCUAUAGUAUUUCCGGAUGAAGUACAUGCAGCUACUGAAGUUGAUGCUACUGUUCAAUUUCAGUUUCAUUUUGUUACUUCAAGUAAUAUUUUGUAACUUAGUUAAAUUAAAACUAAGUAGGUAGUGUAUUUAAUUGGGUGCUGAUAAGAUUGAUAGAUCAGCUUACCUAAUUCUGCAAGUUCAUUUGCAAGUUGCAAUGUGUAAGCGGUGCAAGUAAGUCUAAAAAUAGUAAAUAUGUUAAAGCUGACCAGCUUAUGACUGGUAUAUGUAUUGGCAGUAUGCCAUAUUUUUUAAUCAAUGAAUUUCAAUAGAAAUCAUUCAAGAAAAAUACUCUCUCAAUUUUUUCUUUCUUUUACCAAGUAAAAUUCUGUUUGUUUAUCCUGCAAAUAUCGAGCCUUUUGAAGCUCAAUCUUCCUUCAUCUUCAAGUUUUCAAAGUCCCUUCUUAAAUUUAGUAGCUGUUGCUUCCUUGUUCUUUCAGUCCCUUGGAACUCCUCCUUCAACUUAUCCCAGGCAUGCUUUAGUGACUCACAAGUCAUGAUUAUUGUGAAAAUCACAUCAGACACACUGUUUUGGAUGCAAGACAUGGCUUUGUGCCUUUGGGUUCUUUCAUCUGAAUGUUGUCUGAUCUGAGCCACUGUUGGAUUGGCUCUAAGAGGUGUUGGUUCAACAUCUGAGUUAACAACCUCCCAUAGGUCAAAUGCCUGUAGGUAAGUCUUCAUUUUUACUACUCAUAUGUGGUAGCCUUCUCCAUUGAAGACUGGUGGCGGCACUGGUGAGAAUCCUGAUGAAGACAUGGUUCUAAGGAUUGAAAAAAAAAAUGACAGGUCCACUAAGAAUAAGGCUCUAGAUACCAAUUGUUGGGUUUUUGAACAAUUUAUCCGAAGGAAGUAUAAAGCUCAGUUAAGAACUUGAGCAACAACGUAAUAAAUCCGGAUAAAGAAUGAAGGAAGAUUGAGCUUCAAAAUGCUCGAUAUUUGCAGGAUAAACAAACAGAAUUUUACUUGGUAAAAGAAAGCAAAAAUUGAGAAAGUAUUUUUCUUGAAUGAUUUUUAUUGAAAUUCAUUGAUUAAAAAAGAUGGCAUACUGCCAAUACAUAUACCAGUCAUAAGCUGGUCAGCUUUAACAUAUUUACUAUUUUUAGACUUAUUUACACUGCUUGCACAUUACAACUUGCAAAUCAACUUGCACAAUUAGGUAAGUUGAUCUAUCAAUCUUAUCAACACCCAAUUAAAUACACUACCUACUUAGUUCUAAUUUAACUAAGUUACAAAAUAUUACUUAAAGUAACAAAAUGAAACUGAAAUUGAAUAGUAGCAUCAACUUCAGUAGUUGCAUGUACUUCAUUCGGAAAUACUACAGUAGCUUGAUCUUCGUACUUCAUCCACAUAACUUGGACUAUAUGUACUUUGUGUGCUAUAAGUGCGGCUUGAUCUGCUUCUUCAUAUUUCAACCGCAUAACUUAUGUUGCAUGGUCUGCUCCUUGGUUGCUUUAUCUGCUGCAUGCAUACCAACUUCAACACAUUUCCUAGCCAACAAGACGACUUUGAAAUUAAAAGACCAACCUAUUAAGAGUUCGACAACAACUAGGGGAAUCGCUUAGCAAGUUUACCCAUCGUUUCAGCUAGGCUACUUUGGAAUUAAAAGAUCUCACUAAUGAGUGGGUCGUAUCUGCAUUCAUAGCUGGCCUAGAACACCAAUUUCAGAAGUAAAACUUGACGGUUAACAGGCCAGAAUAGUAUUUCAACUGUAUGAUAUGGCGAGUGAAUGCGCAGAAACUAAAGAUAUCAACAGUGCGACAAGCUUUGGGUAUAGUGCAAACCCUUCCGCCCAGGAUUUUGACAAAAGUUGGAGAAAGAAGCACAAAAAAUCGAGAAAGAAAGCAAUAGGCAAUAUGAGUGAACAUGGGAGAAACAAUCUCCUAAAUUCCCGUAGGCUGCAUUUCAUAGGCAGUCAAAGGCAACGUUUGAAGGGUCCACGAAAUAGUCUCGAAGGCAACCCAGUUUGAAGUGCCUUUUCUUAUUGCAGAUUAGUGCAAAAGAAACAUUUAGACGUAGAUAAGUAUUUGAGCACCCUAAACUUUUUCCUAUCCACUUUGGGCAAAAACAAAGUCUUAGCCUUUUGCUUUCCUUUAGCUUACUUUCCCCUUUUUUUUUGAGGAAGAAGCAACUGUAAAGUUGGCUUCUGUUUUUUUUUGGAUUGGUACUCUAUUAUUCAACAUCAACUCAGAAGUGUGCAACUCUUUUAUAAGUAGUGUAAGAGUGAGCUCUUUGUUUCCUAAGUUGUAAGCAGCCCUAAGAUCGACAAAUUCCUUAGGCAGAAACUUAAACACCGUUUCAAUCUAGUGUUAUGAUCUAGUUCAACCUCAUUAUCCUCCACUUCUGCAAAGAAUACCAUAAGCGCUAGCGUACAGGACUUCUGCUUAGAGUUUAUCAAACUAGUUAUUAUGGACUGUCGAGCCAAGGUAUUUUGGCCUUCAUACAUCUCUUCCAAAUUGUCCAUGAUCUCUUUAGUCAUAAUGUAGCAGCGAGUUAUCUCAUUUGAGUCCUUUCUACAGACCCUAGCUUGAUGUUGGUUUUCAGGAGGGCAUGCUCCGUCAAACACAAAUUUAUGUUUUUCACACCUUAGAACAAUGUGUAGCUUCUGGUUUCCAUUGCUUUUAUUUUCGUUUAACUUAUUUUUAGUAAGAAUGUUCAUGAGUGGCGUUGGUGUCAUUUUGAACUGAAAAUAAAAUUAACCAUAAAUUAAUUAUAUUUUUAUUAAUUAAAUACUCUGAUUAUAUUUUGCAACAAACAAUAUGCAUUAAAAAUGAUAUACGCUUCUUACAUUAAACACGUUGAAAAAUUAGUAAACUGUUGCAACCAUAAUUACAUAAAAAUAAUUUGUACAGACAUGUAUCACAUUUACAUAUAACAAAUUUAAUAUCUAAUUUUAGAAUUUCUCACUUUAAUUUAACUAAUUAAGUGCCAAUAAUCUAUAAAAAAAAUAUAUCUAUAAUAUUAUUACAUUUAUUUUUGUUAAUCAUAAUAAAUAGAUAUUGUUUUUAUUUUGACAAGAUUUUUUUAUUUAAAAAAUUGAUGAUAUAUUUAUAAUAUAAUUUUAUUCUUAAAAAUAAAUUUAAUGAAUAAUUAAAAAAGAAAAAAUAAAUGAAAAAUUGGAGAGAGCGCCACUUGGCACAAAGAUAGAAUGUGUACCUUGUUCUAUUAUAUUAUAUAUAUGGUUUGUCAUUUUAAAUAUUUUUUAUUAUUAAUAAGAUUUAUCACAUAUAAAAAUAAAAAAUUUAAUUUACUAAAAUAUUUCAUUAAAUAAGUAAGAAGCUUUAUGAAACAUAUUAAUAAGAAUUUUUUUUUGAUAAUUACAAUAACAGGACAAGACUCGAACAAUCAAUGCGACUAGUACAACUUGAACUCAAGUCACAUCUGAAGCAGUGAACACCUUUGACCAUUAGGCCAUCACAUAAAGUUCAUAUAAAUAAGAAUUUUGAUUCUAUUAAAAGAUUUUUAUUAAAUGAAUUUAUAUAAUAAUAAAUAAGUAAACACUUAAUUUUUUUAUUGGAAUACUUUAUUUUAUAUUAUUUUGUUUCCAUCAACCAAAAAAGUAAAAAAAAAUGUAGUACUUUAACUUUAAAUAACAAAAUUUAAUUAUUUCUAUAAUAAGUAAGUUUAUAUUUCAUAUAUGAAAGCUUAUAAAUAAUACAUUUAUAUAAUUUAAAAUGUUAUAUUAUAUGUGUAUUAUAGUCUAUUAAUUAACUAUAAAAAUUUAUGAAAAUUGAACAAGAUUUUAAUUUACAAUAUAUCAAUUUUUUUAUGACUCAUAAAAAAUUAUAAUUUGUACAAAUAUGCUUUAAUGAUGAUUAAGGUUUUUUAUUAACAUUAUAUCUAAAUUAUCAAAAUAUUGAUAUAUUUUAAUUAUAUUUAUUAAUUAUUAUUUUGAACAAUAUUGUUUUGCAUUAUUUAUAUUAUAUUAUACCUUGAAUAUGAUAUGAAAAUUUUUAAUAUUAUUAAAAAAUUAUUGAUCUACAAUAUAGUCAGUUUUUGCUAUGGUAUAAAUUCUUUAAUUAUUAAUUGAAAUUUUGUUAAUAUAUUUGAAUUAUUUUCAAUAAUUUGAAUAAUGAACUAAAAAAUUAAUUAUAAUAAUUAAAAACAUAUUAUUUAAAAAAUAAUUAAAAAUUAAAAUUACAACAUUGAAAACAAGUGAGAAAUGAACAAAUUAUGGCCCUUAAUCUUAGUUAUUGUAUCAUUCAGAUUUGGCAAGGGAAAGCAACUUAAACAGGUUUAGAUCAGUCCGAUAAAACACUAUAUCUCCACUAUUGCUGACGUAAUGAUCUUGUGCGAGGCUUGUGAUUAAAUUAUUGAUCAAAUGAAAUGGAACAGCCCCUGAUUUCUUCGGCUCCCGGUAGAAUUUUCCUAUCACCGGUUUUGCCGCUUUAGUCUGCAAAACCCAGAAAACACCCUUCAUUUUAUCUUAUGAAAUCAAUCGGUUUAAUUGUUUCUAAAGAAUAUUUUGCUUACAGCUUCCACUAAGUGAUAAUGAGGGAUUUGAGGGAAGAGAUGAUGGAUGACAUGUGUGCCAAUGUCAUGGUGGAUAUUAUUGAAUAAACCAUAAUCACGAUCCACUGUUGUAAGCCCUCCUCUCAGAUAACUCCAUUCCUGUCAUGUAAAUGAACAAACCUCUCAAGUUUGAACAACUUUUUACUCUCAAAUGCGUACAUACAAAGUUAAAUUGUAGGUACCUUGCCACGGUACCAAGGUAGUUUCUGCUCAUGGCCAUGGUGAUGUAGGUAAGUCACUAAAUCUAGCCAUAUCACGAAAAUCUACGAAACCAGAAUAAAAUGGCUCAGCUUGAUGGAUCGAAACUUAGCGCAAGUGAAUCACACAGCUUGACGUACCAAGUAGGGAAUGCCAUAGAGCUUAAACAUGUGGGAUGGACCAACUGUAAAGGAUACGUAGGCAAGUAUAAUAGCCAUUGUAGACCAACAGGCAGUGGAUAUCAUCACAAGUUUCCUCUCUUGGGGGCUAAACAAGUUGCUGUAAGGGUUGAAAUGAGAUCCUUCUUUGCCUGGGCUUCUAUACCACUGUAAUGAAAACAAAAGAUAGCCAAAUUUAACUCCUUACCAGCCAUUAUGUUAAUCUUUUUGUCGACUAAAACAAAACAAGCUUUCUCACCAAAUACACGGGGAAUGCAAAUAGGGGAAAGGGGACGGUGAAUCGCAGUAAUCGCGUACUGGUGUCGAGUUUCUUGUAAAUAUUCUCAGGCAACUGAGAUUAAAAACCAAAAGCAUGAAGGGUUAGUCUGCAACUUGAUAUAUAUAGCAUGGAUGAAUUAUAAGAAAAAUAAGGUCGAAAAUGUUGUACCGGAACCCAUGACUCAUCAUUUUCGACAUUUCCGUGGUUCUGAUGAUGAGUUCUAUGGCUUAUUCUCCUGUAAGAUUUUCAGAUUCUGUUAUGUAGUUGCAAGCAUACAAAAUAAAGAACAAAUAUUUACCUGAUUGAACUCACCAUCCAUGGUAAGGAACAAGAACUGAAGAAUGUAAGAUAUGUCCCACCACACUAUUCAAAAUAGCAUUGUCUGAAAAGCUUCCAUGGCCACUGCAAAUCCAAAACUAAGAUAAAGAGUUAUACUAAAAACAAGAAAAAGGAAAUGAAGUGUACUAUUACCAAUCAUGUCCAAGGACAAAGACAGCCCAAAACAUGGUUCCUUGGGCAAACCAGUAGAUUGGCCAAAACAGCCAAUUAUUGCAGAAGACUGCAGCUGCUGCUAAUGCAAAAACCACACUGACAUCCCUAAAAACAUAACUCAUUGACCUCCAUGGAUUCUUGAUCCAACACUGCUUCGGUAUGGCAGCUCGGAUAUCCGCAAUCCGGAAUGGAGGAGGUGAACUCGGAUCAAAAUCACCUUGCUCAUUCAUUCCAUUAACAUACUCCCUUUUCAACUCCAUUGUUUCAAAUCAUGUAUCUAGGAUGAGAUAGGUGACCAAUGGUUGCUUUAUCUCCACUCCUUUCUAACCUUUAUAUAGAUGUGAACUUAGAAUUUGAUUUUUAUGCUAACAAAUCCACCUAAUUGGAAUUACCCUCGAGAUAUUAAUGCUUCCUUGCAACAGAAAAAGUGAAAAAGGUUAAAAAGAUUAUUCAGUGUAUUUGCAAAAGCUUUCAAAGUAUGGAAAUGUCUAUUUGUUUAUUGAAAGAAAAUUUCAUCUUCCAAUCACACACACAAUUCCUUUUCAGGGUUUUUCUAAUUUUAUCAUAAUUACUCUAAUUAAUCUAUCUUCCAACUCUCUGAAUCUAUACUAAUUAUAAAGUAAAAAUUAAGCAUAACAACACACAAAGAAAAUAAAUUAACUUUUUAUUAAUCUUAAAUUUGAUAUUAACACUUUUUGACUAGAUGCAAUAGUAAAGAAAAAUAUGAAAAAUAUAAAUUCAAAAUGUUGAAUACCAUAUUAUUAAGCGGAGCAGUCAUAAACUCCGAACAUAAAAUAUAAAAAAAAAUUUAAAUUUAAUUUCGAAUUUCAAAAAUAGUUCCUAAACAAGCAAUGUGCUUAAAUCCUAAUAUAAUUUAUAGUUAUUAUAUUCAACAAUGCAUGUAACAUGUGUGUUGUAUUUGCGGGCUAAAUUCAAACACGAUCAAAGUGCCAAAAUUUUCAAUAGACUUAAUAAGUAAAUUCUCACUUAAAUUAUACCAUUUUCUCAUCUUAUAUAUUUAGUCCAAAGCUAUAUAGAAAAAGUAGCAACAUCAUUUAACAGUGAAUUUUAUAUAUAAGCCUAUUGAAUAUUAUAAAAUUAGUGGAUGUGUAACUUUUGGGUACAACAAAAGUACAUGCAAACAUCCAUCCAUCAAUGGCGAUUUUCCAGAAUGCUAAAAGGGUUUGAAAAGAAUGAUUUCAUUGGCCAGACCAACUUAGCAUGGAAUGGAAGUGAAUUAUCAGGAAAAGAGAGUAGAAAUUCCAGUAAAACAAAAGUUAAUAAAUUGUUCUGUUUUUUGGGGAAUCAAAACCAACAAAUUCUACUUUUUUCAGAGUGCAGGGAACAAAUUCUAAGACCACUAAUUGAAGUUUAGCUUGAAGAACAAGUAAGGAAACCAAAAAUAAUAAAGAAAAAGCUUGUUUACACUGAAGGUUCCAAGAAGCUGGAGCAGUAAAUCUGAAAAGAACACAACCAUGAUCUUAAUGCAAUCCCCCUCAUAAAAGAGAUUUUAAUUACUAGAGUAAAUAAAAGAGAGAAUGCAAUUUUUAUGUACCAACCUGAAGAAGAAGCUACCUAUCAACUUAUGGACUUCUCCACUGAAAAAUUUUCGACCAGUUUUAUUUUCUUUAGGGAAAAUUAUCUUAGUUGGUUAUCUAAUUUUUAAGCCGCUUUUAUUUUAGUCACUCAAGUGUUAAAUCUUUAACACAUUUAAUUGUACACAUCACAUCAUUUUUACAUUUUCAUUUUGGUCACCCAACAUUCAGGCCGCAUUCAUUUUGGUCGUCCAAAAAAUUCCCCCUUUUUUUUUCUUUUUUGUAAGUAUGAAUUUUGGGUAAAAAAAAUUAAGAAGUAAAAUGAAUAAGCGUUAGAAACCAAAAUAAUAUACAAAAAAAAUAUUUAAUUGUACUUUUUUAUCCCAUUGAAAAAAUUCUAAUUUUCUUUUUUUAAUAUUGAAAUUUUAUUCAAAACAUCAAAAUAAAUUAUUGAAAAGAAUUAUCUCUUGAUAAUGUCAACCGGUUUGUUACGACAAUAUAAAAAUAAUUAAUUUAAUUUCCUUCUAAAUUUUAAAACUUUAUUUUAUAUUUUCAAAUUAUCCUUAACGAAAUCAUCUCAAAUAACUUAUAUUUAAUAAUUGCCUAUGAAACUUAAUUGUCUUUGGAUUAUAUAAUCUCAAAUAUUUCAUGCUAAGCUAAAAGCAAUGAAUAAAUCCUUGCAAGGAUAAAGGAGUAAUGAAAAAAAUAUGAGUUUUGUUUGGCAUAGAAGAUAAAAUUAAUUAGUUAAAUUAAUUGCAAGAUUUAUUUUUUUACUUUUAGCUUAGCAUGGAAGAUUCAACAUAAUUUCAUAGACAACUAAUUAAAGAUGAGUUAUUUGAGUUUAUUUUAAUUUAGAAACAUAAAAUAAAAUUUAAAUUUUAGAAGGAAAUUAAAUUAAUUAUUAUCAAUACUAUAGUAAUAAAUCGGUUGACACUAUUAAGGCAUUAAAUUUUUCAAUAAUUUAUUUAAUUGAUUUUGAUGUCCGUAAGGAAGUAAGCAAGUACAAUUUGACAUUUUUUUAAUGUAUCAUUUCAGUUUUUACCUUUUUUUUACUCUGAGUAGUACUUAAAAGGAUUUUUUUGGUGUGAUGAAAAUAAAACUGACCUAAAAGUUGGAUGGCCAAAACGAUAAUGUAAACAUGAUAUGACGUGUGCAAUUAAUCAUCGUCAGAGAUUUAAUGCUUAGGUGACUAAAAUAAAAACGCCUUGAAAGUUUGAUGAUGAAAUUAUAAAAAUUUCAUUUUGAGUGACGAAAAUAAAAUUAUCCUAAAAAAUUAAGUAAGUAACUAGGUAGUUUAUAUAUAAGCAAGCUAACUAGGUAGUUUAUAUAUAUUUUAUAGUAAAAAUUAAGCAACGGGAUGGAUCUUUUAUAAGCAAGCCCAUAAGUAAAUUCAUAACUUUUUCACAUUUGGAAACGCAUGCCGGAUGACAAGUAAUUAGAGGUCGCAAACCUACGGGUUUUGGGCGGGCAGAUAAAUUUUAGAUUAAAUUAACUCGAGUUUGGAUAUUUUCGAGUUCAGAUUUUGUUAGAUUUAAAAUUUUUUUGAGUUUAAAUUUUUUAAAUUAUAUCAGUUUAGUUAGGCAGAUUUAAAAAAAUUCAAAUAUUUUUAUAUUUUAUAAAUUAUAUUUCAAAUGUGAUAAUUAAUUUUAUUUAUAAAUGACAAUAACACAAUACAAAUCUGUUUUAUGAAAAGGAGAAAUUUUUUAUUUAAGUUUUUUUUUAAAUAGAAAUAUUGUAUAUAACUCAACUAAAAAGUAGUUAAAGUAAUUGUUAUAUAUAAUGUUUAUGAUUAUAUAAUAAAUAAGAAUUCUAUAAAUACAAUUAAUAUUAUUAUAUAAUACAUAUUUGAAUUUGUAUAUAAUAUUUUUGUUUAUUUGCAUGUAAAAUUUAUGGUUCUAUGAUAUAUAUAUAUUAUUUGAAUUAUUAUCUAAAAUAUAUAUAAGGCACUAGUUUGGAAAAUAUUUUAAAUUGAAAAAAUAAUAUUUAUUUUUUAUUAUAUUACUAAAUUAAUAUUUGAAUAAUUUUUUUUGUUAUUAAAUUUUUAAUAUUGAGAAAUAUUUAUUAUAUUUAAGCUUAAGGCUAAAAAAAAUACUUUAGUAAAAAAAACAAUUAAACUCUUAAGAAUGUCAAAAAAAAAAAUCAAAUAGACCGUUUUGAUAAUGAAAAUCGUCAUUAAUUGAUUUGACUUAUAAUAAACACUUAUACAACUAACAAAAUCAAUGAGAAGCUACUACAUGACAUGUUACUUGGACAAAUAUAUUGACGUGACAUGCUACAUAUCAUAUAUUAAAAAAAUUAAAAUACUAAAAAUUAUAAAUUAUACAAAUAUACUAAAAAUAUAAAGAAAAUUUGUUUUAAGAAGCUUUUGUGUUCAUUUUUCAUAUGUAUUAUGGAUACAAUGAGUCUAUAUAAAUUUGAUUUUUUAUUAACUAAAAGUUUAAUAAAUUUGAUAGGUAAGAUGUUUAGGCUUAAUUUGAAUUUUCAUAUCAUUAAAUUAAUAUAUUACAUCAUUGUAUAUUUUAUAUAAUCAUUAAAUUUAAAUAUUUAUUAUAUAUACAUUAAAAUUAUUUUAUAUUUCAUAAUUAAAUUUUUAAUAGUUCAUUUUAGUUUACAAUUUAACAUAAAGACAUUGUUAUUUAUAAAAUCUUAAUAUAAUUAUAUAAUAUUUAAAAUAUAUUUUCAUAACAUCUUUUUCUUUGGGUUUUAGAUCGAAUAUAUUUUGGGCUUAAGCUUGGAUCAGUCUCAAGCUCGAAACGGGUCUCGGGUCGGUCUUUGAUUAUUUUUAGCUCAAGCUUUCUCAAGCUCAAGUCAGCUUAGACUCGAAUUUUCUCGAGUUCAGACUUUCUAGGGCUCGGAUAUUUUGAAGUUCGAAUUUAGAUUGUUACAAGCUCAGAUCGACAUGGGCGGACUUUCGAGGUCGGACCUAUUUUGUCAGCUCUACAAGAAAUAUUAAAAUUAAAGAAAUAAAAUUAAACCAUUCAUUACCAUUGAAGUAAUCAAAAUUUUCUUUGUUGAAGGUGUAACAAUUUCAAUAUAUUCAAUUAUUACAAAUAAUGAAUAAUUAACUCGACAAUUAAAUUAAAUAAUUAACUAGCAAACUGACCUACUAUAUUUAUAAGUGAUUGACUAAUUAGAGAAUGUAAACACAAACUCUAAAUCUUACCAUUUUCAUACAAUAUACAAUUUCUCUUCAUAGGAUAAUUCUGAAGAGGUGAUAUUUAUGGAUUUAAUGUUCACAAUCUUGGCCAUCUAACUACAUCUAGAGGUAGGUUGUUUGCUGUGUGGUUGAAUCACUGCCUUGCCUGCACCAUACUCCACAGUGCUUUUUUUAAAUCUCUAAACUCUUUUUGACUUGGGAGCACCAAGAAAUACAAAAUUUCAAGUUAACCUUGGAGAAAGCUAUUUAAGAUUUUAUCAUAAUAAUAAUAAUUCUAUUUUACUUUCAUCGCUACAUGUUUUUCAAAUAUAAUGCACCUCAACCUUAAUCCUUAGCCGACUAACCCUUUUUCUUGCUAUUGGGUUAUCAUCAAACAAUUUUUUUUUCUAUCAGUGAAGGCAAGACAUUUUCUUUUCAUCUAUACUAAAUUAUAAAUUUUUAAAGAGAUUAAAACAUAAUUUUAUGAUUGUAUGGAUUUAAAAUUUUACACUUUUUAAAGGGUUAAUUCAUAAAUUUAUCAUUUAGAAUUGAAUUAUAAAUUUUAAGAGGACCAAAAAUUAAAUUUACAAUUUUUUUGAAUGCCCAUUUAUAAAAAAUUAUAUUCAAGAAUAAUAAUUUAAAUUUUUUCAUUUUUAACAUCUAUUUUUCUAUGUUCUUACUUUCAACUGUUUAUAUUCCAUCACAUAUUUUACCUAUUUUUGUAAUGGUGUUAAAACAUGAGUGUGCUAUGUUGUCAUAAAAAAUAAUAUUAAAAAAAUUAGGACGUAUAAAAUUUAAAAAAUAAAAUCUAAUUGAAUUUUUUUACACAAUAUUUUUUCUUCUUAAAAAAUUUCAUGAAAGCAUCCAAACUACCAGAAUUUCCACUAAAAUUAUUUCUUUAUUAUGAAGGAAGUUAGAUAAGAAUCAAAAUCAAAUCCUGCAAUUUCCAAAAUCAUCUAAAUAGCAUUACUCAAACAUCUAGGAAAAAGGAGCAAUCUUUACUGGUAAGUAUUUCAUGUAAAAGGAAAAAGGAAGAAGAAAAUCACUUCAGAUCUACAACAUUGAUUUAAAAUUCAAAACCUUAAUUUUAACCCAAUGAAUCUACCCCACAAUUUCCUUUUUAGACAAUCACAAUUCAAUAAGGAUAAGUAAAGUUUGACAUAUAUAAAAUAUGUUUUUUUUUUCUUUUUAGAUUUAAAAUUUAUUUCUUAAAAUCAAUUUUUUAUUACAUUGCUAUCGAGUGGUUAUUUAUUUUUAUUUCAAAAUAUCAUAUCAACGAAAUUAAUAAAAGAAUGUUAAUAGAGUUAAUAAUUGGACUUGAAUUUUUUAAACCUAAAAGAUAAAGAGAUUAAAUUCCUGAAAAUAAGAAUAAAAAGAUUAAAUUCUUGAAAAUAAAAAUAAAAAAACUAAAUUUCAACUAUAUGAAAAGUACAAGGACUUGAAACAUAUUUUAAUCUAAAAUAACAUUUACCAAAUUUAAUUCAUUGCUAAAAUAAAACUUAGGGCGUGUUUGAUUAAAUAUAAAAAAAAAUUCAGUACAUUAAAAUUUUUAAUAUUUAAAUUAUUGGGUUUAAGUUUAUCUAAACUAAUAUUUAGAUAUUAUAUUCAAAAGAUUAAAAAUGAUAAUUUUUAAAAAAAAUUAAGAUUUGCCGUCAUCAAUUGUAAUAAGGUUUUUAAAAUGUUAACAAUGAUUCUUUAACACCGAACUUGGUUUGACAAUCAAAAUAAAAAUUUUAGGCAUGCCAUAGACACGGCUACAUCAAUUAAUUAAACAUACAACCUUAAUUAUCUCAAACAUUGAGUCACUGGUUAGGAAUUACAUGUCUUAAUUAUAUAAUUAAGAACCGAUAUCAGAUGACUAAUUGAAGGGUUAAUUCCACAAUUAGUUAUCUAACUUUCAUAAAAUUUCAUUUUGAGCAUCAGAGGAGAAAAUUUUAUUUUAGGCAUUGUUGCUAAAAACUGUUUUUUUUAGGCCACCUACUAUUAAUUUAAUGUUUGUCACGCCCCAAUUUUUAUAAGGUUAAGCGUCCAAGUUAAACAAAAAAUGAAUUAGGCUUGAUGAUGUGUUGUACAUUAUACCUAGCUUUUCAAACCCUAGCUAUUUAAUCAUUAUUUUCCUAUUUUGAUUCGGAUUGUCUAUUUUCAAAUUCUAGUAAAAUUUCUCUUCAUCUUAUAUUUCUUUUCUUCUUCUUUUUUUUCUUUUCUUCUUCUUUACACCAUAUUUUCGUCGUAUUGUUGUUGAUUAAUUUGCUUUCCUACAUCCAAUCAUCACCCGUUCAAUCGUUUUCUAUCGGAUUUAAAAUUGUCAUCAAUAACAUCCAUAUCUUUGAUAAGAAAUGGUAAGUACACCUCGUUUCGAUGAUUAGAUCUCAUAUUUUCAUAAUACUACUAUUCGACAUUAAUCUUUCGUUUGAAUAAUCAAUUUUUUACGGAUCUUGCCAAAUCUUUAAUAAUCUUGUCAAAAUCUUGAUAUGGAUUGUUAAUUUGUGCAUAGUUGCCUUUGAUGGACCGGAUAUAGAUGAAUCAUAUCAAAGUUGAUUGUGGGAAACGUCAACCGGACCUAUGGUGAAAGGUAUGUGUCUUUUCCAAGUGAAUCAAUGAUUAUCAUGUAUAGGUAUAGGGCCACAUAGUUGGAACACUAGAAACACAAAAAAAUACACACUUUUUCAUGCCCUUUUUAACUCAAAUUCAUGAGGUUUCAGUAAAAUUAUUGUAAAUAUAUAUAUAAAUAUUAUAAAAUAAUUAUUUUGUACUUAAAUUAUUAACAUAAUGAAUUUUAAUUAAUUUUAUAAUAAAUUCUGAUUAAUUUUGGUCAUUUUCGACAGAUUUGCACCAAGGGUGAAAAUUGGCUCGGCAGACACUACUAGAAGCACAAAACCGAGAAUCAAUUUUUGAACAAUCGAGACAAAUGAAUUUUUCAGCUAAAAACGGUCUAAAUUAUGUGCAUUAAUUCAUAAUAUAAUUAAUUUUAAUUUUAAUCUAAUUUAAUUUAAUUUGGGUUAAAUAAAUUAUUAUUAAAUAAUUAUGAAAGGUUGUCCAAUUGAGCUGAACCGAGAGAACCGAACCAACCAAGCUAUGGGCAGCUCAAAACCGUCCAGCAUGCUGACCCAAUCAGCUUACUUGGCUGAUUAAUUGGCUUGCAAAAAGACCUUUGAAGACUUCGUCAAACUGCAAACAAACCCCUCCUCUUUUAGUGCCUUUCUAAAUUUGCCUCAACCUUAAUAUAACAAGUUUGAAAGCUUCAAACUUGCCACCUGUGUGGCCGGCCAAGGGAGGGCUCUUUGGCUACUGAUUUUGGCUAUUUUUAGUAGCCCUCUCACCCUAUAAAAACCCCCCAUUAUCUGCUCAUUUCAACAAAUCUCAAGCAUUCACAUCUUUUCGCUCUUCUCUCCACUUUCUCUCUUCUUUUCCAUUCCAAAUUCCCUUACUCUUUUGCCGAUUUCUCCUUUUCGAAAAGGGGCAUUCAACCAUUUGGAGCAGAAAUUAAGUGUUAUAGUAGCCUUGGUCGACGAGGAUAACGGAGAAGGAAGAACAGAGCAAACUAGUCAAGCCACGGAAAAAACCGAAUUUGAUUCUUGUUCCCUAUCACCAAAUUUCAUUCUUGUUCCCUAUCUCUUUAAUUUUUGUUGUUGUUGUGAUGAACAUAUCUAUGGAUAUUUAUGUUGUUGGAAUGAUUAAUUUAAUCAAUUUAGCUUGAAUUUAAUUCGUGUUAGGUUGAUUGCAUUUUGUUUGCUAAAUUUGUUAAAAUUGUAUUUAUGUUGUUAUAGGCCUCGGUAAGAUGCUUGAUUAAAUAAAAUCAUGACUAAGUUAUUCUUGCAUUACAAUUGUGAGGUAGCUAAUGAAUUAAUUAUUUAAACGGAUUGAAAUUGUAAUUAAUGGACACAGUACUUAAUCAGUGCAUGUUUAAUCAUCUAAGGUAGCUGAGGGUUAAAUUAGCAAUGGUAUCUGACGAUACAUUUGCCUUGUAUCACUUGCAAGAUUAUUGUGAUUAAACUGUUUCAAGGUAGGGAUACCUUGUUACCUCACAUAGUCUUUUAUGUGCUUAUUAGAUUUAAUUAAUCGUUUGAAUUGACAUAGGGAUAUGUACAAGAGAUUAUUUCGAUUUAAUAAGUAUGUAUGUGCAAUAACAUAUUUGCCUAUUAAGAUUUAUUUAACCGAUUGAAUUGACAUACGGAUAUAGUCAAGAGAUGAAUGGAUUUUGGUAAGUGAGUAUGUUCAUAAGUUAGCAAAUUACCGAGUUGCCGUGAAUUUAUUUGUAACAAUAUAAACAUGAGUUUAAUAAUUCUAAGUUAAGAAAUGUAAUUAAUCUAAGACAAUUAUGUCAUCUUGAUUAAAAUCGUAUUUUGAAAUAGUGCAUUUGAGAUUUAUUUAUUUAGUUUACUUAGUUUAAAAUCUUAGUUUUUAAUCACUCUUUUCAAAAAAAUAUUUUUCUUUACCAAAGUGUUUUAAAUAGCAUUCAUAAAUAAUUCUUUUCACAGUCCCUGUGGGUACGAUAACUCGACAUUUACUUGUCACCUUAUUACUUGUGAUUGUGUACACUUGCACAUUUUCGUUGUUCUAAGUUUUUGGCGUCGUUGCCGGGGACUGUAUUAUUUGUAAAUUUGUUAGUUUUUCAUUUUGGUUUAUUUUUCUGUUCAAAUUUUAACUUAAUUAAUUUUUCUGUGAUUAUUUCAGGUGUUUAUGAGUAUUGACCGAAUUAUCGAUUUACUCCCUAUAGACUCUGAGAUAGAAAAAACUUUUCGACAGCGAAGAAGACAAGCGAAUCAGAGAAGGACUGAAGAGAUGAACCUUGAAAAUUUGAAUCAAGGAAAUGGAGCAAACCUUAUUCAAAAUCCUAUCCUUAUUGCUGAUGAUAGGGAUAGAUCUUUAAGACAGUAUGUAGUGCCAGUGUUCAAUGACCUUAAUCCGGGUAUUAGGAGACAUGAAAUCGAGGCACAACAAUUCGAACUGAAGCCAGUCAUGUUCUAGAUGCUUCAGACAGUGGGCUAAUUCAGUGGAAUGCCUACCAAAGAUCCUUACCUACACUUAAGACUGUUUAUGGAGGUGAGCAAUUCUUUCAAGUUAGCCGGAGUACCUGAAGAUGCAUUACGAUUGAAGUUAUUCCCAUAUUCACUAAGGGACAGAGCUCGAGCCUGGUUGAACUCAUUACCACCAAAUUCAAUUUCCACAUGGCAAGAGUUAGCAGAAAUAUUUCUCAUGAAGUAUUUCCCGCUUGGCAAGAAUGUUAAGUUGAGGAACGAGAUCACUACUUUCCAACAAAUGGAUGAUGAGUCCUUGUAUGAGGCAUGGGAAAGGUACAAAGAAUUACUACGAAAGUGCCCUCAUCAUGGAAUCCCAAAUUGCAUCCAACUUGAGACGUUUUAUAAUGGUCUCAAUGCUCACACGAGGAUAGUAGUGCAUGCUUCUGCUAAUUGUGCUCUCCUUUCUAAGUCUUAUAAUGGGGCUUAUGAAAUCAUUGAGAGGAUUGCCAGUAACAAAUAUCAAUGGCCAACCAAUGGAGCAGCAUCAGGAAGACGAGUUGCUGAAUACAUAAAGUAGACGCUCUCACUUCACCCGCAUCUCAGGCAUCCUCAAUAUCCUCAAUGCUUAAAAAUUUUACCACUAAUGGGUCUAAUAGUUUUGCAGCACAACCACCAAAUCAAUUUAAAAAUAUAACCUGUGUCUACUGUGGGUAAGGACAUUUGUUUGAAGAAUGUCCAUCGAACCCAGAAUACGUAUAUUACAUGGGUAACCAGAACUAAAAUCGAGGAAGGAAAGGACUGCAAUCUAAUUUCUAUAACCCAUCAUGGCGAAACCACCCAAAUUUUUCCUAGAGUAAUUAAGGGGCUGGAACCAGUAACACUUACACUCAACCUAGAUCAACCCAGCCACCUAGUUUUCCCCAACAAGUUCAGAAACCAACCCAAGUUGAACCAUCCAAUGACUUAAGAAAAUUUGUUAAAGGCAUACAUGGUGAAGAAUGAUGCCUUAAUUCAAAGCCAAGCUGCUACAUUGAAAAAUCUGGAAAACCAAAUAGGCCAGCUUGCUAUUAAACUCAGGAACCAACUAUAAGGUGCUUUACCUAGUGAUACGGAGAAUCCGAGGAAUCCAGGGAAGAAGCAUUGUAAAGCAUUGACAUUGAGGAGUGGAAAAACUUUAGAGCGUAAUUCCGUCGAAAUUGAAAAGGAGCAAGUUGACACUCAAGACUCAGAGGAAGUUUAAUCGAGUGUUGAUAUUCCAGUUUCAUCGAAACUAGAAUCUAUAAAAUCUGGCAAGUUAACUUCAGAACUAGCUAAUUCUUAUCAACUAACAACUUUGUUAGAUGCAAAAUUACCACAAAAGAUGAAUCAAUCAGUUCUAGUAAAGAAACCUCCACCAUUUUACCUUUAAAGACUUUAGAAGCAGAAGCAGGAAAUUCAAUUUAAGAAGUUCCUAGACGUACUCAAGAAACUUCAUAUCAACGUCCUGUUAGAUGAAGCACUUGAAAAAAUGUCGAACUACAUCAAAUUCAUAAAGGAUAUCCUGUCUAAAAAAUGAAAACUUGGAAAAUUUGAGACGGUAGCUCUAACAAAGGAAUGCAGUGCAUAUCUUCAAGACAAACUACCCCCAAAAUUGAAGGAUCCUGGAUGUUUUACCAUACCUUGCAAUAUUUGAGCUACAAAUUAUGGUAAAGCACUAUGUGACUUGGGUGCGAGUAUCAACUUGAUGCCAAUGUUAAUAUUUAGGAAGUUGGGGAUAGGUGAAGCUCGACCUACUACGAUUACACUUCAACUCGUAGAUCAAUCCUUAGCACACCCAGAAGGAAAAAUCGAGGACGUAUUGGUACGUGUAGACAAAUUUAUUUUCCUUCUGACUUUGUGGUUCUAGACUUUGAAGCAGACAAUGAAGUGUCAAUCAUCUUAGAAAGGCCUUUCUUAGCAAUUAGAAGGACCUUUAUUGAUGUGAAGAAGGGCGAGCUUACUAUGCGUGUUCAGGAUGAUCAGGUAACAUUUAAUGUUUUUAAGUCUAUGAGAUUUCCUGACACAAAUGAUGAUUGUUCUGUAGUUUUCGAUUUAGAGGAGUUAAUCAUGGAAAAGGAACUCAACUAUGUUGAUAACCCAUUAGAAUGAAUUUUGACAUCAGAUCCUUCAAAUAAUGAAAAGGAGGAUGAAUACUUAGCUUUGUUAGAAAUAAUCAAAGGGGAUUUAAUCCGUAAUCCCGCUUUGAAUCUUUGGAGUUAGAGAAAAGGGAUUAUGCCUAUUCAAAAGCGUCAAUUAAGGAGCCACCUAAAUUAGAACUUAAAGUACUUCCCUCAAAUUUUAAAUAUGUUUAUUUAGGUAACUCUUCUACUCUGCCUGUGAUUGUUUCAGCAGAAUUAACUACUGAGCAAGAAAAGAAACUCAUCCUGGUAUUGAAACAAUUCAAUAAGGCUAUCGGAUGGGCCAUAACCGAUAUCCACAGAAUUAGUCCAUCUGUAUGUAUGUAUAAGAUUAUCCUGGAAGAUAGUGAAAAAGGGACAAUUGAUGGACAACGAAGACUAAACCCCAUCAUGAAGGACAUAGUCAAGAAAAAAUCAUCAAGUGGUUAGAUGCGGGUAUAAUUUACCCCAUCUCAGGCAGUUCAUGAGUAAGUCCGGUCUAGUGCGUACUGAAAAAAGGAGGUAUCAUGGUCAUUGAAAAUGAGAAUAACAAGUUGAUACCAACUAGAACGGUUACGGGAUGGAUAAUUUGCAUUGAUUAUCAGAAGCUGAACAAGGCGACUAAGAAAGAUCACUUUCCUUUGCCAUUUUUGGAUCAUAUGCUGGAUAGACUUGCGAGGUGAGACUAUUACUGUUUUCUUGAUGGAUACUCGGGGUAUAAUCAGAUUACAGUAGCACCAAAAGAUCAACACAAGACAAUAUUCACCUGCCCGUACAGUACAUUUGCAUUUAGACACAUGCCAUUUGGUUUAUGUAAUGCACCUGCUACAUUUCAAAUAUGUAUGAUGUCUAUUUUUACUGACAUGGUUGAAAAAUACUUUGAAGUUUUUAUGGAUGAUUUUUCAAUAUUCGGAGAUACAUAUGAUGAUUGCCUAGCCAAUCUAGCCAAGGUACUAAGGCGAUGCGAAGAAACAAACCUCGUACUCAAUUGGAAAAAGUUUCAUUUCAUGGUACGAGAAGGUAUUGUUCUAGGGCAUCGGAUAACGAGGCAUGGAAUCGAGGUAGAUAAAGCAAAAGUAGAUGUUAUUAAGAAACUCCCACCUCCAACAUUUGUAAAGGGUGUUAGGAGCUUUUUGGGCCAAUGCCGAUUUCUAUCAAAGAUUCAUCAAGGACUAUUCCAAAGUUGCUAAACCCUUAUGCAAAUUAUUGGAGAAGGACGCGACAUUCAAAUUUGAUGAAGAGUGCUUAAGAGCUUUUAAAGAUUUGAAGAGUCAACUAGUUUCAGCACCCAUAAUCAUCACAGCAGACUGAGAUUUUCCAUUUGAAUUGAUGUGUGACGCAAGUGACUUCAUGAUAGGAGCUGUUAUGGGCCAGCAAAAGAACAAUGUUUUUCAUCCCAUCUACUAUGCAAGUCGAACUUUGACAGGAGCUCAACUGAAUUACACGAUGACAGAAAAAGUGUUACUUGCUAUUGUGUUUGCUUUUGACAAGUUUCAAUCUUAUCUUAUAGGUAUCAAAGUAACUGUCUAUACGGACCACUCGGUAAUUAAGUAUUUACUUGCCAAGAAAGACGCUAAGCCGAGACUGAUCUAGUGGGUACUUCUACUUCAAGAGUUCGAUUUAGAAAUUCAAGAUCGAAGGGGAGUAGAAAACCAAGUAGUAGACCACUUGUCCAAAUUGGAGCCGCAAGAAGGGAAUUCUCCACUUAUACCCAUUCAGGAAACAUUUCUAGAUGAACAUAUACUGAAGGUAAAUCAUGUCUAUAAUACCCCUUGGUUUGCUGAUAUUGCUAACUAUUUAGCUUAUGGUUUGAUACUGAUUGAUAAGACAUAUCAUCAAAAGAAAGAGUUUCUUCACGAUGUGAAGUACUAUUUCUAGGAAGAACCAUAUUUGUUUAAAAAGUAUACGGAUCAAUUAAUCAGGAGAUGCGUGGCAGAAGAUGAAGUACAUAAGAUUUUAUACCACUAUCACUUAGCUUCGAGUGGGGGACACUUCGGAGGAACACGUACUGCGACCAAAGUAUUACAAGCCAAAUUCUUUUGGCCAACACUAUUUAAAGGCGUAUAUGCUUACGUAAAGAGUUGUGAUCGAUUUCAAAGGGUUGGAAAUGUCACCAACAGAAAUGAGAUGCCUCGAACAAACGUCAUUGAGAUAAAACUGUUUGAUAUUUGGGGUAUUAACUUUCUCGGUCUUUUUCCUCCGUCAUUUGGUCACAAGUACAUAUUGGUAGUAGUAGACUAUGUGUCAAAAUGGGUUAAGGCCGAGGCAUAUCAGACAAGCGAUGCUACGGUUGUGAUGAAGUUUUUGCAGAAGUAUGUGUUCACAAGGUGUGGAACCCUAAGAGCCAUCAUCAGUGAUGAAAGGUCCCAUUUUGUGAACAAGUGGUUGAAAUGGUUACUUGACAAACAUUGAGUGAAGCACAAGGUUGCCACAGAUUACCAUCCGUAGAUGAAUGGGCAGGCUGAACUGGCAAACAAAGAGAUCAAAGGCAUACUUGAGAUGGUAGUUUGCCCGAACCAAGGAGAUUGGUCCAAAAGACUAGAUUAUGCUUUAUGGGCCUACAAGACAGCAUAUAAGACACCUUUAGGGAUGUCACCCUAUAGGUUGAUCUUUGGGAAAACCUGUCAUCUACCCUUGAAGUUAGAACACAAAGUUUACUGGCUCUCCAACAACUCAACUUGGAUCUUAAACUUGCUAAAGAGAGACGGAUGAUCCAGCUCAACGAGUUAUAAGAAUUCUGAAUGUUUUCAUACAAGAAUGCCAAAUUACUUAAAGAGAGACUUAAGAAAUGGCAUUACAAGCAUAUUUGAGUUCGAGAAUUUGAAGCAGGUCAGCAAGUCUUGUUAUUUAAUUCCAGAUUAAAGUUCUUUCCAAGUAAGUUAAAAUCACGUUGGUCUAGCCCAUUUACAAUUCACCAAGUUUAUCCGUACGGAGUUGUUGACCUUCAAGGUAAGGGAGGGAUUUUCCGAGUCAAUGCUCAGCGCUUGAAACAUUACUGAGGGGAUAAAAUUGAACGGGAUCAAAUCUCAUUCAUUUUAUUGGAUAUUUAAUUUCUCUUGUUUUUCUUUUUAAAUAAAUGUUUUAGAGUAUAUUUUUUGGAUUAGUAUGUUUAAAUAAAUUCUGUCUAGGAGAUUGGAACUUAAGCGGGACCAUUUGUGACCCUUCCAAUCUUUCCUGGGAAUUAAUUUUAACAUAAUCUUCUGAGAAAUUAUCCCCUAAAUGGAAAAAUAAAUAUUUAGUUUCAAAUAAAAGGGUCAAUUUUGAUCCAAGUUUUAAAUUGCAACUCAAUUUCAGAUUUUCUUUAAGUCCAGGUACUUAAUUAAAUAAUUUUCAAAAUGUGGUUGUUCUUUUUAUAAGUAUCAAAAAUUAGAUGCCUCUUUUUGUAAAUAUUUUCAAAAGGCUUAUAGAAUAAAUGUUUUUAGUUUAAUAAAAAAUAUGAUAAUUAUUAAUAUAUAAUUAUAUCUAUUAUAAUAUAUAUUAAUUAUUAUCAACUUUACAUAGAGUUAGGAUUAGUUUUAAUUUAAUUAUAUUUUAUUUGAUAAGUUUUUAUCUUAAUAAAUUAAUAGAAAAUAAUAAUUUAAUAUGCAUUAUACUAAUUAUUAAUUGUUAUUUACUUUGAGUAGAAUUAGAACUUAGAUUUUUUUAUUUAUAAAUUUCUUAAAGAAUUCUACUUUAACUCCUAUUUCCCUCACUAUAAAUACCACCAAACUUCUCCAUCUUUCUUCAUUCAAACUUCUAUCCCACCAAACCACCUAGUGUCGUAGCCCUCAACUCCCUAGCCGCAGCACUAUCGACAACCCAGUCAGCCAGCACACUUCCAGUAGCCCUCGCACACAAGCGCACUAACAGCUCGUCUGGCCUUCUCCUUGGCGUUGCACCUGCUUCUCGCCCCAACCCGUGUGCACCCCACUGAUGCCUGCUGCCGAGCAGCUGCCCACGCCAGCUUGUGUUGCUCUUUGAACCCAGCACCCGUGUGCCACAUCAGCCCUAUUACUCACACAAACACCCCAUCAUUAGCUAAUAAUCUUCUAACCUACCCUAAAUCGACCUUUUUUGUUUUCUAAUUAUUUUUUAGGAGUUCUUAAUUUUUAUAAAAAGGUAAUAAGACAAAUUUUUCUCUUAAAUUUUGAAUUUUAUUUAAUUAUUUAAUUUUUCAAUUUAUUGAAUUAUUAAUAUUUUAUAUUAAUUAAAUUUUUGAGAAAUUGUUUUCCAUCUUAUGUUCAGGUAAAUUAUGCCUCACAAAAAACUCGUGCAUCUGCCUAAAUUGACGAAUCACAAAUCAAAUUUCAUUGUGAAGAAGCCAAAGCGAGAUACGAAAAUGUUUUCAAGAAUCAACAGAUGCAUCCAGAGAAAGGCUUCACAUUAAAAGAAAACAAUUAUAUUGAUUCCAUGGUGCACAUUCGUCAAGUUGCUGAAACUCUCAAUUAGGAGUUGUUUUGUGAGAAAAGACCUAGUGUGGAUGAGGAGUUAGUUUGUGAUUUUUAUGCAAAUUUAACAUCAAGUGAUUUGACAAAAGUAUCUGUACGUGGAACUAAGGUACCAAUAACCUUAAAUGCUAUUAAGAAAUCUUUGCAUUCCCUGAUUUUGAAAAAGACGAAUAUUCUUACUUGAUGAGUGAUAUUGAGCCUGAAAAUUUUCAAGAACUUAUUAAGGAACUUACAGUUCCAAAUUCCAAAUGGACUGUGUCAAAACAAGGAAUUCACACUUGUUGAAGAGAAUAUUUGACACCAUUUGUGAAGGUAUAGUUCUAUUUCAUCCGAUUCAGCCUUAUGCCUAGUUCACAUGGAACUACGAUUUCAUUAGAAAGAAUGAUCUUAUUAUACUCGAUUUUAACUGAAAAGACCAUUGAUGCGGGAAAAAUCAUUUCGAGAGAGAUGCGGAAUUUUGCUACUAGACGUUUUGGCCCAACUUACUUCCCUUUUACGAUAACAAUUUUGUGCUUGAAAACUAAAAUUCUUGCAAACGUAAAGAAGACAAGUUAUAGCUAGGGCACAAUCACAGAUUGGGACCUCUAUUGAAUAGCUGGAGACUUUGUCCUACAGCAACGAGUUGAAAAAAGUAAGGACCCCGAAAAAAAGAAAAAGAUCCCACAGAGAUCGAACCAAUGCUAUCAGCUAAAAUCCCUGAUAAGGCAGAACCAAUGGAACCAGAAGCUGAACUUGAUGUCGCAACUUCAACGUUCAGAACCCAAUCGCCUCAUUUAGAUCUUCGAGAUGAGCUGUCAAAAUUGAUGGACUUAAUGCAACAUAUGCAGUGGCAGCAACAAGCUUAUUGGAGAUAUUCAAAAAUUAAGGAUGACUCCAUGAGAAGCGCUUUUACAAAAAUAUAUAAUGACCCGUUUAUUUUUGUGCCUGAGUUUCCAGAUUUCAUAUUUGAACCAUGGAGUCCACUAUCGAAGAGGGAGCAAAGCUAUUCAUGCAAAAAAAAAGAUGAUGGAGCAAAAGACGAGUCGAAUCCGGAAGAAUCUGCAAAUAAAUAAAAAGAGGGGAGCUUGACUUUAUUUUAUUUUUGUUUUUAAGUUAUCUUAGGAUUAAGUUUAAUUAGGAAUUUUUUUUCGCAUAAUAAAAUAAGAGGUGGAAAUCAUUAAUAAGCAAGUCGCAAAGUAUAAAGUGUGGCAAUAGAUAUAUACAUGUCUAGGAUUGGAUUUAGAGAGAACUUGGUACUUAAGCAGUCAAAUUGACUCACCUCCUCUUUUCUAGAAUCCUACCUGGUAUAUAGUAUCUAUUCAUUUUUCACAAUGAGGACAUUGUUCAUUUUAAGUAGGGGGACCGAAAAAUUGAAAUUGUUUCCACUCAGAAUAGUUUUUUUCUUUAAAUUAUGAUUAGGAUAUAUUUUAUUUAAUAAAUUUGAAAUUUUGUUAAGUAUGCUAAACUUCAGUAUAAAUAAAGUUCGAUUAUUUCAAUAAAUUGUUAUGUUAGCUUAAUAAUGACAUAAAUGUAUUUUUAAUAAAGCAUGCAAAUCAUACCAUAAAACUUUUAGUUCCUUAGGAAAGUUAGGUAUGCCUGAAAGUUUAAGUCUCUAGAAUUGACUUAGUAGUUUCUUGAGGCAAAAUCCUAAGAAGCAUGGAAUGUUGAAAAUAAUUUAGGAAACUUUUGUUUGGACCGUUUGAGCCUUUCAACCGACCUUGAUGAAAUUUUACCUUCUGAAACCCAACUUUGAGACUAUAUUGCCUAAUUUUUUUUUGAACCAUUGCAAUAUUUAGCCAUCACGUUUCUCUUAAUUAUCUUUAAAUUGUCCCAAACACUAGACUCAGUAUUAUGCAGAAUAUUCUUUGAAAAUAAGUUUGGGGGAGUUUAAAAGAAGUAUCAAAUGCUAAAAAAAAAAGAGCAUACAUACUUGAAAGAAAAUAGAUGUACAAAAGAGCAUGUGAAAGCAAAGUAAUUUGCUGUAUUUAAGGUAAACGUUCCGAAGGUCCGAUUGAAGCUGAGUCUAGGGUUUUUAGCCUAAAUUUAUCUAUCUUUUACCUACCCCUAGCCGAGCCACGUUACAACCUUUGUAAAAACCUAUUGAUUCAAGUUUCUAUGCUACUUACAUUAGUGGAGAGAAAUUGCUAUAUUCAACAUAUUACGGCAUAAGUUAAACUUAAUGAUUGCAGUUUAAUCUUGAAUAAGGGAAUAAAAUCAAAUUGGUAGGGAUUUACAUGUUUUAAUUAAGAAAGCAUUUAGUCUAUUUUUGCUAUCAUAGUAGUUAUUGAUAUUAAUUUCAAUGAUAUGUAUACAUAAGUAACAUAAAAUAUAAAAAUUCUUGUUCUUAAGCAUAAGUGUACCUAAUUCAUAAUUUUGUUCUGAAUGAGUUUUUCAAAGGUGUUUCCGAGAACUUCUUUUCAAUUUGUGCAUUACUCGGGACGAGCAAUGAAUUAAGUUUGGGGGUGUGGAAACACAAAAAUAUACACACUUUUUCAUGCAUUUUUUAACUCAAAUUCAUGCAGUUUCAGUAAAAUUAUUAUCGAAAAAUAUAGAAAUAUUAUAAAAUAAUUAUUUUGUACUUAAAUUAUUAAAAUAAUGAAUUUUAAUUAGUUUUAUAAUAAAUUUUGAUUAAUUUUGGUCAUUUUCGAUAAAUUUGCACAAAUUGUGAAAAUUGGCUCGGCAAACACUACUAGAAGCACAAAAUCGAGAAGUGAUUUUUGAAGCAUCGAGACGAAUGAAUUUUCCAGCUAAAGAUGGUCCAAUUUAUGUGUAUUAAUUUAUAAUAUAAUUAAUUUUAAUUUUAAUACAAUUUAAUUUGGGUUAAAUAAAUUAUUAUUAAUUAAUUAUGAAAUGUGACCCAGUUGAGCUGAACCGAGAGAACCGAACCAACCAAGCUAUGGGCAGCCCAAAACCGUCCAGCAUGCUAACCCAAUCAGCUUACUUGGCUGAUUAAUCGGCUUGCAAAAAGGCCCUUGAAGACUUCGUCAAACUGCAAACAAACCCUUCCUCUUUUAGUGCCUUUCUAGAUUUGCCCCAGCCUAAAUAUAGCAAGUUUGAAAGCUUCAAACUUGCCACAUGUGUGGCCGGCCAUGGGGGGAUCUUUGGCUGCUGAUUUUGGCUAUUUUUAGCAGCCCUCUCACCCUAUAAAAACCCUCUUAGCUGCUCAUUUCAACACAUCUCAAACAUUCACAUCUUUUCUCUCUUCUCUCUACUUUCUCUCUUCUUUUCCAUUCCAAAUUCCCUUGCUCUCUUGCUGAUUUCUCCUCUUCAAAAAGGGGCAUUCAUCAGCCAUUUGGAGCAGCAAUUAAUUAUUCAUAGUAGCCUUGGUCGACGAGGACAAAGGAGAAGGAAGAACAGAGCAAACUAGUCAAGCCACGGAAAAAAAAUGAAUUUGGUUCUUGUUCCCCACCUCUUUAAUUUUUGUUGUUGUUAUGAUGAACAUAUCUAUGGAUAUUUAUGUUGUUGGAAUGGUUAAUUUAAUCAAUUUAGCUUGAAUUUAAUUCGUGUUAGGUUGAUUGCAUUUCGUUUGCUAAAUUCGUUAAAAUUGUGUUUAUGUUGUUAUAGGCCUUGGUAAGAUACUUGAUCAAGUAAAAUCAUGACUAAGUUAUUCUUGCAUUACAAUUGUGAGGUAGCUAAUGAAUUAAUUAUUUAAACGGAUUGAAAUUGUAAUUAAUAGACACAGUACUUAAUCAGUGCAUAUUUAAUCAUCUAAGGUAGUUGAGGGUUAAAUUAGCAACGGUAUCUGACGAUACAUUUGCCUUGUAUAACUUGCAAGAUUAUUGUGAUUAAACUGUUUCAAGGUAGGGAUACCUUGUUACCUCACGUAGUCCUUUUAUGUGCUUAUUAGAUUUAAUUAAUCGUUUUAAUUAAAUUGGGAUAUGCAUAAGAGAUUAUUUCGAUUUAAUAAGUAUGUAUGUGCAAUAACAUAUUUGCCUAUUAAGAUUUGUUUAACCGGUUGAAUUGACAUAGGGAUAUAGUCAAGAGAUGAAUGGAUUUUGGUAGGUGAGUAUGUUCAUAAGUUAGCAAAUUACCGAGUUGCUGUAAAUCUAUUUGUAACAAUAUAAACAUGAGUUUAAUAAUUCUAAAUUAAGAAAUGUAAUUAAUCUAACAAAAUUAUGUCAUCUUGAUUAAAAUCGUAUUUUGAAAUCGUGCAUUUGAGAUUUAUUUAUUUAGUUUACUUAGUUUAAAAUCUUAGUAUUUAAUCAGCCUUUUCAAACAAAAUAUUUUUCUUCACCAAAGUGUUUUAAAUAGCAUUCAUAAAUAAUUCUUUUCACAGUCCUUGUGGAUACAAUAACUCGACAUUUACUUGUCACUUUAUUACUUGUUGCGAUUGUAUACACUUGCACAUAUCCGUCAUUCCAACCACAUGGCCACCCCAUAGUAAUGUGCACCUAUAGAUUUUAGGGACUUCAUGAACCACACGACCCCAACCUGUUACACGACUUGCCACACGGUCGUGUCUCUACUGUAGGGUAAUUUAUCAUUUUCCACACGACAUCAAGUUGUUACAUGGCCUGGCCACACGACCGUAUACCCAUUUCACACUCGUGUAACCCCUAUUUUACAGUUUUCUCUAAAAAUUUGUAAAUUAUUCUAUUUAGUCCCUAUACAGUCUUCGAAUUAUUUUUAGAGUUUUAUUUCACACAAUUGAGUCCCUAAUAAUAUGUAUACUUUGGAAUAUACGAUCUGAUUGACUGAAUUAUUAUUGUUUUAUGCAUUAUCUGUGAAUGAUACAUGCCUACUACCAUUGUAUUUUUGAUAAACUAUUACUGUUAUUUUUGUCACUGUAUUACUGAUUACAUGUUCAGUAUGCCUAUAGUUACUAUUGAACCGAAUACAUGUUAAUUAUGUCUAUUGUUUUUGCAUUGUUCUGUUGCAAGCAUGACAUAUUACAUUUCUUGGGGUGAGACGAUAUGAACGGAGAAAGUACUGACAGUUUAAUAAUCAACAAAUACUGGCAGUUCAUCCACAACUUAUUGGCAGUUUAUCUGGAAACUUUUUAUCUGAAAAUACUAGCAGUUUAUCCAUAAUUUUUAUUGGUAGUUUAUCUGUAAAUUACUGAUGGUUUAUCCACAAUGUGAUGUGCAGGGAUGGAUGAGUUCUAGAGAACUCUUACUAUGGUGUAUAGUAGAGUUAGGUAGGAUCUUUUCUGAUAAAUUGAAAUUGCAUUUGCCAUUCAUAAAGCAUUUACAUGAAAAACUGUGAAUUCUAAUAUAUUAUAUUGAUAAGUAGAUCUGAAAAAUCGAAACUCUAAUUUGCUAUUCGAUUGUGAUUAUUCUAUGAGUUAUUAUUUCGUAUGUCUUGUCUAUUGUUUUGCACCGAUUUUCUUAUGAUAGGACUCACACUAAGCUUAUUAAGCUCGCUCCCACUUAAUUUUCAUCUUUACAAAUAACCCAACAAGGUUAGGACACAGACUCGAUAUACAGAGGGCUCGACUCGGUUAUUUUAGCUAAAAGUAUUUUAGAUGUAUUUAUAUAAUUUCUGUUAUUUUGGCAUUAUAAUGCUUUAUUUGAAUUGUGGCAUGGGACUUAGAUUUUGGGUUCAUUUUGCAUGCAUGACAUUUAAUUUGAUUUUAAGACAUUGAAACAUGAAUUUUGAAUUAAUUAUGCAUAAAAUUGUGGUUUUUCUUCAUCAAAACUAUUUUGAAUAUAACUUUUCCGCUGCGAUAACACAUAAAUGAGAUUUUGAAAAGAACACAAAUUGAAAAUCAACUUUUGCUAAUAAACUUUAAAACCCAUCGUUUUUUGGAAAAUUAUAUCUUUUAGUGAAAAUAAGAUAACAUACUUUUUUUCUUCAAAAAUAAGUAAAUGUUUUUAAACUACUAUUUUAUAAAUUCUGAUAAUUUUGCUAGGUCAUUUCGGUGGCAAUGUAAUCUUCAGAAUUCGGUUAUAACUUCUGGACUGAGUUAGGGAGGUUACAUUUGGUGGUAUCAGAGCCCAGGUUUUCAAAAUUCAGACUGUGAAAUUUUUAAAUGAGUCUAUAUGCAUGUAUUUAGAAAAUGGGUAUUUGGGGGGGAACUCAUGCCACAAACUUAUGAAAAAUGAUUUUCUUCAAAAAAAGAAAAUUUGAGACUCCGGUGUCAGUCCUAAUUUACUUAUUGUUACUUUUGAAACUUUAGAUAAGUUGUAAACUUUAGACUAUAAGCACUCAGGAAAAAUAACUAAUGCCUAAACUUUUAUGUGAAAAUUGUAGAUAUACUUUAUACUAUAAAUUUCAUGAGAUCAUUAUGAACACUGAAGGUAGACAUGGUAGAGGUAGGCCGCAUAGGGUCGCUCCUAUUGAACUACCCACCAUUUAGGGUGAAAACCCACUUUUUGAAGUAGAUUAUGUAGAGAAUUCAACUGCCAAUGGUGGCGGAAGUUAUGAGAAUAGAGAUGAUGCAGUGUUGCAAGCGAUGAUGAUGGUUCUAUAGAAGGUUGCUGGAGCCCAUACUGGAUCUGGGAGUCAUGGAUCUGUUACGAAAAGGCUUUGAUCUAAUGAAGCUAAAAUAUUCAAGGAUGUUGUUGGAACAACCCCUACGGUGGCAGAGUACUGGAUGAAUUUGACUGAAAAGAUUCUAGAGGAAUUUGAUUGUACUCUAAAAUAAAAAUUAAAGGGUAUUGUGUCCUUACUAAAGGAAGAGGCCUAUUGUUGGUGGCAACCUGUUGUGUAAGGUACACAGGCUAAAUGGUUAAUCUGAAAAUAUUUUCAAGAGGCCUUUCAGAAGAAGUUUGUAGGCAUUAGGUACGUGGAAGCCCACAGAAUCGAGUUUAUCGAGUUGAAAUAUGGAGAAAGGACUGUGGCGAAGUAUGAGGUUGAAUUUCUGAGACUCAGUCGCUAUGCUCAAGGUAUGGUCACCACAGAGCAAGAUAAAUGUGUGAGGUUUGAAAAUGGAAUGCGCUUUAACCUUAAAAUAUAGGUUGUUCCACACAAGGAAAGAGUGUUUGAGACCCUAUGUAAUAUCCCGCCGGGCGAAGUCUCUAUACCUGGUUAUUUUUUUGUGUGUUUUGGUAAAAUAAGGAUAUAUGUGAGUAAGUAAUGUGUGUGUUUUGAAUAAGUAUAGGAAUCUAUGUGUAUGCACCAUUUGGAAAAUUAUUUAUCUUGGCGAGUUUUGCAGUUUAGCAGACUAUUCUGUUUAGUAUUCGUCCAACUCAGAUGUUUUGGAGAACUCAAUAAGUUUGUAGUUGUUAGAUUUGUUUAUUAUUUAAGUAUGAUAAUUUGGCUAGUUAAAUCGAGACUUGGUUAGAAUAAAACAAGACUACUAUAAAUGAUAAGACUCAAAUUAAAUUAAGAGCACUUAAUCACGAUAAUCAAGAGAGUUAGUGGAUUUAUCUGAUUUUUCCACUAAUCAUUGUCUCCGAGCUUAAGUAUAUAAGGUCAAGCGGUGGUCUUUCUGAACAUUUUUACUAUUUCUUCUUAUUUCCAAGCUUUCUCCAAAAAACUCUUUGAAAACUUAAGUUCAGAAAAACCCCCUUUUAAAUUAAGGUUUGUAGUAUUCAACUAACUUACAUGUUUGUGCCAACUUACUGGUAAUUACUAAUGAAACUUAGGUUAUUCUUUAAGUCAUUUACGUGUUCUUUAUUUUGCAUGUAUAAGUGCUAGAAUGGUGUGUAAGGAAGGAAACUUCUUGAUUCUGUAUGAGUGUUGUUGAUUCUCGCAUGCAUGAUCAGAUUUGAUAGAAUGGUGAUUUGAUAUGUUAAAUUAUCUUUAUUUUAGCUCAAGAAGAUAACGAAGGUCCAAGUAAUAAGGGCAAGGGACCUACUUUAUAGACUUGUGUUAGAGUUUCUAGUGAGUUCCUUCUUACUGUUAUGUGUUGUAACUUUAUUUAUUUAUAUUUUCUGUAAGGUAAAUAUUACUCAUGGAUGAAAAGUGUGUGAGUGUGUAAUGAAUGAAAAUUGUUGUGCAGGUAAUGGUUAUCCAAAGUUAUCAGUUUGAGUGCACUCCGUUUGUAAUAUGAAGUAAUGUUACUCUUCAUGCUCAAGCCACUACCAUCUAAUUCUGAUAUGUAUUCAGUGAAAUCGGAAUAGUGGUUUUGGGACCACAAAUCUGAGCCAUAAAGAAAAUUUAUUUUAAUAUUAUUGCAUGGUCUGUAUUAUGAUAGGAAUGUUAUAUGAAAAUUCUGAUAAGAAAAUUUUACCGAUUAUGUGUUUAACUAUGGAAAGGACCAAAUUGCAUAAAAUGCAAAAGUUAAGUUCUAGUAGCUAUAAGUAUCAAAUAGCUAUAGAAUUCAAAACUUGAGUUCCUUAUAUGGUAAUUAGACCAUUAAAGAAAAGUUAGUAUAUAUUUUUGAUUAAUCAUCCAUGAAAAAUUAGAAAAAGGUAAAGACUGAAUUGGAAAGUGGAAAAAUUAAUAGAUUUUAAAUAAUUAAAUAGAAAUAUUAUCAUUUUAUAUCAUCUUCAUCCCCAAAAUAUACAUGGAAACCCUAAGAAAGAGAAAACAAGAUUUCUUGACUUAAUUGGGUAAGUAUUCUUGUCUCGUUUUUAGUAAUUUUUAUAUUUUUGAAAUCAGAAUAGCUUAAUCUAUCUAUUUUGGGGAUUAAUUUGAAAAUUUAUCAAAGUAUCAAAUUUUUGUCAUGGAUGAAUAUGUAGAAAUUUUGAAAUUAUGGUAGAAAAUGAAAGGUUGUUGAUAGAUAAACAACUUUUACAAAGUCAAUUUUGAUGAAAUUAUGAUUUAGGGAUUAAAUUGUAAAGAUGUAAAAGUUAUAGAAAAAUUCUAAAUUUCGUGAAAUACAUGUGUUGUAAAUAUUAUAUGAAAAUUUUGGUUAGGCUUGGAAUAAGGAUUAAAUUGUAUGAAUUUCAUUUUUGAAGCCUAGGGACGAAAUUGUCAUUUAUGAAAAGUAUAAGAGCAAAAUGGUAAUUUUUUGCCUAGGAUGUAAAUGGAAUCCAAUUGAAUAUAAAAUGUGAUAAAUUGAUGAUUAAAUUCAUUUAUAUAGAUUCGGAAAACUCAAAUUCGAAGAUAGAUCAAGGAAAAGAAAAAAUUUCGAAUUAGUAGAUUUUUAUAUAUAAUCAAGUGUCGAGGUAAGUUCGUGUAACCGAAUUGUUCUUAUUUAUAUGCUUGUAUUGAGUGUUAUGUGAUUGUAUGAAUUAUAUGAAUGUUAAAAAUAAAUGAAAUAAUCUUAUGUUCAAUCAUAUUCGUAAAAUAUUAAGUUCCGUUUGAAUAAUGAAAUUCGAUGGAUUUAUGUGAUUUCCCAUAUUACAUGUGGUCUUGCAUAUGUUGCAGACAAAAUAUAGCUCGGACAAGCAAUCCUGUUAUAGCCCUCUUGAGCAUCCUCUUAUAUAGUUCCUAUAAGCAUCCUGAUCAGUAGUGAUUCUGCAUGUGUUGUGCACUACUGCAGCUCUUUGUGAGCGUCCUGUUACAUAAUUCGAUUGGUUGUGGUCUAGCAUACAAUGCGGACACAAAUGCAACUCUACGUAAGCGUCCUGAUUUUGGCUUUUAUGAGCUUCCUGACAUGGCUCACUUGAACUCCCUGUUACCUUAUCAGGUGCUCCUUAAUAUUAACUCUUCAAAGUUAUCUGUUAAGCUCUAUGAGCUCCCUGAUUAAAACUAUUAUGAGUUUCCUGUUUAGCCCGAAUAAGAGUCCUGUUAUAUGGCUCAACUGAGCAUUAUGAUAUGUGGCUUGAGAGUGUGCUCACUGAUUAAGUUCCCUAAUGGGUACCCCUGAUUAUGAGUUGACGGUUUACAGUUUUGUACACCUUGUGUGUACUACCUGAGUAUCCAUCAAUAUUUCAAUAAUUCAAUGGACAAAACUUCUAACAUGAAAAUUUAUAAGAUUAAAAGAGUUAUGUCCCGAAUACUUCUGAAUACCUGAAAAAGUGUAGCAUGAUGAGCUCAUUCAUGUUUAUUUGAUGUAUAUGUGAAUUAUGUGACUAACUUGCUUAUUUGAGUGUAAGUGAUGAGGCAAAAUGCCAAUUUGUUGGAAAGCAUGUUAUUGUAUGCUUAUUGUAAUGAAUGUGAUUGGUAAGUUUAAUUCCUGUUAUACGAAGUUACUAAGCAUUAAUUGCUCACUAGAUUUUAUUUCCUCUGUUUUAUAGUGCUUGAAAGCUCGCAAAGGUUGAAGAUUAGUCGAAGCAUCAUCACACUAUCCACUAGCUCGUUUUGGUAUAAAUAGUAAACUUAUUUUGGUAUAAUGGCAUGUAUAGGUUAACUUGGCCAAAUGAUGACUUGAAAAUGGAUGUUUGUAAUCUAGCCAUUGGUAUGGCUAGUGAUGUUUGAUUUGGUAUGUUACUACAAAGUUAUAUCAUGUUAAUAUAUAUAUGUAUGGUAUAGUUAGAUUAAAUUAAGUUAAACUAUACGCCUUAACAAAAAGGCAAGUUUGGUUAUAUGAAUAUAGGUAAUGUUAUAUCAUACUUGUUAAUGAUGUUUGCUUGGUUUAAUGCUUGGAAUUGGUUGAUAUAUGUGUGUAAGUGUUUUGGCAGGUUGAUGGAAAAAGUUUGGGUGAGAAAUAAGGCUAGGAAAUGGCCUUAUUUUGUCUACACGGGUAGACACACGAGCGUGUGUCUUGACCUUGUGUGACACAUGGCCUGGCACAUGGGCAUGUGGUUUGGCCGUGUGUCCCCUACAUCCUAAAAUUUAGAAACAGAAUGCUCAGAAUUGAGCACACGGGCACAGACACGGGUGUGUGUCUCCGCCAUGUGUGAUACACGGCCCAGAAUGUAACAACCCGAUUUUGGGCCUAGUCAAAACAGUGGUUUUGGAACCACUAUUCGAGGCCGGAGAAAAUUAUUUUGAUAUUAUUUUAUGUGAUAUAACAUGUUUAUAAAGAUGCAUGAAAAUUUUGGUAUAUUAAUUUUAGCAAUUUCUAGUCCAAUUUCGAAAAAAGGACUAAAUCGCGAAAAGGUAAAAGUUGUAUUUUAGUACCCAAAUGUGUCUAAUAGCUAGAGUAUUAAAAUUAGGGGGCCUUUAAAUUGAAAUUAGACCCCUAAAUAUGGCUUGGCCGGCCAUGGGACAGGAAAUUUCAAAUGGUCAAUGUAUUUGGUAAGGUGAUGUCAUAUUAGGUGAUAAAAUGGUACCCUAAGGACUUAGCUUCAAAUUUUUCAUUUCUUCCUUCUUCUUUGACUGAAAAUACCAGCAAAGAAAAGGGUUUUGAAGCUUUGAAAUUUUAGCAAAGAAACUCCCUUGAAAGUAAGUGAUUUUAAUGCUUUUUCUUGAAGAUUUUUACAUUUUUGAAACCCCUAAAGCAUGAGCUUUCAUAAGAGGGGACUAUUUUGCAAAAUGAUUAAGAGUCUAGGGUUUUUCCAUGAAAUCAUAUGUGUUUUUUUCUGAGUUUUUAUGGAAUAAAAUGAGUCUUGGUAGUGUUAUAAACACUUUUUGUGAAGGAAGAUUGCAUGAAAACUCCUAAAAAGGGGAUAUUUUGCAAAGUAAUAUAAUAAGUGUAAGUGCAUGAAAUAGUUGAUAUUGUGAGUUGCUAUAGUUAUGAAAAUGGUUCAUCUAGUCUUAAAGAGUAAAGAAAUUGGAUAAAAAUCAUUUUACGAGCCUAGGGGCAAUUUGGUAAUUUCGGCAACAUAGAGGGGAAAAAUUGUAAAUUUUGCCAAAGUGUGUCAAUGGACUAAUUUGAUCAGUACAUUGUUUUAAUUAGCUAAAUGUGAUGUUUUAGAUGUUGAAAAAUGCGAUUUGGGCCUAGAACGUGGAAAAUUAAUUUAUGGACGAUUACGUCUUUUUCACCUUUGUGGUAUCGAGGUAAGUUCGUAUGUAAAUAAUACCAUACUGUACAUGUAUUUAAAUGUUAUCAUCACAUGAACUAUAUAAAUAUUAAUGUGUAUGUGAUUAAUAUAAAUAUGAUGAGACAAAGCCUUGAUAAGCGAUGAAAAAUCCCAUUUGAACCUUAGGAAUAAAAUAGGAUACGAGUGACAUGUCACUAGGAAUUAUGAGUCUAGAUGACUAGCUCGAGAGUGAGCAUUUAAAUGUCAUGAGAUAUGAGGUAGCUUUAGCUACAGUUGAGGCACUUAUGUUUAAAGGUUUUUCCGCGUAUCCAAUUAGUAUUCCAAGUGUUCAACGGGUAAUCCGAGGAAAGAGUUGAUGAUGGUCCCAAUGAGGUAAGUCAUUGGUGAGUAUGCACUUGAGCUAUGUACAAGUUGUGCAGGUAUGUGCACUAAGCCUAUGAGAAUGCCUUGGUAUGUGAUGAUCUAUGAUGCAUAAAUAUGUGUUCUUAGCAUGAUGGAUGAAAUGAUGUUGUAUUGAAUUUGUGAACAAUGAUCAUGAAUGAGUAACUUAGCCUUGACAAAUUUGAGUUAUUGCAGUAGUGUAACUUUUAAAAUACACUAAAAAUAGUGGAAAAUGAGUUAGAAGCUUAAUAAAAUAUGUAAAUAAAUCUUAUUGAGUCUAGUUUCUUAUAAAAGAAACUGUGUAAGCAAAAGAAUUUCCUAUAAUGAGAUAUUUGAAGUUGCGUGGGACAGAGUCAGAAUGACUUUGAAAUCCCCUGUUCUAAUUUGAGAAUAUCAUUAUAAAUUUAAAAAAAAUUAUGAGUUAUGAUUUAUAUGUCUAGAAUUCUUAAUGAGUCUAGUUUUAAGAGAAAUAGACGAGAACAUUAUUCGAGUCCUAUGCUAUAAGAUUAUUGAACUUUAGUGCAAAAGGGUCUGAACUGUCAGACAGUGAAUCAGGGGUAACUUUGAGGAAUAAACUGUACUAAUUGGCUAAACCAAAAAUUCUGGAAAUUUUAUGGUAGAAAGGUACAUGAGUCUAGUUUCAAGGAAAAUUAACAGAACUUAAGUUGGAGUUUCGUAGCUCUAGAUAUAAAUAAUUUAGUGACUGUUGCUCAGAAAGACAGCUUGUCGUGAAUUUGAGAAUAUGUUGUAAACAUUGAUAAAACAUGUUAAUGAAUUGCUUAUUGCUUUCAUAUGAACUUACUAAGCGUAAAGCUUACCCCUAUUUCCCAUGUUCCCUAGGGUUUCCAGGUUAGCUCAGGUUGGAGGCCGUCAAAGAUAUUAUCACAUUGUCAAGUUAACGUUAUCGGCGUAAGUAAAUCCUAGUGUUUUGAGUCUAUGGCAUGUAUAGGGUUUUAAUGUUGAGUAUGUGAUAUUAUGACAUAGCCAAAGGCAUUGGCUUGUUCUUAAGAUAGUAUAUAGUCAUGUGAAUGGGCCUAUGUCGGCUAAUGACGUUAUGGGCCUAUAUGAUUAUUCUUAUGCAUGUAUGUUAUUAUCUCGUGAUGUGGCUUACAGCAUGUAUUCCUAGAGAUUAAUUUGAGAUUCAUUGAUGAGUUAGUAACUGAUGCAAGAUUAAGUGAUUGGUAAAUAGUUAAUAAUGCCUCAUAAAUGGUUUGUGGAUAUGAUUAUGCAUGUCUAGUGAUGGACAUGAGGUUUGUGACGUAAUGAUACUUAUGAUAAGUAUGUGGUAAUUAUGUGAGUAAAUUCUAUGAUAUUUAUUGCAUAAGAAUUCUAUGAUAUUUAUUGCAUAAGAAAUUGACAUGAGCAUAACUUGUUUGUAGAUGUUUAAGAGCUCAUUUAUACCAUGUAUAUUUUUGGAUAAGUAUGUGUGCAUAUGUUGUGAGUGUGACAAAUGGCUUGGAAAAUAGCCUUGUAAUUGUCUACACAGGUAGACACACAGGCGUGUGUCUAGACCAUGUGUGACACACGGUCUGCCUCAAUGGGCGUGUGCCAUGGCUGUGUUUUAAAGUCAGUGUUGCACACCGGUUAAGGGCACGGGCGUGUCCCAAGCCACACGGGCGUGUGUGACUACAAGGUCUAUAUCCACACAGGCGUGUGGAGCCUUAAAGCAUGAAAUUUUUUUAAGUUUUUCUUAAGUUCUCGGUUUAGUCCCGAACCGCCUCUAAUGCAUGUUUUGGGCCUCGUGAGCCCGUUUAAGGGACAAAUUGUAUGUGAAAUGAAAAGUUUUAAAUUGAUCAAAAUUUUACGGCCCGAUUUUUGUGUGAUUGGUUGAGUUUAAGUCAGGUAACACCUCGAACCCUAUCCUGGCGUCGGAUACAGGCGAGGGGUGUUACAUAGAACACGAGCGUGUGUCUUGGCCGUGUGAAACCUAAACCUAAUUUAUGAAAAUUAAAUUGACCACAAGGCCUAGCACAUGGGCAUGUGGCAGACCGUGUGGCACAAGUCAGAGAGUUACACGGGCUGGGACACGGCCAUGUGCGUCACAUCGAAUGCCCACAUAGCCUGAGACAUAGGCAUGUCACUUGGCCGUGUGGCCUACCCACACGGGCGUGUGACCCCUGUUUAUAAGAAAAAUUUCGAAAUUUUGAGAAAAAUAUUCUAAAUAACCAAUUUAGUCCCGACUUGAUUCAAAUGUUUAAAUUGGGCCUCGAGAGUCCAUUCAAGGGACAAUAUGAUUAGUUUUGGAUAUGAAUAGUAAAUGAUAUAAUUUACAUGAAAUUAUUCUGUAAACUCUAGUAAUACUCCGUAACUCUUUUCCGGCAACAGAUACGGGUUAGGGGUGUUACAAUAUAAACUGAUAUGUGAAAAGGAGAUACGGAAAUAUGUUUGUAUAGCCUCUGGUAGGGCAGAUAUAUUUGUAAGCACUAAAUUUUUGUCCGACUAGAAUUUGUGUUUAAUUUUCAAAAUUUCAAAAAAAAAUAAAAAUUUAAAAAAAUAAAAAUUGCAUUUUGACCCCUAAACUUUACCUAAAUUUCAUUUUGACCCUUAAACUUUCUUUAAAUUUCACUUAGACCCCUAAACUUUCAUUAAAUUUCAUUUUAAUCCUAAAUUUUCUAAAAAUUACAUUUAGCCCCAGAAGUUUUGCUGCAUUUGUGAUUUGGUCCUUCAGACAGGUUACGUGAUUUGGGGCACCCACUUCCCAGAUUUUCAGGCCACAAACAUGGGUGGCUGCUCCUUCCCCACUUGCUACCUGCAAAAAAGAAGCAAAACCAACUAUAAAAAGGAGUUUAAACUCCAAAAAUCAGAGGACCCCCACGAAUCAAAAAAAAGGAGAAAAAGAAAGUUUCAAAAAAAUUUUCAGCAGCAAAAAGAAAGAGGAGAAAGAGAAGAGGAGAGCCCGACCACAGCCACUGAGGGCGGAGGAGAUCGACGCAAGUGGCAGCGGCGGUGAAAGAGGCUAGAGCCUAAAGAGGGAAGGAAGAAGAAGAAAAGAAAGAAAAAAAAAAGAAAAAAGGGGGAAAGAAAAAAAUAAAGAAAAAAAUAAAAAAUAAUAUAUCGGGUCGACCCGACCCGGAUUCAACCCGCGAACCGACCCAACAGGCCCAGCAGUAGCAGGCCAGCCCAAAAAAAAACCAAAGUAAAAAAAAGCAGCAAAAAAGAAGAAGAAAGAAGCAGAAAAAAGAAGAAGAAAGAAGCAGCCCAAAUGCAGGCCCAGCGCAGCAGCAGGCCCAGCAGGCCCCCAGGCCCAGCGCAGUAGCAGACCACCCACACCAGCAGGCCAGGCCAAAGCCAGCAGCCCAACCGGCCAGCCCAGCAGAAAAAAAAGAGAAAAAAAAAAGAAAAAGAGAGAAAAAGAAAAAACAAGAAAAAAGGGGUUCAAUUUUGUGUUACCCGUUCGGCGAAGCUUGUGUCUCGAGAUUUUUUGGUAAUUUCGUUUUUUAAUUUUAAUUUAAUGCUCGUAUUUUCUUCCGUUUUAAUAUUAUUAGUAUUUUAUGCAUUUUUAUAUUUUGGCAUUUAUAUUUUUAAUUUAAUUCAAUUUUUAUUUUAUUUUAUUUUAAAUACUUUGAAUAAAUAAGGCAACGAAUCGAUUUAACAUGAACUCGUUGAUUUCAUCGCUAUGUUGGGUGAAUAUCACCGGUUCGCAUUAAAAUCGAUACGCCCUUUUAAAAUCGAAAAAUAUUCAAAAAAUUCGUAUUUUCAAAAAAAAAUCCUCGCGUUUCGAAAUUUUCGUGUCUUCAAAAAAAUUUCUCGUGUUUUCAAAAAUAAGGUAACGAAUCGAUUUGACACUAAUUCGUUGAUUUCAUUGCUAUAUUGAGUGAAUAUCACCGAUUAGUGUUAAAUGCGAUACGUGCUUAAUGAAAAAUCAGAAAAAUUUUCGUGUUUUCAAAAAAUUCCAUUUUUCAAAAUUUUUCGUGUUUUUUUUAAAAAAUUCCAUAUUUCUAAAAUUUUCGUGUUUAAAAAAUUUCGUAUUUUCAAAAUUUUUUAUUUUUUUCAACAAUUCUCGUGUUUCACAAAUUCUCGUAUUUUAAAAUUUUUUAUGUUUUAAAAAAUAAAUUUCUCGUGUUUCAAAAAUUGUCAUGUUUUAAAAAUUUUCAUGUUUCUAAAAUGUUCGUAUUUCAAAAAAUCCUCGUGUUUUCAAAAAUUCUCAUGUUUCAAAAAUCUUCGUGUUUUCAAAAUUCUAGUGUUUCAAAAAUUUUCAUGUUUUCAAAAAUUUCCCCUGUUUUCAAAAUUCUCGUAUUUCAAAAUUUUUCUUUUUUUUCAAAAAAAAACUUCCGUGUUUUAUAAAUCUCCGUGUUUUCAAAAAAUUCUCGACUUUCAAAAAAUUUCGUGUUUUCAAAAAAUUGACAUUGUUUCAUAAAUUUCCGUGUUUCAAAAAAAAUCCUUGUGUUUCAUAAUUUAUCAAAAUUUUUGUGUUUUCAAAAUAAAAUUGUGUUUUAAAAAUAAAAUUCGUGUUUUCAAAAAAAAAUUCUCGUGUUUCAAAAUUUUCGUGUUUUUUUAAAAAAAAUUCGUGUUUCUAAAAUUCUUGUAUUUUAAAAUAUUUCGUGUUUCGAAAAAAGGUUGUGUUUCAAAAUUCUCGUGUUUCAAUUGGAUCACGACUAAAUAUUAAAUUGAACUUGUAUUUUUGAAAAUUAAGACAACACAUGUUUAACAAGAUACCAAUUUUGGGCGUCGCGAGGGUGCUAAUACCUUCCUCGCGCGUAACCGACUCCCGAACUCGAAUUUUCUCUGGAUUCUUACGUAGACCUAAAAUUACCUCUUUUUUAGAAAAUUUAAAAAUAAAAUUUUCUUUUAAAAAGAGAAUUUAUUAGAUGUCCGAUCACACCUAGAAAAAAAGAUCGGUGGCGACUCCUUUUUCAAAUAAAAUCGAGAUUCAGUUUUCAAAUUUUCAACAAUCAAUUCGAUUAGCGCCUAUCGCCAAAAUUUCUAGGUCGCUACAGCUGGCGACUCCACUGGGGACCCUUUUUGAGAGUCGUGUCUGGAAUUAAACUCGCGUUGUCAAAAUUUUCAAAGUUCCUUGUUCAAAUUAACAUUUAGUUGUGAUCCUCAAAUUUUUUGUUUUCAAAAAAUCAUGCAUUUGCAUCGUGUUGUAUAUAUUCUAACUUGUUUUAUCCGGUUGUUUUUCAGCUUUAAAUUUUUGUGAUUUUAGUUUUGGUUUAGUUUUUAAAUAAAACGUAAAGGUUUACAAGUUUCUCCCCACACACCGUGCACGUGCAUUUAUGUUGCAUAACAUGAGCUCUAUACCCGGGCUCCGUCCCUGUUAAGAGAAAGUAAACGUUACGCCUUCGUGAGUUAACUCGUCCCUCCGCACAGGCUAGUGAAUACUUUCGGGUUACAUAUGACUUAUGCUUUCGUGAGUUAACUUGUCCCUCCGCAUAGGCAUAAGUAAAUGUAAUCCCUCGAAUUGAUCUCGUAAGCCUAUGAUGGGCCAUGACCGAGGCUCUGUACUAAUCUUAGUAGAUGACAGUGCAGACGAUUCGAGUACCCACCUAGAACCAAAACCGCAUAUAGUGAACCAUACGAGCUAUCCAAUUAGAGCCAUGCCGAACCUCUGUCCGCUUAUAGUCAUCAAAAUAAGUACACGGGGAAAAUGCCUUUUGCCUUUCAUUUACACUGUUUAUGCAAAAUAAUUGGAUUGGGUAGUUUAAUUUGUUUUUCAAAUUAUAUUUGUUGUGUUUACUAACCAAGUUUGUUUCUUUUUACUCUUAUUUUCAUCAUGCAUCAUAGGCAUCAUAUUAGGAAGGUGUUGAUUAAAAGUUGGUUGCCAAAAAAACGAGUUUCUGAUGGAGGAGUCAAUUACACAAAUAACCAAGAAGAAUGCCGUGGUUCGGGACUGGUCUCUAAAAAUUCAGAGAGAAAAGGGGGAUAGUCUAGUGGAAAGGUGUGUCGCUAAUUUACCCGAACAUAUAACUGUAAAUGUUCGCCAAAAUAACUUUGAGGAUUUGGUUCGAAUUUGGAAUCAGUGGGAUUCAGACACUAGAGACAUUUUCACUGAGAGGUAUGGAGAUAUAGCUCACCUGAUCACCAUCCGUGUAGACGAACAGUUGAUUCAAGCCAUGGUUCGGUUCUGGGACCCAGCUUAUCAGUGUUUCACCUUCAAUCAAGAAGACAUGACUCCAACCAUAGAAGAGUAUGCUGCUUUACUCCGCAUCGACAAUGUACAAUUCGGCAAAAUAUAUGUGAAGGAGCCUAAGCCGAUGACCUUCAAGAAAAAGUUAGUGAGACUGACAGACAUGACUGAUACAUGGGCCGAAAAACAGAUAAAGAAGAAGAAUGAAACCAUUUGCAUUCCAUGGUUCUCCCUACGAGAUUUGGCUCUGAACCAUCCCAACAUGCUGAAAAGGGUAAAUCUAUUCGCUUUGGCCAUUUACGGUUUGGUCAUUUUCCAAAAAGUUCUCGGACAUCUCGAAGUUACAGUAGUUGAUUUCUUCGAAAGGUUAAAACAAGGAAUCAACCCUGUCCCGACCAUCCUAGCCGAGACCUUCAGGUCCCUGAGUAGUUGUCGAAGAAAAGGGGGGACGAUUUAUCGGAUGCGCGCAGUUGCUCAAUGUUUGGAUUUUGAGUCACUUCUGGAAGGUAGAGCGCACUCUGUUCCAUAUGUUUUCUAAAACAUUCUCCCCGCUAGAAGCUUACCUCAAUAAAGAAUGGUCGAAGGAAGUCACCGAGCAACAUUGGGUAUCAGUUUUUCAGAAUCUUCGCGCCGAGAAUAUAACAUGGAGAGCACCCUGGAUCUGUCCUUCAGUUCUGCUAUACAAAUGUGGAAGCCAAGAUUGGGUACCUUUACUCGGGUUAUGGGGAGGAGUUGGAUAUGCUCCGCUAUUAGUCCAAAGGCAAUUUUCUUCGCGACAAUUCCUCCCCGCAACUGGAGGAUUACCACAGUUCGAGUUCGCUUUCGCGGGUGAAGGAUAUAUGAAGAGAGUCCGAGACACUGCAAAGUAUUGAAAGGAAAUUCAUUUCAUGGAAUUAGCUUUGUAUGUUGAUACCCUUACCCAAGAUUACGACAUAUGGAGGAAACAACAGGUAAAUAGUCAGCAAAUCUCAUCAACAAACUACACCAUCCAGAAUCCUUUCUCGGAGGAAACGCCGUCUGAGCUAGAAAUGGCAAGACAAGAAUUCGAACGAGAAAAGGCCAAGAUGUCUCGGGACCUUAGUGCCCUUCAAGAAGAAAACUAUCAACUGAAGAUUGAAGUUCAGGUUGAAAGGUCCAAGACUGAAAAAGUACAAAGAGAAGCCGAGAUUGUGAGAAACGACUUAAGGGACCUUCAUUUGGAAAACAAGAAAUUAAGAAACACUAUAAAGAAUAGCGGGUUGGGCAAGUCGACAGCAGAAUAGAAGGAAGAAAUUAGCAAUAUCAAGGGAGGAAUGGAGUUUUGGAAGGGAAAAGCAAAGAAAGAAGAGGAAAAGGCUGCGCGCGCUGUGAUAGAGUUAAGAAGAAAGAACGCCAAGUAUGAAAUAGUGACUGCAAAAUUGGCGAAUAGUCAGUCUGAACAUCAAGAAUUAAAAAGGAAAACACGAGAUCUAGAAAAUAUGCUGCAAUCUCGUCAACAACAAUUAGAUAACCUCUUGAAGGCUCUAGAAGAAAAGAGUGAGCAGUACGAUAGGGACAUUCACGCGUAUGAAGGAACUCUCAAAGAAAAAGAAAUGCAACUUGACUUCUUGAUCAAUGAAAUUCGUAAAGCGGCUAUGCAAGUUGUUCAAUUAUCAGAUGAAGCCGAAGUUCUCAGUUGCCAAUUCCCUCCGAGCCAAAGAUCGAGCAUAUCAGAGUUUUUAGAGCAAGUGAAGAAACAAGGCAAUGUGGCUAGGAAAUUUGUGUAACUGUUUGAAAAAUGAGAACUUUGUGUAAUAGACUAUGUUGAUAAAUGAAAUGCCUAAAUAUGGGGCUAUCUUGAAAUCAACACCAAUUUCUUGCAUUUCAUUCAUAACUUACAUUCAUUUGACAUUCAUGCAUUCAUUCAUGCAUCAAUUCAUUCAUUGCAUAUCCCAUACUCGUUCGUUGAGAUUAAAGCGUACAAUUCGCAGUUGCCAGACUUCAAGACUGGAACCACGUCAUCCGUAUAAAACGCGCCGACAAGCUAGAGUAAUGGAGAAUGAAUUCAAUGAGAGAAUUGAAAGGAUGGAAAGGGCUCAAAAGGAAUUACAAGAGCAACUGGCCAAAUCGCAACAAGAGACGAGAGACCUAAUGGUGAGAUCUCGAGAGGAAUCGCUCGAGCAAAGAGAUCAGAUGGCUAAAAUGAUGGAGAUGAUGACAACUUUGGUUAAAGGAAAGGGACCCAUGCAGAACUCCGAUGUUAUGGAACCUCGGUCAAGAAUUCACCAUGAUCAGAAUCCAUUCUAUCCCCCAGGAUUCACUCCACCGCCCGCAUAUACAAUACAAAGAGGGUAUACUCAAGAGGAACCCACUGGCUUGGAACAUCGACCUAUGCCACCUGCUCCACCCACUAAUUUGGGGCAAGGAAUGUUAGCGUCGAACCCAGGGGCUAGUCCUGCUAAUCCACUAGUUCCAGAUCUGGAUGACCCAGCAGAGCUAGCCAAGUUGAAAUUGGAUAACCAUGACGCAAAAUAUAGGAGUCUAGAGGAAAGACUCAAAGCAAUAGAAGGCACUGAAGUCUUCUCCGCACUAGGUGCCAAGGAACUCAGUUUGGUACCUGAUCUAAUUUUGCCUCCGAAGUUCAAAGUGCCUGACUUUGAGAAGUAUGAUGGGACAAGGUGCCCAAAAGCACAUCUCAUUAUGUUAUGUCGAAAGAUGACCGGUUAUGUGAACGAGGAUAAACUACUCAUACAUUUCUUUCAAGAUAGUCUAACAGGGUCAGCUCUUCGGUGGUACAAUCAACUUAGUAGAGAAAAGAUUCGACCCUGGAAGGACUUGGCGUCAGCAUUUUGCGAGCAGUACAAGCAUGUAUCGGAUAUGGUGCCAGACCGUAUGACCUUGCAAAUGAUGGAGAAAAAGCCAUCAGAGAUCUUUAGACAGUAUGCGCAGAGAUGGAGAGACGUCUCAACUCAAGUGGAACCCCCACUAACAAAAACGGAGAUAACCGUUCUCUUUAUCAAUACUUUAAAGGCACCAUUUUAUGACAAAUUAGUGGGAAGUGCCACGAAAGAUUUCGCGGAUAUUGUAAUAUCCGGUGAACUCAUAGAGAAUGCCGUCAAGAGCGGUAGAAUGGAAGGAUCAGAAGGCUCAAGAAAAGUAGCACACUUAAGGAAGAAAGAGCCAGAAGCCCUCAUGGUGGGAACUGGGAGUCGUUACAUUCCCAAUUCGUAUCCUAAUCAACCCCGACCUCGAGAUUAUCCACCCUCGAAUUUCCAUUAUCCCCCUCAAGCCCCUUACUACCAAGCACCACAUCCGUCCUGCCCCGUAUACGCCACGAACAACCAAAGACCCGUCACCACUUUCCCACAAAACACGGUACCCGCCCAAAGCCAACCCAGAAACGAACCAAGACCAUCAAGGCAUAAUCCCGAGAGACCGCAAUUUACCCCCAUCCCUGUGUCGUAUGGGGAAUUGUGCCCAAAACUUUUAGAAAAACAGCUAAUUUCUCCCCAUUACAUGGCACCCCUUAAACCUCCAUACCCAAAGUGGUACGAUCCAAACGCUAGUUGUGCAUACCACGCAGGGAACCAAGGGCACUCUACUGAGAACUGUCUCGCUUUCAAAAGGAGAGUUCAAGGACUCAUUGACGCGGGUAUCCUACGAUUCGAUAGUGCUAGUAACGCCACGGGGAACCCGUUCCCUAACCAUACCGAAGGGAAUGUGAGCACAGUGGGGAAAGAGGAUGAAUGGAAGGUCAUAAGAUGUGUGGCAGAAAUAAGGACGCCUCUGCAGAAAAUCUGGGAGGUAUUAGUUAAGAAAGGAUUGCUCUGUCACUCUGAUAGAGUUUUUGGAGAAGAAGGUCAAAGCUUUUGCAAUUUUCAUGGGAUUGUUGGGCACGACAUUCAGUCGUGCGAGGACUUUAAAAGGUUACUUCAAGACCGGAUGAAUAAUAAGGAGAUCAAGGUCCUUAACAAGAGUGAAGAUGCCAACGAAAGAGAAGUAUGCGUCUCUGAUAGCCAAUCAUCAGGGCCCCCUUAUAGUGCUGAUCGACCGUUGGUAAUUUAUUACGACGCGAUGAGAGAGCCAUUGAAACCACAGAUGGUAAUUGAAGUACCAUCUCAUUUCCCGUAUAAGGACAACAAAACAGUACCGUGGAGAUAUGAUGUUAAUAUCGUUACACCGGAAGUUGAAAAGUCCAAAGCCAUAAUUGAAGAUGUUGGGGAGGUAGGUCAUUUUACUCGAAGUGGACGAUGCUAUUCUAAAGAAGUUGAACCGGUAAAGAAAAGUAGCGACUCGAAGCAAAAAGGGAAAGCAGUGAUGCACGAGGUCGAAGUCGAGCAAGAAAUUCCACCCGUGCAAGAAACUAAAAAGCCUGUGAAUGAGGAAGAAGCUCAAGAAUUCUUGAAAUUUAUUAAGCACAGCGAAUAUAGUGUGGUGGAACAACUGAGCAAGCAGCCAGCACGAAUCUCAGUUCUAUCUCUACUGUUAAAUUCAGAGCCACACCGGAACGCUUUAUUGAAGGUGUUAAAUCAAGCUUACAUGGCCAACAACAUAUCUGUCGAAAAGCUUGAUAGGUGGGUAAACAAUCUGAAUGCGGACAACUUCAUCUCUUUUAGUGAUGAUGAGAUACCGCUAAAUGGUAGAGGUUCGGUGAAAGCGCUGCAUAUCACGACCCGCUGCAAGGGCUACAUAAUACCGAACGUACUCAUCGAUAAUGGGUCAGCAUUAAAUGUUAUGCCAUUGGCUACACUUUCCAGAAUACUGAUAGAUUUGUCUUACUUAAAGCCCUGUCAUUCCACGGUAAGGGCCUUCGAGGGGACGAGGCGUGAAGUCAUGGGAAAGAUCGAAAUCCCUUUAGAAGUGGGGCCCCUACAUAUAUGAGGUCGAAUUCCAAGUCAUGGACAUUACACCCUCUUAUAACUGCCUUUUGGGAAGACCUUAGAUUCAUUCUGCUGGAGCAGUCCCAUCAUCCCUCUAUCAAAAAGUGAAAUUCAUCAUGGAUGGCUGUUUGGUCACAGUCGAGGGCGAAGAAGACAUCAUCGCAUCUAUCUCUGCUGAUGCGCCAUACCUGGAAGUAAGCAAGGAUGCAGUGGAAUGUUCUUUUCGAUCCCUUGAAUUCAUCAAUGCCACUUUCGUCGCUGAGGGAAAUAGAAUUCCGAUGCCAAAACUGUCGAGAAAUACCAGAAUGGGUGUCAAGUUGACCAUAGGAAGGGGAGCUCGUGCGAGAAGAGGUUUAGGGAGACAUCUGCAAGGAAUAGUGAGGGCUUUAAAGCCAAUACACAACAAGGCCCGAUACGGUUUGGGGUUCCAGCCUGACAUGCGCCAAAGAAGAAGACAGUGGAAGAAGGAUCAAGAGAGAAUAAUUGCAAGAACUUUGGGCCGAGAACCAGAAUGAGAACCAAUAGAGUACCCUCCUUUGUCAAAAACAUUUACAUCUGCGGGAAUGAUGUACCCUGGACAAGAGGAUCCACGAAACAUGCUGGGAUUAAUUGAAAAGGAUUUUCAGAAUGCUAGUAUAAAUGCCAUUGACAAAGAAGCUGGUGCAAGUAAAGAUGUCUCGAGGAUACGCCCUUGCCCUCCUGGUUUCAUGUUAAACAAUUGGAUUGCUGAGGAGCUUCUUGUAGUUUAUAAGCCUUCAGAGUAAUGCCAAACAUCAACACUCUAUUGUGUCCUUAGAUAUAAUAGAGUUCUUUUGUAAGAGUUUGCAUUCGCUCUUUAUCAUUUAAAUGAAUUUCAAUGAAGAUGUAUUUUGUCAUGAUUUUUCGCAUUAUCACUAAUUUCAUAAUCAUUUUCUCAUUUCAUAGCCUAUCCUUACAUUUGCCUCAUUGCCAUGACAUAACAUUUUGUUUGUUGUUUCUAAUACUUGGAUGUCCCCCGAUAGCUUCCUUUUCCAUUCAACUUUCAGGUGCUCAGAUAUUGACGACAUGAAUAAGCCCGUUAUGAAUCUUGAAAUUGAUGUUGAGAAGGCUGUUUGCUUAGGAGAAUUUGAAGCCGAAGAAAAUGCUGAAGAUUAUGUCUCGUCUCUUGAAUUGUUAAGAAUGGUGGAACAAGAGGAUAAACAGGUUCUGCCUCAUGAAGAAUCUGUAGAAACAAUAAAUUUGAGCACUGAAGAGAGGAAACAAGAAGUGAAGAUUGGGACUUCUAUUUCAGAAAGUACCAGGCGUAGUUUGAUCACUUUACUCCGCGAAUACAAAGAUGUUUUCGCGUGGUCAUACCAGGACAUGCCAGGGCUAGAUGAAGAUUUAGUGGUCCAUAAGCUCCCAUUAAAGCCAGAAUGCAAGCCCAUCCAGCAAAAAUUAAGACGGAUGAGGCCCGAAAUGCUGUUGAAAAUAAAAGAGGAAGUCAAGAAGUAAUUUGACGCUGGCUUCCUACAAGCCUCCAAAUAUCCAGAAUGGGUGGCUAACAUAGUCCCGGUACCAAAGAAAGAUGGAAAAGUACGAAUGUGCGUGGAUUAUCGUGACCUGAAUCGAGCAAGCCCAAAAGAUAAUUUUCCCUUUCCACAUAUUGACACGUUGGUGGACAACACAGCAAACAUUCAUUGUUUUCUUUCCUGGAUGGAUUCUCGGGGUAUAAUCAGAUCAAGAUGGCUUCUGAGGAUAUGGAGAAAACUACAUUCAUAACAAUGUGGGGAACGUUCUGCUACAAGGUGAUGCCAUUCGGGUUAAAGAAUGCUGGGGCAACAUAUCAGAGGGCUAUGGUGACGUUAUUCCAUGACAUGACGCAUAAAAAAAAUAGAGGUCUACGUCGACGAUAUGAUUGCUAAAUCUCGAGGAGAAGAAGAGCAUGUAAUGAACCUCAAGAAGUUGUUCGAAAGGCUGAGAAAGUUUCAGCUAAAGCUUUAUCCAGCCAAAUGUACGUUCGGGGCUACAUCGGGAAAGUUGCUAGGCUUCAUUGUCAGUGAAAGAGGUAUCAAAGUUGAUCCAGAUAAAAUAAAAGCCAUCCAAGAAUUACCACCUCCGCGCACACAAAAGGAAGUUAGAGGAUUUUUAGGGAGAUUAAAUUACAUCGCCCGAUUUAUCGCUCAACUUACCAACCAAUGCGACCCAAUCUUUCGGCUUCUUCGAAAACAUAACCCGGGAGAAUGGAACAAGGAAUGCCAAGUGACCUUUGAUAAGAUAAAACAAUAUUUGUCCAGUCCUCCAGUGCUAGUACCCGCCAACUCCGGGAAGACCAUUAAUUUUGUAUCUGACAGUGUUCGAAAGUUCAAUGGGUUGCGUACUGGGACAACAUGACGAGUCAGGAAAGAAAGAAAAGGCGAUCUACUACCUCAGCAAAAAGUUCACUGAAUAUGAGGCAAAAUAUUCGUCUGUUGAGAAAUAUUGUUGCGCUCUGGUUUGGGUAGCUCGGAGACUCAGACAAUAUAUGUUGUAUCACACGACAUGGCUAAUUUCAAAGCUGGACCCAAUAAAAUACAUGAUGGAAUCACCGGCACUAUCAGGAAGAAUGGCACGAUGGCAGCUCCUCCUUUCGGAAUAUGACAUUGCCUAUGUAAGUCAGAAGUCAAUAAAAGGGAGCGCAAUAGCUGACUUCUUAGCAACUCGAACGACAGAGGAAUAUGAGCCUUUAAGAUUCGAUUUCCCAGACGAAGACUUAAUGUGCAUCACAGAAAUAGAAUCCGAGUCAUCAAAAGAGAAGUCAUGGAAGAUGUGCUUUGAUGGUGCGUCAAAUGCUUAGGGCAUGGAAUUGGAGCAAUCCUGGUAUCACCAGACGGGAAUCAUUAUCCGUUCACUGCAAGACUGAACUUCUUCUAUACCAAUAAUAUCGCAGAAUAUGAGGCCUGUAUCAUGGGGCUUCGUGCAGCUAUCGAAUGAAACAUCGAGAUUUGGAGGUGUACGGGGACUCAGCCCUAGUGAUUUACCAAAUCCGUGGAGAAUGGGAAGUGAGGGACUCAAAAUUGAUUAAGUACAGCGAUUUAGUGGCUGGAUUGAUCAAGGAAUUCAAAGAAAUAACUUUUCAUUACUUCCCCACGAGAAGAGAACCAACUGGCUGAUGCCCUAGCCACUUUGGCUUCAAUGUUCAAAGCAAGUAGAGAAGCAGAAAUAAUGCCCCUCAAAAUGAGCAUAUACGAGGUCCCUGCACACUGUUGUAGCAUUGAGAAAGAAGUAGACGGACGGCCUUGGUUCCAUGAUAUCUUAGAAUAUAUCAAGAAUCAAAGGUAUCCCGAACAAGUGAAUGAGAACGAUAAAAGAACAAUUAGAAGAAUGGCAGCGGGAUUUGUUCUUGAUGGGGAUAUCCUGUAUAAAAGAGGAAAGGAUCAGAUGCUUUUGAGAUGUGUGGAUGAUGUUGAAACCAGAAAAAUACUUGAAGAGGUCCAUGAGGGAAUUUGCGGAACGCAUGCCAAUGGUUUCAAUAUGGCCAGAAGAUCAUGAGACUCGGUUAUUAUUGGCUGACAAUGGAAAGUGACUGCAUCAAUUUUGCCAGAAAAUGCCACAAAUGUCAAAUCUAACGGCGAUAAAAUUCAUGUAGCCCCCUUCACCCCUUCAUGUCAUGACUAUCUUCGUGGCCUUUUUUCUAUGUGGGGCAUGGAUGUCAAUAGGGCCAAUUUCUCCAAAAGCUUCAAAUGGACAUCGAGUCAUUUUUGUACUUAUCGAUUACUUCACAAAAUGGAUUGAAGCCGCUUCAAUUUGCCAAUGUGACGAAGACUGCAGUGUGCAAGUUUUUUGAAAAAGGAAAAUCAUUUGCAGAUAUGGUUUUGCCUGAAAGAAUCAUCUCAGAUAAUGCCACGAAUCUGAACAAUAAGAUGAUGAAAGAAGUGUGCGAGCAGUUCCAAAUAAAGCAUCAUAAUUCCUCGCCUAUCGCCCAAAGAUGAACGGGGCUGUUGAAGCAGCUAACAAGAACAUUAAGAGGAUCAUUGGGAAAAUGACUGAGACAUAUAAGAUUGGCACGAGAAACUUCCAUUUGCUUUAUUUGCAUAUAUCCGCACAUCUGUGCCGAACAUCUACGGGAGCAACUCCUUUCUCUCUAGUCUAUGAAAUGGAAGCUGUGCUACCUAUCGAGGUUGAGAUCCCCUCUCUGCGAGUAUUGAUGGAAUCAAAGUUAGAAGAAGCAGAAUGGGUUCGAGCUCGAUAUGAUCAGUUGAACCUCAUUGAAGAAAAACGUCUAAAGGCAAUUUGUCAUGGGCAAAUGUACCAAAAGAGAAUGAUCACAGCCCAUGACAAGAAGGUACGACCAAGAGAGUUCCAUGAAGGAGAACUCGUUCUGAGAAAGAUUCUCCCAAUACAAAAAGACCUGCGAGGAAAAUGGGCACCAAUUGGGAAGGACCAUACGUUGUAAAAAAGACAUUCUCAGGAGGAGCUUUAAUCCUUACCGAGAUGGAUGGGAAGGAGUUACCGAAUCCGGUGAAUUCAGAUGCGGUGAAGAAAUAUUAUGCUUAAGAUGAAAACCCGAAAAGGGCAUCUUAAAAAAAAAAGGAAGAAAAAAAAAAAAUAAAAAAAGGAUCAGGGAUGAAACCAACCUNNNNNNNNNNNNNNNNNNNNNNNNNNNNNNNNNNNNNNNNNNNNNNNNNNNNNNNNNNNNNNNNNNNNNNNNNNNNNNNNNNNNNNNNNNNNNNNNNNNNNNNNNNNNNNNNNNNNNNNNNNNNNNNNNNNNNNNNNNNNNNNNNNNNNNNNNNNNNNNNNNNNNNNNNNNNNNNNNNNNNNNNNNNNNNNNNNNNNNNNNNNNNNNNNNNNNNNNNNNNNNNNNNNNNNNNNNNNNNNNNNNNNNNNNNNNNNNNNNNNNNNNNNNNNNNNNNNNNNNNNNNNNNNNNNNNNNNNNNNNNNNNNNNNNNNNNNNNNNNNNNNNNNNNNNNNNNNNNNNNNNNNNNNNNNNNNNNNNNNNNNNNNNNNNNNNNNNNNNNNNNNNNNNNNNNNNNNNNNNNNNNNNNNNNNNNNNNNNNNNNNNNNNNNNNNNNNNNNNNNNNNNNNNNNNNNNNNNNNNNNNNNNNNNNNNNNNNNNNNNNNNNNNNNNNNNNNNNNNNNAAAGAAUAAGAUUGGACAAUUGAACAAAAUUUAGUGCUUUUAAGUCUUUGCACUAUCCUUGUUUCACAAUGAUGAGCAAAGAGGGGCAGUUGUAAGCACUAAAUUUUUGUCCGACUAGAAUUUGUGUUUAAUUUUCAAAAUUUCAAAAAAAAAAAUUUAAAAAAUAGAAAUUGCAUUUUGACCCCUAAACUUUUCCUAAAUUUCAUUUUAACCCUUAAACUUUCUUUAAAUUUCACUUAGACCCCUAAACUUUCAUUAAAUUUCAUUUUAAUCCUAAAUUUUCUAAAAAUUACAUUUAGCCCCAGAAGUUUUGCUGCAUUUGUGAUUUGGUCCUUCAGACAGGUUACGUGAUUUGGGGCACCCACUUCCCAGAUUUUCAGGCCACAAACAUGGGUGGCUGCUCCUUCCCCACUUGCUACCUGCAAAAAAGAAGCAAAACCAACUAUAAAAAGGAGUUUAAACUCCAAAAAUCAGAGGACCCCCACGAAUCAAAAAAAAAGGAGAAAAAGAAAGUUUCAAAAAAAAUUUCAGCAGCAAAAAGAAAGAGGAGAAAGAGAAGAGGAGAGCCCGACCACAGCCACUGAGGGCGGAGGAGAUCGACGCAAGUGGCAGCGGCGGUGAAAGAGGCUAGAGCCGAAAGAGGGAAGGAAGAAGAAGAAAAGAAAGAAAAAAAAAGAAAAAAGAAAAAAGGGGAAAGAAAAAAAAGAAAGAAAAAAUAAAAAAUAAUAUAUCGGGUCGACCCGACCCGGAUUCAACCCGCGAACCGACCCAACAGGCCCAGCAGUAGCAGGCCAGCCCAAAAAAAAACCAAAGCAAAAAAAAAGCAGCAAAAAAGAAGAAGAAAGAAGCAGAAAAAAGAAGAAGAAAGAAGCAGCCCAAAUGCAGGCCCAGCGCAGCAGCAGGCCCAGCAGGCCCCCAGGCCCAGCGCAGUAGCAAACCACCCACACCAGCAGGCCAGGCCCAAGCCAGCAGCCCAACCGGCCAGCCCAGCAGAAAAAAAAGAGAAAAAAAAGAAAAAGAGAGAAAAAGAAAAAAACAAGAAAAAAGGGGUUCAAUUUUGUGUUACCCGUUCGGCGAAGCUUGUGUCUCGAGAUUUUUUGGUAAUUUCGUUUUUUAAUUUUAAUUUAAUGCUCGUAUUUUCUUCCGUUUUAAUAUUAUUAGUAUUUUAUGCAUUUUUAUAUUUUGGCAUUUAUAUUUUUAAUUUAAUUUAAUUUAAUUCAAUUUUUAUUUUAUUUUAUUUUAAAUACUUUGAAUAAAUAAGGCAACGAAUCGAUUUAACAUGAACUCAUUGAUUUCAUCACUAGGUUGGGUGAAUAUCACCGGUUCGCGUUAAAAUCGAUACGCCCUUUUAAAAUCGAAAAAUAUUCAAAAAAUUCGUAUUUUCAAAAAAAAAUCCUCGCGUUUCGAAAUUUUCGUGUCUUCAAAAAAUUUCUCGUGUUUUCAAAAAUAAGGUAACGAAUCGAUUUGACACUAAUUCGUUGAUUUCAUUGCUAUAUUGAGUGAAUAUCACCGAUUAGUGUUAAAUGCAAUACGUGCUUAAUGAAAAAUCAGAAAAAUUUUCGUGUUUUCAAAAAUUUUCGUGUUUUCAAAAAAUUCCAUUUUUCAAAAUUUUUCGUGUUUUUUUAAAAAAAUUCCAUAUUUCUAAAAUUUUCGUGUUUAAAAAAUUUCGUAUUUUCAAAAUUUUUUUAUUUUUUUCAACAAUUCUCGUGUUUCACAAAUUCUCGUAUUUUAAAAUUUUUUAUGUUUUAAAAAAUAAAUUUCUCGUGUUUCAAAAAUUGUCAUGUUUUAAAAAUUUUCAUGUUUCUAAAAUGUUCGUAUUUCAAAAAAUCCUCGUGUUUUCAAAAAUUCUCAUGUUUCAAAAAUCUUCGUGUUUUCAAAAUUCUAGUGUUUCAAAAAUUUUCAUGUUUUCAAAAAUUUCCCCUGUUUUCAAAAAUUCUCGUAUUUCAAAAAUUUUCUUUUUUUCAAAAAAAAAACUUCCGUGUUUUAUAAAUCUCCGUGUUUUCAAAAAAUUCUCGACUUUCAAAAAAUUUCGUGUUUUCAAAAAAUUGACAUUGUUUCAUAAAUUUCCGUGUUUCAAAAAAAAUCCUCGUGUUUCAUAAUUUAUCAAAAUUUUUGUGUUUUCAAAAUAAAAUUGUGUUUUAAAAAUAAAAUUCGUGUUUUCAAAAAAAAAAUUCUCGUGUUUCAAAAUUUUCGUGUUUUUUUAAAAAAAAUUCGUGUUUCUAAAAUUCUUGUAUUUUAAAAUAUUUCGUGUUUCGAAAAAAGGUUGUGUUUCAAAAUUCUCGUGUUUCAAUUGGAUCACGACUAAAUAUUAAAUUGAACUUGUAUUUUUGAAAAUUAAGACAACACAUGUUUAACAAGAUACCAAUUUUGGGCGUCGCGAGGGUGCUAAUACCUUCCUCGCGCGUAACCGACUCCCGAACUCGAAUUUUCUCUGGAUUCUUACGUAGACCUAAAAUUACCUCUUUUUUAGAAAAUUUAAAAAUAAAAUUUUCUUCUAAAAAGAGAAUUUAUUAGGUGUCUGAUCACACCUAGAAAAAAAGAUCGGUGGCGACUCCUUUUUCAAAUAAAAUCGAGAUUCAGUUUUCAAAUUUUCAACAAUCAAUUCGAUUAGCGCCUAUCGCCAAAAUUUUUAGGUCGCUACAAUAUUGCAAACCAGAUUGGCAGAUCACAAAAAAAAAUGCUCUUUAAAAUGGAAAAAAAAAAGAUAUGUGAAUGAUACAUGCCUACUAUAUUUCUGAUAAACUAUUACUAUUAUUUCUGUCACUGUAUUACUAAUUGCAUGUUCAAUAUGUCUACUGUUACUGUUGAACCAAAUACAUGUUAAGCAUGUCUAUUGUUUCUUUAUUGUUCUGUUACAAACAUGACAUAUUGGUUUGCAUGGGGUGGGACGAUAUGAAUAGAGGAAGUACUGGCAGUUUAAUAAUAUGCAAACACUGGUGGUUUAUCCAUAAUUUUUACUAGAAGUUUAUCUGCCAAUUACUGGUGGUUUAUCUACAAUGCAGUGUGUAGGGUUCAAUGAGUUUUGGGGUACUCUUAUUGUGGUGUGUAACGGAGUUGGGUGCAUUUGUCAUUCUUAAAGCAUUUAGAUCCAAAACUGUGAAUAAGAUAUUAUAUUGAUGACUAGAUCUGAAAAACUGAUUUGUUAUUCAAUUUUGAUUAUUCUAUGAGUUGUUAUUUUGUAUGUUUUGUCUAGCAUUUUGCACUGUUUUUCUUGUGAUAGGACUCACACUGAACUUCUUAAGCUCACUCCCCCUUAAUUUUCAUCUUUAUAGAUUACCCAUAAGAUUAGGACAUGAACUCGACAUACAGAGGGCUCGACUUGGUUUAUUUUAGCUAAAAGUAUUUUAGACGUAUUUAUAUUAUUUCUAUUAUUUUGGAAUUGUAAUGCUUUACUUGAAUUGUGGCAUGGGGCUUAGAUUUUAUGUUUAUUUGGCAUGCAUGAUAUUUAAUUUGAUUUUAGAAUAUUGAAAUAUGGAUUUUGAAUUAGUUAUGCAUAAAAUUGUGGUUUUUUGUUCAUCAAAACUCUUUUGAAUAUCACUUUUCCGCUACAAUAUCACGUAAAUGAGAUUUUGAAAAGUAAAUAAAUUAAAAAUCAACUUUUGCUAAGUAAAUUUUAAAAUCCAUUGUUUUUGGAAAAUUAUAUCUUUUAGUGAAAAGAAGAUAACACGCAAAAUUUUUCUUCAAAAAUAAGCAAAUGUUUUAAACGACUAUUUUAUAAACUUUGAUAAUUCUACUAGGCCAUUUCGAUGGCCAACGUAAUUUUUAGAAUUUGGUCGUAACGCCAAGGCCGGGUUAGGGAGGUUACAAUGUUAUUUUCAACUCAUUUUAACCUCCCAACUUUAAUAAGUUUUCAUUUUGGCCAAUUAUUUCUUUUUUUUAAAAUUAUAUUUUUGUCAAAAAAAUCUGAAUCUAUACCAGGAAUUGAGCUAUUUAGUUGUGGAAAUGAAACCCAAAGUUUUCCAUAAAAACUCAAGUUUUUCCUAUAAACCCCAGGUAAUUCACAGUAAAAACCUAAGGAAUUUCUUCUUUUUUCUUUUACUAAAAAACUAAAAUUAAAUCCAAAAGAGGGGAAGGAAAUUAAAUAGAUAAAAUGGUUUUUCUUGUAAAAAUCCAAGUUUUCUCAAUUAAAACCUAGGAAAUUCCUUGUAAAAACCCAAGUUUUCCCCUUUUAUUGAAAAAAAUAAAAUUAAUAAUAAAAAAUAAAAAAUUUUCCUUGUAAAAAUUCAAGUUUUUCUUAUAAAAAUCCAGGUAAUCUCCUAUAAUAAUAAUAAAAAAAAACUUAUGUUUUCUCCUUUUACUAAAAAAGAAAAUAAAAAAGAUAAAAUGAGUGAUGAAAAUAAAAAAAUUCUAAAGUUUAUUGACUAAAAUAAGUGUAAAUAAUUUUUAAAUAUAAUGCGUUGAGUUAUGAGAAUUGAAACUUUCUAAUUUAACCUUUAAUUGAAAUAGAAAUGAAGGGAACUAACGGCAUUAAAAAUUAUAAUAAAAUGGAAAGGAAAUGAAAUCAAGGUGAAAAACAAGGAGCUAGAGAAGGCAUCAAAUAGAAAGAAAUCGUAGAUGAAAAAAAGAGAUGUUUUAUAUUGAAUAUUAAUUAUUUUUUAGCAUCAUAUCAAUAAAAUUAAAGUCAAAAUUUUAAUAUUUGCAAUUAUCAACUACAAUAAGAUCUGUGGAAGUAUUGGCUGUGUGCAUUUACGUAUACGUGAAUUAUGAAUUCAAAUUUUAUUUUAUUUUAUUUUAAGUCUUCAUCUAUUUAUGCAUGUAAUAGUUUUAUUUUUCCAUUUGUAGAUACUAUUUGGUCCUGAAGUUGAAUUCUCUUAUGUUUAUUGUACUAUUUUUUUAGUUUUGUAUGAUUAAAAACUAUAUUUUCCCAAACUUCGUCUGGGGAAAUCCUUUUAUAAAUAAUAAUGAUUUGUAAUGCAUAUAUUAUUUUUAGUAUUUUGCUACUGUUAUGAUCUCCCUACUACAAUUAAGAAUUUAAUAUCUUUUCUUUAAUUUUUAUGUAAUUUGGUCGUCGUUGGUUAGUUGAAAUAGUAAUUAUUCUGGCUAAAAUAUUGAGUUCGAAUUUAUCCCUUAAAAAUAUUCAUUCCAACUUCAUGUAAAAAUAUAUGUAUUGUGUUAGAAAAAUGUUUUAAAGAGAAAUUCAUGUAAUCAUGUAUCAUUUACACUAACUAAUUUCAUUAUAAAAAUAGAUGAUCAAAUUAUAUCAAAUUAAAAUAUAAUAACUAAAUCUCAAAUGCAAGCAUAGUAGAGAGAUCGAAGAUACAAUUUUACCAUUAUAUUAUAAUGACUAAAAAAAUGUUGUCUUUAGAUAGCCCAAAUAUUUAGUACCCUACAUAUUUUUUUUGUAGCUGAUGUGAACUUUUUUAAAUAACACUCUUUCCAAUUCAUUAUGUUAAAAUAUUUGUUAUUAGAAUAGUAUUUUUUUUGAAAUCAACAUAAAAAAUUUAAUUAAAAUAGUUAAACAUGUUAAUUAUUUAGAAUAAUUAAUGUUAUUGGAAUAUUUGAGAAUUAAAUUAUAUCAAAUUAAAAUAUAAGAAUUAAAUCUCAAAUGUUAUUAUAAUAGAGGGACUAAAAUUGAAGUUUUACCAUUAUAAUUAUAAUUAGGAUUUUGAGUGCUUAGGUUUGAUACGCAUGGUACAUUUACUUAGUGAAUUUAAGUAAUAGUUUAAUUUUGUUGUACGCUAUAUUAAUUGAGUAGACUAUAUGUAAUUAAUAAUUGUAGUGAUAUUCAGGGGCGAAGUAAGAAAUCUUUUUUGGAAGUCGAAUAAAAUUUUAAUUUUUUAUAUUUUAUAUCUUUAUCAUUCUUAAAAGAUUAAAUUAAAUUUUAUAAUUUUAGUGGGUUAUAGUGCAAUUUUAACUUCACUAAUUUAAAAUUUUAAAAAGCUUAAAUAAAAAUUUUCUAAUUUAAGGAGGCCAGUCCUCUGCCAACCCCACUAAAUUCGCCUAUGGUGAUACCUAAAAAAACUUGUACAAUUACCAAACUCUUACACCAUAUUUGAACAAACCCCUUACAAUUAGGUAAUAUUCUUUUUUUUUCUUUUUUUUACUCAUUUAAUAUAAAAAUUUAUUUACUAAACACUCCAAAAUCUCUUACAAUUCCUUUUAUUUUUCCUUUUUAUUGAAAAAACUAAAAUUAAUAAUAAAAAUGAAAUUAAAAAGAAAAAAUAGUUUUUUUCAUGUAAAAACUCAAGUAAUUCUCUGUAAAAAAAAUUCAGAUUUUUCCCUUUUACUGAAAAAUAAAGAAUUCUAAAAGAAAAAAAAUAAUAAAAGAAAUUAAAAAGAUAAAUUAAGUUACUAAAGCUUGGUGACUAAAAUAAGUGUAUAAUUAACCGGAUGUGAUAAAUAAAAAUAAUUUUUUAAAUGUAGUGCUUAAAAUGUAAAAAAAAAAAAGUUGAUGCUCGAAAUGAAAAUUUAUGAAAAUUAUAGUUGACCUAUAAUAUUUUUUUUAUCAAAAUAAUUGACCUAUAAUUGAAAUUGAAAAGAGGGGAAUUAAGCUUUCCGAUGCAUUAAAAAUGGAAUGGAAAAAAAUUAACGUGAAAAAUAAGGGAGCAAGAGAUGGCAUCAAAUAGAGGCUUAGAGAAAGAAAGUGUAGUAUUUUAUUUUUAAAGAAAAAAUUGGUAUAUUAAAAAAAUGUUGAUGGGUGAUUUUUCGAGUCUUAUGGGUUCUAAGAUUGCUCACUGUUUAUUGUUAGUUUUGUAUGAUAAAAAAGAAAUAUUAUUAGCGGAAAUCUUUUUAUAUUUUUUUUAUGCAGUCGAUGAGAGCACAAAAAAUAUUUUAUUCCCUACAAAAUAAUGAAAAAGAACAGUAAAGAGGAAGUAGGGUCGAAUCCUUAAGAACCACAUUGCACGAAUGUUUGUUUCUCGAAAUCCUAGGCAGAAUCGUGUCCAAAAAAACUUACGUUCCUAAAAAAAAUAAAAAAUAGAUUUUUAAAGUUUUGAUCUAGGAGAAAAAUAAAAAAAAUGAAUUAAAAGUUGAAUUGAAAUUUCAGAAAUUAAAAGUAAAAAUAAAGUUGAGAAAAAGAUUUCUUAUAGUGAUUUUCCAACAUCUGGUUGUCUCGAUUCGCCUUGGGUUCAAUCAUUGGCUUUUAAGUGAUCCUUCUCAAGCAGAAUAAGCCAGUUAUAGUGGAAGAGGACGCCUACAACCACCAGCUCUGUGGAACCUGACUCUAGCCAAUAAUCGCUUUUGUGGGACUAUCUUCUACUAGAUCAUCACUUCCCAACUGCAAAUACCACGCCAUUUUGUCUCUUGAAAUCGCCAACCUCUGACGCGGAAAGCUAACGAACCGACUGUACAACCUUCCCAAAACGUAAAAUGCGGCCGUUCCUUGCACAAAUUGAAAAUAUCACCUAUUAAGGGACAUGGACGAAAGCAUCAGCCCCGUAAUGCGGAGAAACGAUGAAUACCCUAUUAAGCUCGAAUUCUAAGCCUCAUGAACCCUUUUUGGAGAAUUUUGACAACUUUUGGCUAGAUAGAUUUAGUGGUUCAUGAUUUUUGGAAAACAAAUAAAUAUAAUGGAAAUGGAAAUUUUAUUGAAGAAAAUAUGGAGAGAACAAAAACU
rnacentral:lncRNA from 1 species